AAAAAUAUUGGAUCCCUUCCAGCGGAGUAAAAAUUCCCCAUGUCUUCAAAUUAGGUUGCGUGUUAUCUCCGGUCCAUAAAUGAACCGGACCAUGUGGGGUCGUUUCGAUUGAACCGCCCCCUGGAUCUGGUUCAGUGCCAGCCCUGUAGGGCGAACCAAAGAACAACAGCGGUUUCUUGGAGUUGGAAACCAUCUGCCUAUACAUAAUUUUGAGGUUGGCUUCGAUUUGAGCAUCGUUGGACAUUGUUUCAUCCGUGCCGUUGAAGUCAAGAUCGAUGAGAGUCGGCGGCUGAUGGCUGGCAGCGCGAAGCUCGUCGUAAAGCGGAGAGUCCGGGUUAGCGAACAAGGCAGGGAGUUGCAUGCCAGCUGGCGCGUCCCAGUUCCAAAACGGCAACGCGAACGUCGGAUCGUCUAUGAGUUUGGCCAAGAUUCUUUCGUGGAAGUAUAGGUAGUAACGAUGGAAGGGGAAGAAAAGCCAGCAUUGAUGGAUUUGGAGCUCGAGGUUGGGGAAGCCGACUUGGUCGUACGCGCCGUCGCAAUAGGCACAGUGGAGAUCGGCUUGCUGGGUGAAGCUACGCGGAUCGUCGUCCGGGAGGGCUUUCAUGAGCUCGAUGGCUUUUGAAUAUUUUUCGAUGUAGGCUUUAUCCACGGUGUGAGCUGCCGGCCUGACGCGGAGUUUGGUAGGGGAGGGGAAUUUGAAGUCUACGAUUUUUUGGGACGUUGGCGGGCAACAGUUGGUCGGGACUGCUCCACUUGGAAAGUCCGCAGCUCCGCAUUUGGCUAGGUCAGGCGGCGACACUGGCUUUGCAACAGCGAAGGGGUCGCUGCCAAGACCAGCCACUCCACCGUAUAGGCUUCCGAGACCUAUAAGUACAUUUCUUCUGUCUAGGUUUACUGGAGAAGGGUUUUCAUGGUCGUGAUCGUUGGAGCUAGUGGAAGGGUUUUUGUUUUGGUCACUACUAUUAUUUGUGGCUUUGCAUGAGACAGCUUGUAAAUUGGAAUGCCUAGGGUUUCCAAAUGAGGAUAUUCGGUGAUACUUUUGGGAGAAAGGGGAGAGGAAAGUUGUGGGGAUGAUACUUGUGGCGGAGGUGACGAGUGGAGCUGACAUAGAAGCCAUGGUUACUUUUGACUCUGAAUAAUACGUUGUAUUGGCUUUGCUUUUAUAAUGUGUUCUAGGUUGUACUUUUCUUUGCACAGGUGGCAGGCCGUACACACGUGGUCGGUCCUUAAGGGUUUGACGAGGAAUACUACGUAGUCAUUUAGUACAGGACAACCAUACACUAUAGCAAGUGGCAUGUAUUUAGAGAUCGAGAGAGAAUUGGGUAAGGUUCACGAGGGAUUUGUAGUUUCAGAAGGUGAAUUGGUUUUGGUCUUCUUGUGUACCAAUAAUAUUUACUUAGUCAUUUAGUGCAGGACAACCAUGCACUAUAGCAAGUGGCAUGUAUUUAGAGAUCGAGAGAGAAUUGGGUAAGGUUCACGAGGGAUUGUAGUUUCAGAAGGUGAAUUGGUUUUGGUCUUCUUGUGUACCAAUAAUAUUUACUUAGUCAUUUAGUGCAGGACAACCAUGCACUAUAGCAAGUGGCAUGUAUUUAGAGAUCGAGAGAGAAUUGGGUAAGGUUCACGAGGGAUUGUAGUUUCAGAAGGUGAAUUGGUUUUGGUCUUCUUGUGUACGGCUGUGGGUCUGCUGUCCCGGACUCUCUGUCUCAUUUGUGUCUUAUUUUUUAUUUUUUCACACGUGUCUUUUACUUAACGUCAAAUCAUGAUAGCAAUGUUAUGCAAUUGGGAGCUAAACGACCGAUGCUUUUAUUUUUUAGUUUGCUUUUUUUCCAGAUCUGAUCAAAUCAUGAUAGCAAUGUUAUGCAAUUUUCAAGAGGGAAAGAUGCACCUGGGAGAGAAACGGUACGGUGACUUCUAAAUCACCGUCCAACAGAACAAUUCUCAGUAGAGACUACUAGAGAGAGAUGCACCUCACCAAUGAAAAAUUUAACUGCAAAAAUUCUGGGUAUUGGGUAAGGAAAUUCGGUGAUACUUUUGGGAGAAAGGGAAGAGAGAAGUUGUGGGGAUGAUACUUCUCGUGGAGGUGACGAGUGGAGCUGACAUAGAAGCCAUGGUUACUUGACUCUGAAUACUACGUUGUAUUGGGUUUGCAUAUAUAUAUAAUUAGGAUUGAAGGAUGUAGAGCUUAUUUUGUUAUGUAUUUUAACGAUUUAAGUGCUUAUCUUUUAGGUUUUCUCUUAAACAUCAUGUCUAUAAAAAAUCACCAAAAUUCAAACCAUAUGACCAUUAGAUCCAUAGUCAUUUUAGUGUUUAUUUGUAAAAUGUAUUCAUUCAUUUUCUUCACUACAAAUGAGUGAAUUAAUGAUUUUAGAAUUUGUCUAAUUUUUUACAUUGAUUAUUUAUGAAUGUUGAAUUGAAAUUUAGACGAUUCAAAAAUAGUUGAUAUGCAUUACAAAAUGAACUCCACAAAAUAAGUGUCAAAAUAUGUAUAAAAAAUGGACAGCGUGAAUGGCUUGGAAAUUGGAAUAGGUUUGAAAAUUGUGCUUUUUGUAGCAAAUUUUAGCAAAGUUUGCUUGGACUUUCACAACCGUAUAAAUUAAAGGGAAACUUGAUAUAACUCCAAUUUUUUGAGCCAAUAGUAGGAAUAGUCCAGUUUAUUAAAAUAAGUUCAAUUCUUUAAAUUUAAUUAUUUAGUUAUCAAUAAUUAUCUCUUAAAAGAAAAAACUUAUUGUAAAAAUCAAAUUUCUUCCUAAUUAUCUCUUUGAUUAUUUCUUUUUAUUUAUUUAUUUGUUAUUUCUUGUUCUUCCUCCUGCUUUAACCCAUUUAUAGAUUUUUUUUUUAAUUUUAUAAUCAACCUAUGUCACAGGUUAAUUGUAUUUAUCUACCUAUAUGACAUAUUCUUUUUCAUAGUCAACAUUUCACAGAUUAAUGUGUCUUGCUUGUAGAUAUAUUAUGUUUUUUUCUACCUUUUAGUUAGGUUUCAUAUCUCACUUAUAGGUAUAAUAUACAUUCAUAUAUUUGCUACUUGAGUUAGGGUAGAAUGUUUUGCAGAUAGAUUUAUGUUAGUAUAUUAAUUUUUUUUUGUUUAUAAGAUAUUAAUUAGAUAUUUUGGAGUUGAAAAAUGCAUAAUAUUAAAAGCUUUUAAUUGAUUUUUAAUAUUUUUAGAAAAUAUAAAAGGAGUAUAAAAGAAAUCAAAACAUAUAAUUAGAUAACGGGAGUCACUCCUAAAAACACUCUAUGUUUUUUGACCUGGAUCUUAAAGCCCCUAAAUUAAACUGUUCGCUUUGUUGGGAAAAAGAAGUGGCCCUAGUUUCCCUUUGAUUUUUCAAGCACGGUGGGAGACUGGUCAUAGUUUCUAGAUUGAUGCUCUAAUUCUAAUGUUAUACAACGCGUACGCUAUAAUAUUUUUAUCAAAAUAUUAGUUUUAGUGUUAUCAAAACAAUAUGUUAUUCUUACCAUGUUUUUGUAUCACAAUUAUAUACCACCUUAGAUGGUAUCUGAUGUGGACAGCCACAUCAUUUAAAUUAAUAAGCAUUUAAUUUCAAAAUGUUAAUCAAUAAUUAAUAAAAAGAUUGUUAAUUAAAUGAUGAUUGUGGUAUACAAGGAGUCUCCUUCUUCCUUCCUCUUUCCAUUCUGCUUUUUCUUCUUACCUCUUUUUUUUUUUUAAUGCCAGUUUUGUAUUGAUUUCUGUUGAUUUCCAUGAUUAUGGUCAAUCUUUAUAGAAUUUACUAGUAUGCCACAAUCACCAUUGAUUUCUAUCUCCAGACUCAUGCCCCGUAGCCCUAAUCCUCAUUCCCCUUCAAGUAUUUCUGUCUCCAAUCUUCUUUGGUACUCCAUGAUUGUUCAUCUCGUGAUAUUUUUUUUUUUGAUUAUUUCAUUAAGUAACGCUUAUUAGCUUUCAUGCGAAUUAGGAGUCAAAAUCAAAUUUGUCUAUCGGAUUAGGGUUCAUACCCAAUUAAGUUACUAACGCCAGAGGGAUUUUGAAGUAUGCAAUUUUCCUUAUUUAAGUGUUUUAAUUAAUAAGAAAAUUGAAAUUAAACAAUUUAGCUUGUCCAACUCAUCUGCCACCUAAGAUGGUAAAUAAAUGUGGUAUAAAAUUGUGGUAAGAAUAUCAUUACUCUUAUCGAAAUUACAAAAAAAAAAAAAAAAGCUGAUUCAAUAUUUAGUUAUUAAAAAAAAAAUGAUCAAGUAACUAUCCAAUACCCAUGUAUUGGGUGCUUUGUUUGAAAAUUUUCAAAAUGAUAUUGGGCUCGUUUGGAUAUGUUUUUAAAAUGACUGAAAGCAUUUUUAGAGAAAAUAUUUUUUUGAUUCCAAAAGCACUUAAAGUGCUUUCUGCAAGAAGCACCCGUUAUGUGCUUCUUCCUGGAAGCACUUUAAGUGUUUUUCCAGCAUUUACUUGCUUUUUUACUAAGGACUGGUUCCAAAAACAUUUUCACAAAAAGUGUUUUCAGUCAUUUUAAAAGCACAUUCAAACGAGCUCAUUGUUUUUCCUAUUUUAAUCGAGUGCGUCGUCCUCUGUUGAGAAUGAAUCUCAUAUUAUGGGAGGAGGGAUCUUGCAUGAAUGGGAGGAGGGACCUUGCAUGAGCUUAUAAGUAAGUUGGGUUACUCUCCAUAUUGCCAAAAGAAAUUUUAUUUGGACCCAGUUUUCCUCUCUCUAAACCCAACUUUAAUAUUUUGUUACCUAUAAACUCUCUAGUUUACCCUCAUAAAUUAUAAACAUAAAUAAACUAGAAAAAGAAAAACUCAUCAAACCCAUUUCCCAACUGUUCUGGCGUCUCUUCCCUGUAUUUGUUGGGUCUGUCUCCCUCCCGACUGUUUUUUUUUUUCUGAUAUCUCUGUGUGUUCCCCCACCUCUCCCACACCCACCAAUUCUUUGUGGUGGCUAUUCCACCAAACGUCCAGUGAAUCUUUCCAUUUUUCUUCUAUUGCGCGUGAUAGGGCCUUGCUAUUAAUAGGCAAAACUAAGCGGCAUCGUCGACUCCGUAAGCGACUUGUUGCAUAAGUCCAAAAUGGAGUCAAAUGGAUUUUGUAUUGGGUCGGGUUGUUGAAGGCGAUGGCUGAUUUAGCAAUCCCGCCUAACUAUUUCUAUAUGUAGGAGAAGGAAGAGGGAGGGAGGUCUGAAGUGGUGGUUGAGUGGUGGCGAUGUAUGUGGGUUCUCUCUCGGUUGAAUGGGUGUAGAAAGAUAUUUAAUUUUCAAUAUCUUAUUUUAUUUUGUAUAAGGGAUAAUAUAGGAAUUACAUAAAAAGUUUUUUUUAUAGCUAGGUGUAGAAAUAGUAUUGUUGGGUCUAAAUAAAAUUACCCUAUUGCCAAUUAGUUUUAUGGUGAAAUCUUAACUUUGUUCAUGCUUUCAUAGUAGGUUGUUCCACGUGUGAAGUCAAACAUCCACACGCGCUGCACGUCACCCCGUUGUGUUGUUCACGUGUUAAGCUUGAAAAUUCAUCACACAUGAGGGAGCGUGUUGAGAAUAAAUUCCACAGUUUAUAAGUAAGUUGUACUACUCCGUAUAUUACCAAUUAAUUUUGUGGAAUUCCGUCAAAGCUGAAUUUGACGGAAAAAAAUAACUUCAUGUUUGUUCUUAACUAUAAAGUCAGUGAUACACUAAUUCUGGUUUGUUUGUUUUUUCCUUCCUUCUUAAGGAAAUUCCCAAUCCAACCAAAAAAAUGAAAUUCCCAAGAGAAUAGUAGCACGAACAAUCGUAGCUUUCUUCUUCGAUAAGCCUUGGGGAAACAGAAAAGGGAAAACCGGACUUUAACCCUAAUUUCUCCCAAUGCCGCAGCACUCUCUAUUUUCUCUCUCGCUCUAUAUCGCGGUCCCUCUCUCUCGCCGUCCUCUAUUGCUCAAACUCAAUGUCUCCAACUUCCUCUGUAUGGUUCCCGAGGAAGAUGGUAAAACAGUAAGGGCAAGAAAUUGUGACAAGGUUAGAUUUGGGUAUUAAUCUGGUGGGGCUACAAUUCUCCAAUCCACACCCCUUUCAUCUGUGCUAGUGUUUGAACCCAAUAUUAGAUAACCGGUCCAUGCAAUCGAUGCCGUUGAAUGAGAAAAAUUCUAGGCCGUGGGAUCAAAUAUAAUGAUGUGGAUUAAAUAAGGAAAAUUUAAAGAGUAAUGAUAUUCAUACCAUGUUUUUGUACCACAUUUUCAUACCACCUUAGGUGGCAUUUGAUGUGGAUAGCCACAUCAUUUGAAUUAAUCAGAUUUUAAAAUUUAGUUGAUUAUUUAAUAAACUAAUAAUUAAGAAAAACUAAUUAAUUAAAUGAUGAUUGUGAUAUACGAGGAGUCUUUCUCGUUCAUUUCUUUGGGUUUUGCAAAUUUUUCAAAUGAUGUGGCUGUCUACAUCGGAUGCCACCUAAGGUGGUAUAGAAAUAUGGUAUAAAAAUAUGGUAUGAAUAUCAUUACUCAAAUUUAAAUGUUUAUCUUGGUUAAAUUACCAUGAUAAUAUUGUGGAAUUAUCUUUUGCAUAACGGAAGAGCGAGAAAAGUCCAAGGGUGUAGGGAAGUUGUGUGGUUGACUACCGCUAUUUUGAUGGUAUAAUCUGUAGAGUAAUAUUACAUUUAACAUCUAUUUGUAUCAUAUUUCUAAUAAAGAUAAGGACCAUCAAUGCAUAAAUAAUUAAACAAAUAUAUAAUAAGAGUAUCAUUUUUGUAACUAGAAUAGGAGAAGAAAGACUUCAAGAUGGGAUCAGCCAAAUAAUUAGCGUUAAGAUAAAAAUAUUGAAAGGAAAACUAAUGAAAAUGGCUUGAAAACUUUGAGUUUUAACGAUAAGGACAAGAUAAAGGGUAAAGUGAAUAGUACCAGGAUUGACUUUUUAAUGUAAAAAUAUAGUUUUUCGUUAAAGUGAACAUUACCGGGAACUUUUCGUUAAAGUUUCCAAUGAGAUAAUAUUGCAACAGCUGGCAUGAGACAAUGAUGGUAUAAAGAUGGCUACUACGGCCAAACUACUACAUAGGAUUCCAUACAUGCGGUCAUUAUUUCGACAAAUCAAUGGCUGCCGCAAUCAUGUGCUCAUUAUUCCGACAAAUCAGUAGCUACUUGCAUUGGAUUAGGAUUGCAUGCGUGUGGUCAUUGAAUGAGGAUUGCGUGCACGUGAUCUUUAUUCAAACAAAUCACUAUUGACCAUAUAUUGCAAUUGGUUAAUGGUAGGCAAAUUGAAUUUUUACAUCAAAUAAUGUGAUUGCUGAUAAUUGAAUUAUUAUUUAAAUGUUGAUUAAUAUGCUUAUUUUUUAUUUGUGAUAUAUCAUUUAAUUUGUACAUUUAGUUUACCUAACAUUACCAACUGUAAUUUGUAUAAAUGGACUGGUACCUAACAUAACCAGUUGUAAUUUGUAUAAAUGGGACUGUAAUUUGUAUAAAUGGACUGGUGCCUAACAUUACCAGUUGUAAUUUGUAUAAAUUUACUGGUCCCAAGAGCACAUGCUACUGCUCAAGAAGCAAAGUUCUUAUUUGCCCAAAAAAAAUCAUGGUUUUUUAAUUGAUGCUCUCAUUUUAAUUUACUAGCCCCUUACUUGGCCUUUUUUAUUUAUCAUUUUAUACAUAUUAAUAUUUUUUUGUAAAAUAUAUUAGUUUGAGUUUUAUUAAAAUUAAAAAUAAAUAAAAAAACUUAGUUUUAGUUUUAUCAAAUUAAAAAAAAAUGACUUAAUAUUUAGUUAUUGAAAUUGUAAAAAAGUGAUCAAGUAUUGGGUGCUUUGUUUGAAAUUUUUCAAAAUGAUAUUGUUUUUACCAUUGAAACCCUGUUAUAUACAGUGAUGGCUAAUUUGUCAAGUUCUACGAAGUUGGGAUACCCAGCGUUUUAGCAUAUAACAUAGCUUAGUAUUACAAGCAUAAUUAAUUAAAAUAAAGGCAAAAUAAGAGGAUAGCUUAGUAUUACAAGCAUAAUUAAUUAAAAUAAAGGCAAAUUGUAACAGCCCGUCCCUAAAAAUGACGAUUUUAUAAUCUUAACACGUGAGUUUAUGAAGAUGCCCUUCGAGGCAAAGUGUUGACUACCGCGUCGUGUCAUGUGAGACUCAUCUUCUUGGCGUAUUCUCGUUUUACUCGUCGCUACGGAUGCGUGGGCGCAAACGACACGUGAUUUGGAGCUAUAACAAAAGAGUUAUUAACAUUUAAAGUUAAGGACAUUUUAGUAAAUUAAUUAAUUUCAGAUUUUGUUGAGGGGAAAAUCUGGAGUGCCAUGUGGGUGGCCCAGAUUAAAGGAAAUGAGGAAUGGAUGGUGGAGGUGUAAAGGAAAGAAGAUAAAAGAAAAAUGAGAGGAAAUGUGUGACUAAUAGGGAGAUGAGAGAGUUAGGAUGGCCCAAUUAGAAACAAACGAAAGGAGGAAAAAGGAGAGAAGAGGGGAGCAGGGGAUCCCUUCAACCCGGUUCCACUUUCCGACCCGACCCGAUCCUUUUCAUCUUUUCCGGUGGUUUUUCGUCAGUUUUUCCGGCGAACCACGUUAUCUAACCCCGUUGAAAAUGUUCCACGACCUUCCCUCUACCAUUACAACCCAAAAUUGUAGAAAUUUAGCCAUGAAAGUAUGAAAACCGCACCGGUGGGUGCGGGAAACCUUUGUCGUCGAUUCUCCCAUUAUUGAAACGAUUUUCACCAAUUAUCACCACCUACAGCAUCCUCUUGAGGUCUGGAAUAAAGCCCAAACAAGUUUUGGGGCGUUGGAGUUCGUUUAAGGUCGAAUUGAGCACACCCAAAUUCAAGGGUUCCGUACCGUUCAUGGUGAUUUGAGGUGUUUCUCGGCCAAAUUGGCCUUAGUCACAAGUAUGAAAGUUGCUCCACUCGUUGAGAUCUUCAUUUAUGUGAAAUUUGAGAAUUUUUUGAAAUAUUUGGAUUUUCCAGCGAGUCGGGGUGGCGGACCGCCACCGGCAGCAGCGCAUGGCCAGUGGUCCACCAAUGUCAUUUUACGUUAAAUUGAUAUCUUGAUUUUAGAUUUGAUGUCUAUAUGUUAUGACUUGAUUAUGUGAACCUAGUUUGAUUAAGGUGCGUUAAUUGGUAAAAAUAUGAAACGACGAUCCGACCGUGGGAUCGUCACCAAACUUUAAUAUGUUAUAGUACAUAAUAUUUGAGAAUCAUAGGGACUGACAGAUAGGAAAUCCGAGAUACAGAUCUUCCCGAAAUGGAAUUGUAAGUUUGAAGAAUAAACGUUAACCGCCACUUUGUUUUGACUAUUGGUGGAGAUCCAACCGUUGGAUCAUAAUGAAAUUUUAGGAUGAUGUUUUAGAAGCAUAAUGUGGAUCUUUGGAAGUUACUGAUCGGAAAUCCGAGGAGUGAAUCUUCCGAAUUGAAUUACGUAGGGUUGUGGACCUUACCGUCGAUCGUUGACCGAUGAUCGACUUUUGGUCAAUGGGGCUUAAAUCAAUCUAAAACGUUUUUAGGGAUGUGUUUUACGUAAAUUACAUGAUCUAUUGAUAAGAAUUAUGAGAUGUGGUUUGAUAAUUGUCCUAGGUGCCGAUCGUUAGGAACGCUUCGAUGGUUAUGCUAGGAAAUUGUAGCACAGACUCCUUGUGAGUGAAUCUUUUCCUUCUUAUCAUAUAUAUAUAUAUAUAUAUAUAUAUAUAUAUAUGAUUGACAAUUCCACAAACGUUUAUAAAUUGAUUAUUGCAUAUAACUACUGUGAAUACUUUGAAGUACUUAUGCGAACUACGAAUGGCUUGAUCCGUGUUUAGGGUACGUAGGCAGUCUAACAAGACGUUAGAUGUAGUCAUACAAUAAUUGAGAUUAAACAAUUGAGAUAAAGCCUUGUUUGGGGAACUGGGCAAGGUGAAGGAAUUUGGUAAAAAGGUGAGAUUUAACCUUAUGAAUUGGUGAUUAAAUGUUGGUCAUAAAUCAAUGUGUAAAGAAUCAAGAAUUUGAAGUAAGGAAACGUAAGUAAUGAUAAUUAAUUAAACUAGUGUCUAGUUGGGCUUGUCACCUAUAAUUAUCCCCGAAAAUGAAUAAUUCGGGAGUAGGGCGUUACAGCUUCUGCAUUUUUAUGCCACAUUAUAUAUAUAUAUAUAAUUGGAAAUGCUAUAACAUGGUUGAGUAUCAGAUUUCAUCAUGGUUUAUCUAUAUGUAUAUUACCUGCACACAAUUAUUAUGAACGCGUUGAAGUGCAAAGGUGAAUGCACGACACCCAGGUAAGUUCAGGUGAGUUUAUGGUAUUAGUUGAAAUGAUGGGGUUAUGGUAUGACUACAUGUAUGUUUAGGUUGCAAUGAUAGGCAACUCCAACACUGUCGUACAGGUUGCCCAUGAAUUGUACAUGUUACAAUAGAUACAGUUAGAGCUCAUAAACCUACACCCCGGUGUUAGUACUCCCGCUCGUGGCCAGGGCACAGUCCUUCACGUGAUGUUCACCUCCCGCACCUUACGCUCACCUUGGAUCCAAGGUAGGUGCACAAUCAUGUCGUACCACUAUAGGUGGUUCCGACUCGUAGAUGACCCGCGAUUAUUUGCACAGUCUUCACGUGAUUGUAGCACUUGAGCGUAUUUAUUUACACCCAGUUCUAUUGUACAGACCACUUUAGGUGGUUCCGACUCGUAUGCAGGUAUACUUAUUAAGCUAUGGAUAAGUCGUACAGGUCACUAGAAGUGACUCCGACUUAUGAGCUAGCAUAUGUGAUGAGCUAGCAUAUGUGAUGAGAUAAGUGAUGAGUUAGUAUAUGUAAUGAGAUAUGUGAUGAGCUAGCAUAUGUGAUGAGAUAUGUGAUGAGCUAGCAUAUGUGAUGAGAUAUGUGAUGAGCUAGCAUAUGUGAUGAGUUAGCAUAUGUGAUGAGCUAGCAUAUGUGAUGAGAUAUGGGUAAGUCGUACAUGUCACUAUAGGUGACUUCGACUUGCGUGCUAGUAUGGGUUAUUAAUCACAUGAUUAUUGAUAUUACUGAUGAGAUGCUGUGUUGUGGUAUAUUUAUGAUCUUUCUGGAAACUAUGCAAGUGUUGUAACGAGGGGUUAUAAUGAGGUGUUGUAACGAGGGGUUAUAAUGUUUUAUAUGGUUUCUGUUAAAAUUUUAUUUCUAGGGUCACUCACCCUUAUUUUGUUUUCACCCUCUAGGUUUUAUUAGCUGAGCUUUCUUAUCGUCGAAGAUUCGUGGCGAUUCUUAGUAUUGGAGAUUAUUUCGAGAGUACGAUUCUUAAUUCACUUUACUGUACUUGCUUAAGCUGUAACGUCACGUGUGAAGUGGGUUCAUUUCCGCUUACCAGCGCAUUCUGGUAUUUAGGCACUCUUAGGUUUAAAUUUAUUCACAUUUUUCCACAUCAUCAAACUUUAUGGCUUUGUCACUCUUUAGGUGUCGGCCAGCACAGCUCGAUUUGGAGUCCUAGUGGACAUUCCGGGUCGGGGUGUGUCACAAAUGAAGAGGAUGGUUGAACUUGUUAAGUUUCUUAAGUGUGUCUACUUGAAGUGUGUUGCUAAUAAAUAUUUUGUUGUAGGCAUAAUUUACUGAACAAUUAUGGAGGCAGAGAGAGAGAGAGGGAAUAUGCGGCAUAGAGAGAGAAGAGAGAGAUGUGUAAUUGUGAGGUGUGUUCUAUUCCACCCCAUUGUACCUUUAUUAUAUUAGUAGGGAAAGUUAAUUCCUUACCCUUUUAGGAUUACAACUCUAAUAGGAAAAUAUCUAGUCUAAGAGAUAUGAUAGAAUCUCAUAAGGAUAUCCUAGAUAUGUUAGGAUUUACACAAUCAUAUUCCUAUUCCAAUAAGACUGCAACACAUUUGUAUUUUUUUAGAAUUUUUUUGAUAAUUUGUUGGUAUUCUCAAUUUUUGUUAACAUUGAAAAUAUAACGGUUCAGAUGAAAAACCUUUGGAAAUCCAACAGCUUGCAAGACGUUGGGCUGUGCUGAAGGAAGCUGGGCUGUCACGUGGAUGGGGCCCUCCCUCUCCCUCUUGUUGAUUCAAAGGGCGCAGGCCCGUGCAACAAUUGGCGAGGCAGCCCAUAGAGAUCCUGCGAUUCACCCAUUCGCCAUUUUUUCCACCGCUGGAGCACCAAAAUUCGGUCAAAAGGCAGGGGUAUCAAUGGCAAGGGCAAUUUGGCUUCCGCUGGAGGUGCUCUUUGUCGACUUUGUUUUUUCUCUCAUUUUAGCUUUUGCAGUAAUAUUGAAGUAAUCACUCCAAUUUUAUCCAAACUUUUGUUGUCCGUCAAUUUUUAUCAAAACUAUUGGUUAAUUUACAUAUUCAGACUAACCUUCUCAUUAUUUUUAGUAUUUUUAUCAUAAAUAAUAUCUGAAAUAGUCACAUUUUAUUCAACAACCACUCAAUUAAAAAUUAAUUAGUGUUGUUUCUAAACCAUUACAUCAAGCUUUUGUAGAUACACAUCAAUAUUGCAGCGAUCCGAGGCAUUGUUUUAGUGACGGUAGUACUUUCUACUCCUUGGAUUUGGUGAAUCGGAAAAGAGAAGAGUUACGAGUAAAAGUCCCUCGCAUUGUUUUGGGGAGAUGAAGAUGAUGAUCUUUUGUUUUUGUUUUUUAAUGAUUAAUCCACGCAGCAACAUAUAAUUAAAUUGUUGGGAUCUACUCAAGUUCCAUAUCACACACUAACAUAAAAUUUGACAAACGAAACGAAAUAUGUGUGUAGACAUCGAAAUUUCGUAAAUAAAUGUUGACCGAUAAAUCAAAGUGUCAACGCUCAUGUAUUACAUAAAUUUUACACGUAGCGUGUGACUCAACGAAAAUUGAAAUGAGUUGGAAAAGUCAUCAAAUAGGACACGUGUCAACACCUGGCAGAAACGACUUAUUUCAUCUGGGAUAUUAUAUUCAAAAUUAGCCAUUGGAAAAUUCUAUAAAUACAAGCCCAUUUCAUUCAUUUAAGGAGAGGAAUUCAUAUUACACCUUGAAGCUCUGAAGCUCUGAAACUCCGAAGCUCUCAAGCAUCCAGGUUCCCGAAGAAUCAAGAAAGUGUUCUUCGUUCUUCGUUCAUCGUUCUUCCAAGAUCAAGCCUCGACGGCCCUUGGAUCAACAAUCAUCCACCUUCAAGAUCAAGCCCCGACGGCCCUUGAAGAAAGCGUUCUUCGUUCUUCGUUCAUCGUUCUUCCAAGAUCAAGCCCCGACGGCCCUCGGAUCAACAAUCAUCCACCUUCAAGAUCAAGCCCCAAAGGCCCUUGAAGAACUUCCACCAAUUCAAGAUCAAGCCCCGACGGCCCUUGAAGAAAGCACCAUCGUUCAUCAUCCGUUCAUCCAAGAUCAAGCCCCAACGGCCCUUUAGAUCAACAACGUCGACAAAUCCACACAUCCAACCGUUCUUCAAGAUCAAGCCCAAAAGCCCUUGAAGAUCCGUUCAUCACUGUUCUUCAAGAUCAAGCCCAAAAGCCCUUGGAGAUCCGUUCAUCACUAUUCUUCAAAGAUCAAGCCCAAAAGCCCCUUUGAAGAUCCGCUCAAAUCCACCUUCAAGAUCAAGUCCACGGCCCUUGAAGAACGUUCAUCCUUAGAUCAAGCCCAACGCCCCUUUGGAUCAAUCGCACAUCCACAAAUCAACACCUUACGGAGAUCGAAUCAGAGGAUCAAAAUAGAGAGAGAUUGUAACCCAAAAUCAUCAAAUACAAAUAUUUGUUUGUGCGCGUUGUUCUUGUCUCUUUCGUUUCAGGAAUUUUCCGUGUUCACAAUGUGCUCUUGAAAUCAAAAUGAGGGCACUGCUCCAAGAACAAGAAGGGCACCUUGUCGAGGUCGCCAUCCGCCGUGAGGGAAAACCGGAAGAAGUUGGACAACAAUGAUAACAUCAAUUUGCGGCACCCAUAUCGGGACAUCACACUGUGAAAUAAAUAUUGAAAUAAAUACUCAAAACUCCUGGAAAGUCCUCGAGACAACAAACUUUCAUCUCCUUCAAACAUUUCAUUUUACUAAGUUUUAUCUUUGAAGGGAGGGAAAAAAAGAGAAGAGAGAAUCCUACUCCUUAUUCCUGAAUAUAUUCAAGAAUAGCUAUUGAAUAAAGAGAGAAUGGAGGGUGAUCGAAAGAGGAGGGAAGAGAAUUCUAGUUCCAAACAUAAAAAGGACCACAACUUUUAAAUUAUCAGCACAAUCAUCACCUAAUUGAAGAGACCAUUCACUGUGAAACAUAUUGUCAAUCAGUCUAUCUAUAUCUAUUUAUAUACCAUAUUUUUAGAGUAAGAUUCUCUCACCUCCUAUUACCAUCCCCUUCCAUCCUUUCAUCUCAUACUCUUUUUUUGUUGUCUUAUUCUCUAUAUAAAAAAAUUCAAAACAAGAUGUAUACGUGACGUAAUCGUAACCGUUUAAAUAAGAGGGGAUAGAAGAGAAGAGAGAUUAGGAGAAGGGAGAAUCCUACUCCCACAUUUUUCUUCUUCAUAAACAAAAGAGAGGUUCUAGAUUACUUGACUCUAUGCCUCAUUUUUUUCAUCAAGUAUUUGUGAUAAGUGGGUUCAUUUUCAAGUAUUUUAGUUUUUUUGUCAAAAUUGAGAAAACUGAAAAUCAAACAUUAAUAUGAAAAAUUAAAAAAUCAACAUAUAAUUAUUUAGAAAUCGCAAUAGAAAAGAAAAAAAAUGGAGGUUUGUGAUGAAAAAUCUUUUAUACUAAGUAAUUUAGUAUCCUUAUGCAUGAAGAUAAAUCAAUUUGUUCGUUACGGUCAUACUCUUUUUUGAAUUUUUGAACACAUUCUCCAUAGGGCCUUCUUAUAUGUUCCUUCUCCAAGCUCGGGUUAUGGAAGAAGUAAAAGAAGGAAUCGAAAAGAAAGUAUUGGUAACAACCGAUUUCAUUACGAGACAACUCUUGAUAUUCAUAUCAAUCUAUUAUGUACCUUUGCAUCUAGCAUUAGACAAUAAUUGUCAUAGCUUUACCAUAUUUUUUUGUUUCAUUUCUUCUGAAACAAUCUCACACACUUUUUUAUUAUGUGUCUACUACUAGGAAUUCAAUACGUAAUCUUAGCAUUCAAUAGUUAUUCCUAAAUAAUUUCAAUUUUCAAAUGAUCAACCAUUUCAUUUUACCAAGUUCAAUCAAUGUUAGUCAGAUUAGUCAACAUUUAUAUAUUUUGAUGCAACAACAAGAUGUUAUUUGUAACAAGUGAUUUUGUUAGUUGGUUAAUUGGUCACAAGUUAAUGUUCGGUUCAGUUUAGUUUUUCUCUCGAUUUUUUGUGAUUCGGUUUUUUCAAUUCUCUUUAGGGUCGGUUCGGUUUUGUUUUUUUAUUUAUACUUGAAUUUUAUUUUAAUUUAUUUUAAUUUAUUUUAUUUUAAAUCUGGAAACACCAAGAACAACACAAGCACAUAGUCAAUCAAACAACUAUCCUUCUCCACAAAUCAUAGUAAUAAUUACAUUCAUUGAGCUGAAAUGCAAAUAACUAACAAACUCACAAAAAUCAAAUAAAAACUACAAAUUGCUUACUCUUUUUCUUUGGGUUUCACUCGAAAAGUGUCGGUAAAAUUUAGGGUUUGCAAGAACGCAACUGAAAUCUAAAACGGAGGCCUUGUGGCCUAUGGGUUGCUAUUGAGUUCCAGUACAGAGAACCUUGCUUAAUCUCGAUCACGGUACAAAGUAUCGAGUACCUUUAGCACUGUAUUUUGGUAUGAUUGGUAGAACCAAAUUAAAAGCUAACAUCAACAACAACUACCAGAGACAAAAGCUCUUAUCAAUGCUUUGGAAACAUUUAUGUAUCUCCAAGUGUAAUGAUAUAAUUGGUUGGAAACUUGUGAUUUCGUAUCAAAUCAAUAAAAAGUUACAAUAUUGACAAUAUAUUAGCAAUUUUUAUGUUAAUUAUGAACAAGUCAAUCAUGUAGAACCAAAUUAAAAGCUAACAUCAACAACAACUACCAUAGACAAAAGCUCUAAUCAAUGCUUAGGAAACACAGUCCUGUAUCUCUAGGUGUAUUGAUAUAAUUGGUUGGAAAUUUAAAAGAAAAAUGGUGAUUUUGUAUAAAAUUGAUAAAAAGUUACAAUAUUGACAAUAUAUUUGACACACCCCGACCAAGAUCAAGGCAUGCUGGCCGUCACAUGAGAGUGACGUAACCAUGUGCACAGUGCGGAAGCAAUAAUGAUAAGAAAUAUAUGAAUAAUUAAAAACCGAAUCUACUAGAGUGCACUACUAAACAGGAAGUAUUAGGAGUAAGAUACAAAAGUAAAUACUCCUAAUCAGAGCAUAGAAAGUCUAGGUGCAAUCCAGUAGGACAAGUACUAAUUAUACAGUAUAAAAUGUCUUACAAUUAUUUAGAUAGGUCAGAACCGCCGAAGUCCUCACACCCAACAACUGCAAACUUACUUAAAACCUGAAGGGGCGCAAAAUAGAAAACGUGAGUGGGAAAAAACAAAUGUUUUACAAAACCAUUUCAUUUAUCAAUAUAUCUAACCCCUCGCUGUAAACAUGUAUAAUUUUUCCCAGAAUCAAGAUAUAAGCAUAUACAUAAAUAUAUAUAUAAAUAUAUCAAUUCAAAUCAUGCUUCACAUAAUCAUAUUCAUAUGUAUGUCAUGCCAAGAUAUAACAGAGUAAGCAACUCAGGUAAGAGUAAUUUCAUAGAAAUAUAACAUGUUAGCCGGAACCCCUGUAGUAGUCUGUACGGCUGAAUUCAUAGCUCAAAAGUCAAUCUAGCCGAAGUCACUACAAUGACCUAUACGGCAAUAUACUGCACAAGAGUCGGAACCAAAUGAAAAGAUCUGUACGACAAUAAUGGGUGUUGUUGAUGCACAAAAUCAGUGAGGACUUUGGUACAACAGAAAGUGUUAAGUUUGUGACAUUCUCUAGAUUACUCCGAUCACUAGUGUGGAUAAGUAUGUAAAUGGAUAAAGACAGGGAAGCAAACACAAGAUGUACGUGGUUCACCCAGAUUGGCUACGUCCAUGGAGUAAAUGAGUUCUUAUUAAUUGUGAAGGGUUUACACAAGUAUAUAGGUUCAAGCUCUCCUUUAGUGAGUACUAGUGAAUGAUUUAGUACAAAUGACAUUAGGAAAUAUUGUGAGAGAAUGAUCUCUAUUUAUAGAAGAGAGUUUCUAGUUUCAUUCUGACAUUGACACGUGUCAUGUUGUGAUUGGCUUCUGAUGUUGACAUGUGUUGCACUAUGAUUGGCUUUAGAUGUCAACAUGUGUCGCGUUGUGAUUGGCCUCCUGGUUUGAGGGAAACUCUUCUGGCUCCUUGACGGUAUAACGUUGAUCGAUGCUCAGUAGUUUCGGGAUUGGUCAAGUAUGGUACAAACAGGUGUAAUAUAAUCAUACUCAAUACUACUCUCACAUAAUAGCUGGGUGAUAAAUCGCUAGUCACCUAUGAGUCAGAACGAUAAUAAAGGUCUGUACGAAGACUGUGCACCUAAAUUGGAUCCAAUAUGACCAUAUGGUGCGGGAUGUGACAUUAUAUACAGGCUUGUGCCAUCACUGGCGGAGCUACACCCACGGCUACAGUAGGCUGUAGCCUAGGGAGGAUUUUAACAAACUGCUGGUAUAAUAGUUUAUAUAUGAGUUUGUUGUUGCUUAUUGUAUGUAUAAUAGCCCACAUAAAUCCUGCCAAAAUUAUUAGUUAAUGUGUUUCUUAAUUUAUAAAUAAUACUUUUAUUACCUUUUAUUAUUUUAUUAUUUUUAGGCUAAAAGUAAAAAUGGUAAAUUAAUACAUAAUUAGGUUUCUCCUAUUCCCCAUGCUUUUUACCUAUUCGUUCAAAACAAAAAAAUUAAACCCUCUACCCUAAGAAAAGAAAAACUAUGAAUCACCAUCAAAUUAUUUUCUAAUGAAAUUCAACACUAGAUAUGCUCUUCAUGUCUUCAUUUAACCUAUUUCUUGAUUCAAUUGUUCAUUCCAUAUAUCUACAGCACGACUUGAAUUGGUAUCCCCUAACCUUUUUUCUUUUGGGUACUUGUUAUCAACAAAAGUGAUAAUAUUUGUUCUCUUUCUAUUGCUUUUUUGUAUGCAUGUUUUAUUUGUGUAAAAAUUAGUUGGAAAGUAAUUAAUAAACUUGUUUGGAUUAUUAGUACUUCAUGUUCCUACUUUUAUGUAGAUUACUAUAUAAUUUUAUGUAGGCAAAAAAAAAAUUCAUAAGAUUAUAUGCUAAUGAUUUUAGUUAGCCCACCCAAGAAAAAUUUUCUGGCUCCGCUAUUAUGUGCCAUAACUCUGGCAAAAUCACAAUCACCCUAAGUGCAGUUUUAUGAGUUCAACGUUAUUCUAUCACAUAUCACAUCAUCGAUAAUUCACAUAACCAAACAUAACUCACAUGAGCUUACCUGAGCGUCCACAGUACCAUAAUUAUAUAUAAUGCAUCAUAUACGAAAUAUAAAUUCAUAUGCAUGGCAUUUAAGGUAUACUUUCAUUUAAACACAUAUUUCUGGGAAAAUAUCAAGUAUAUAAAUAUAUACUGAAAACCAAAAGCCCACUCAUUGGUAUGUCGAAGGGUCGUAGCCCCCGAGUCGCCUUUGAAUACUCUCGUCCUCGUGAUAAGUCUCACCUAUAUGCGAAUUAACUAUAAAAACGUUAUUUUAGAGCACAUACAAAAAAUUAGCUAAUAACUCUCAUACAAUGCUCAAUUUUUGUAUUUGAAUAUAUCACAGUGACCUACACAACCUCAAGAUCAUCCCUAAAUUUUUACAAUAUUUUUCUGACCCCUCACGCGCUGCCACGCACCGGCAAGGGCAACGCCUUACUCGCCCCCACGCGCGGCCACGUGACAAGCAUACUGAUGGCGUCAAUCAACAUCAUCAGGAAUAUUCUAGGGAAUAUUCUGUUAAAACCCAAUGGUAACUGUUAAAGAUGACUGACGGCAUGAGCAUAUUCUGUCAACCUUGACGGAAUAUACUCCUUUCUUCUCCGAUGAGUCGUCGGUCGCCGGCGACUUCGCCGAUUUCUUGGUAAAACUUUAAAUCGCUUAUUCUUCUUCGUUUCUUCGCCAUUUUUCAUGAAAUUGGUACCAAAAUGAAGCUAAUAACAUGUAGAAUCACUUUGUAUAAGUUUCAAGGCUUAAAAUCUACUAGUUUUUCCCUGAGAAAGCUCGAUAGUUCGGCUUACCUAGAUAUGCGUCGAUCUCAGCCCUCCGACGUCCAAUUCCUUCCAACGAAGUACCCCAAGACUCGUGAGGACCUCCUUAAGCUUCCUAUAAGCUUCAAAUUCCCUGAAACACAAGAUUUUACGUAUGCAUGAACAAUGCACAAAGUCGGAGCUAGGGUUUCCACGUGAAAUCGAAGGUUUCCUUACCUGAAAAUGGUUCCUUUGAAUUCGUAUGGUUCUCACGAACACAAUGGUGAUCUUAAAACCUUCGAUCUACAAGGUUUAAGAGGGUUUCUGGGUUGGUCCGUACGAAGAAGGGAGAGAGAGAAUGAGAAUCUGCGAGAGAGAGGGCACGGGAAGGAAAGAGAAAUAAGAUAGGUGUGUGUAUGGUCCAAAAGCCACCAAUCAAAACUAAGAAAAGUCUUAGUUGUAAUUGGGUCACCAAUCUAAAACAAUUUAACCCAAUAAUAACUUACACACAUCAUUUAACAUCCGAGGGUAAUUCCGUCAUUCUACGUCAUCGAGAAUAAUCUUCCGGGACGGGCUGUGACAAUAUCAGCAAUAUUUAUGUUAAUUAUGAAUAGGUCAAUCAUGUAUUUAAUACUUAAAUGUAUUUAAAAUAAACACCUUAUCAAUGUUUUCUGAACUGUGCUCGAUUUUUCUCCUUCGCUUUGGUUCUGUCCCAUUGGAUUUUUCAAGCAAGAUUUUAUCAAGGCAACUAUCAUUAACUGUGAACAUAAUUUAUCAUUGAGACACGAACAUCCAAGGGGGAGUGUCGUGGAAAAAAAUGUAGAUAUCUUUAUACGUUGUAUGGUAGUAAACCAUCAUAAACACCAUAAAUAUGUAGAAACGCCCUUGCGGUACCUUUGAAUGAUAACUCAUGUAUUUGUUGCCCUAUGUAAAGAUGGCUAAUGAUAAUGGAAGACUAAUUUUCUCAUCCCAAUCUCUCCUGUCUCUCUUAUUCUCUUUUCUCUAUAUUUUAUUUCCAACAAGUUGUGUUUUUUUUUUAGUAUUGUUAAGCAACCCAAUAGAUUUUAAUCGUAGUCUUUGUUUUUUUUCUUUUAUAUUUUUAAUCAAUUUCAGUUGCUUAUCAGUUCUAGCUAAUUGAGCUCUUUUACAGCAAUUUUUUUCUUUAAAUAAAAUUAUUAUUAUUAAAAAGAGUGAGAAAAUUCGAAAUUGUUACAAUAAUUUAAAAAAAAUAGGAGUUUCAAAUCAUGAAGGUAGAGGGAGUUAACAACAUUUUAGGGGGGGGUGUAGUCAAACUAGGAUUUUGAAGGAUUUUAAAAGUGAUAGAUUUGAUAGGAUUUAAGAUGAUUAAAGACUCUUACAAAAUUCAUAUGGAUUUUAAAGAAUAUGAAUGGAUUGCGGUGGAUUGUGGGGGAAGGAUUUGAAAUCCUAGGGGGUGAGGUUUGAUUCUUUUUAGUUUUGGUUAUAUAUGGUAUGCUUUCAAAUCCCAGAAAAUCCACAACUUUUUAAAAUCCUUUAAAAUCUUAAUUUUUUUAAUACACUUAGAUUUGGAUGGAUUCUAAAAUCCUUUAAAAUCUUUUAAUUGACUACACCUAGAUUUGAAUGGAUUCUAAAAUCUUUUAAUUGACUACACCUAGAUUUUAAUGGAUUCUAAAAUCCUUUAAAAUCUUUUAAUUGACUACACUAUGAUUUUAAAGUCUUUAAAAUCCUCUCAAAUCCAAGUUUGACUACACCCCCUAAAGAUUUUAAGGAAAACUAAUGAAAAUGGCUUGAAAACUUUGAGUUUUAACUAGGGGUGGGCAAACGGGUACAGGAACCGCGGGUAGGGGUGGGUAAUUCAAGUUCGGGGCAGGUAUGGGACAUGUCCAAUAUUUCUAAACACAAAACGGGGCGAGGCUGUUCGGGUAUAUGAAAUUAUCGGGGCGGGGCGGGUCUUAAAAUAGAAGGGAACGGGCCCCCAGCCUGACCCGUUUCUUUUCCUCAUCCCUAGUCUUCUCUAUCUCUCUUCCCCGACACUUUUCAUUUCACUCAAACCCGGCCCAUUUCUUUUCCUCAUCAGUCAUCCCUAGUCUUUUCAAUCUCUCUUCCCUAACUCCUUUCAUUUCACUCGUACCUCGAGACCUCCUCUUAACUCGCUCCCAGCCUCCCACCGUCCUAGCUCCGUACCUCGCCAUCAUCAUCGUCAGACCUCCAUCUCUCCUGAUUUACUCAUGUCUUCCUCGCUGCGUCCGCCGCCAUGUCUCUCUUUCUGUGACGAACUUAAAGGGACGGACGAAGUUGAACAACUCGAAACGACGCCUCUUCUGUCUGAAUUAGACCCAUAUUUGCAGCGCACGACUCUGCUCAUAGUCCUCUUCGGUUUUAAGGUAUUACGUUUUAGAGAUUUAGGAUUGAAAAUUAAAUUAGGGUUUUCUAGAUUUAGGGAUUUUGUUGGGUUCUUGAACCUUGACCUCUGUUAUGUUCCAAUUUCAAAUAUAUAUUGAAUUGAAUUUGAAUCGACUGUGUUUGAAACUUCUGUUGAAUUAAAUUGAAUUUGAGCAGGAGAAGAGGCAGAUGUGGGUUGGGCAAUGUCGAAUCUCAUUGUGGGUGGUGAGGUGGGCAUGGCGGGCGACAAUAUUGACUGGCAAUGGUACGGGCGGUGCUAUUAAGUUGCAGAAGAAUACGAAGGAGGGGGUGUGGGCAUGGGUGGAUAUCGCAAGCUCAAUUGAAUUUUUUCUGGUUUUGUUUGUGAUUAAUUGCUUGUAUAUGAUAGUUAUUGAUGGAUCUUGACAUGCCCAUUUAAUUGUUAUUGGCAAUGCUAGUUUGAUUGUAACAAAUUCAAACCGAUUGAAUUGUAUCCCAGAAAAAAAAAUCAAUAAAGGAACUGAGGACCCGGCCCGAACCAGCCCAUUUCAACCGGGCCAGGUUAGGUUCGGUUCUUAUAUUAGAAAAUGUUGUUCCCGGCCCGUUUCUCUUAAGCCCGGAUCCAGUCCGAUCACUUCGAAAUUGGCCCCAACCCGGCCCGGGCCCACCUCUAGUUUUAACGAUAAGGACAAAAUAAAGGGUAAAGUGAAUAGUACCAAGUUUGACUUUUUAGUGUAAAAAUGUAAUUUUUCGUUAAAAUAAGAUUUUAAUGGAUUCUAAAAUCCUUAAUUAAGAAAUUAGGCUUCAACCCAACUCAUCUUUGCAACGCCGGUUCCACUUCACAUCAACAGGCAAUGUUUUCUCCUCAACAAAUAGUAUUCUUUUAUGAGACAAAGACUAAUGAGGGUGAUAUAUAUAAUUAAUAAUAAUACUUGUGUUCCCUUUGUGAGUGAAUGCACUUAUUUUACCAUUCUCUAAUAAUGUAUCUUUAUUAUAUAAAUUUAUAUCAUGUGGAUAUCUUCCUAUAAAAAAGUUAUUCAAAUUGGAAAUCCUUACGUCAUCAAAAUAUAUAAAAAAAUGGACGAUCUCAUCGUAAAUAUGUUAGUUACUCACACUAUAACUUUGUAUAUUCCCUCACGUAGGAAACGCAAUAAUUAUCCUCUAAUUAAUUCUUCUUGAGAGUAGAAUUUUUAUUGUUGGUUUUUCGCAACCUUCAGACCUAAAGCUGAUAUGGACCUCUCAUUGUUUUUUGGGUUGCCGUUCUUAUUUUGCUUGGUCCUUUUACCUUUUCUAUAGUUGUUUAUCUAGUUCUUUUGAGCCUCGUACUAAUUUUUAAUGUAAUGAAAAUUAUCUUCGUGAUAAAAAAAAAAAUCAUUAGUCCUCGUAUGAACAUGCGAUGUAACACACUUUCAUGGAACAACAGAUGAUAAAGACGAUAUCCAAAUUUUCUCUGUGUUAUGUGGACUUUCCCAACCAAAUAAAUAAUAACCAAUAAACAAAUAAAUAAGAGUUUAACUUCAAACAUUGAGAAGCGAAAUUCCAACACUACGAGCCUAACUUUUGUCUUCAUCAUCAUCAUAGACUAGUCUCCUAUCCAUCAACUCCUACAUCAAUUUUUUUUUUUACUAGAUUGUAGCUCACUUUCAAAAGAGUUACGUAAAGUAUUUAAGCACCAUAAAAGAAAAUUAAACGACAACGAUUGACAUAAUAUUAGUAGUAUCAUGGUCUAAAAUAUUCAUAAUAUCUUGAUAUUUUUAUUGAAAUUUUCGUGUUUUUAGACUACCUAUAUUUUCAAUAUCAUCGAUAUUUUAAACCUUGCUAAGUCACUCAUGUAUCUUACCAUGCAAUGUAUAAAGUGUAAAAUAUUGUACUAAUUCAUUAUAUAUAAAUGAUUAUAGUGUGUUUAAACUUCUUUCAUUAAUUACUACAUAUUUUCUACACUCACAAUGUUUGCCAGCUCGCUAUAUAAUCAACUUAAAUCAAUUAUAUCUAUCAUGUAAUGCAUUUCCUUCCAAUUUUUUGUGAUAAACUAAUAGAUAAUUGACUAAAUAAACAUCCUGCAAAGUUUCAAUAAAAAUUUCCAAGUUUUUCUUACAAUUUCCGUAGUUUUUAUUCAAUUUUUAUCGAUAUCGAUAAUAUCCCGAUAUUUCCAUCGAAAUUUCCGUAUUUUUAGACUACUGAUAUUUCCGAUAUCAUCGAUAUUUUAUACCUUGGUAGUUAUACAUUUUAUCGGCCUCAUUUUUAUGCAACUUAUACAUUAAAUUAUUGUCAAAAUGUACAUAUAAAGUAGCUGAUCAACGAUGAGAUUUUAGGCAACCAUUUUCUUCUACGACGUCAAAGGUUGUAGAGGUGGCCAUGUGCACUACAUGCGUAAAUCAACUAGGGACUUGGAUCCUCUCUUAAGCCCAAGGAGAGGAUCCUCCUAACCAAAUGACUUGGAUUGUUGGAUGAAAAUCUAACGAUUACAAACAGAUGAUCUCUUUAAAGUUAUAAUAUUUAUUACCGUUGAAUUUUCAUCAAACGGUCAAAUAUCAUUGGUCAAAAGGGUCCUCUCAUUGGGCUCAGAGAGGACCCAAGUGCAUCAACCAGAACUAUUGCUAUUAUAACAAUUCAUGAAAUCAAUUAAACAAUAAUUUUCCUUCUGGCAGGCAUGUUAGUUAUUUCUUAUUUGGCCAAUUGCCUAGUGGAUUUGGUAGAUUUAACCUCUCCACCACAAACACAUUUAAAAAUUUCCAGAAAUCCGUAACGUAAAAUUUAAAAAUAAAUAUUAAUAACAGCAAGUUCUUUUCACCGACCGUGACCGAGAUCUGUCACAUAUCCAAAAUGUCACCUCCUUAUCGCAAAAACCAAAUUUGACUUGGGAUAAAUACCGUGUACAAAUUAAACGCGUUUCUCUAGCUUUUGCGUAAAGAGGCAACCCAACACUAAACUAGGAAAACGUUGGGUUGACAAAGAUACCAUGAAGAAUAAAGGGGUUAUGCAAUCCACUUUGCAAGAUAAUCAAAGUUUCCCGUUGUAGACUUGUCUUAACCCAACACUAAACUAAGAAAACGUUGCUUUCCCGUUGUAACAUGAAACAACAUUAAACAACAUUAAACAAUAUUAAAUAACAUUAAAUAACAUAAAAAUUAUACAACAUAAAAAAAACCAUUUAACAACAUAAAACUUAAAAUGCGUACUUCUUGCUUCUUGUGGCCUAAAGAUGUGCAACAAGAUCUUGAUGUAGGUACUUGUUUGUGGCACGAAAACGUAUCAUCCUAGCCGUUGGAUUUGAAUUUUUUUUGUUUUCGGCCAAAAAAUUUUAAAUUUAAAAGUUGAAGAUGGUGAGAAAUAUGAUCCUACACUGUUCAUUAAAAUAUUAAUUUCUUGAAUGACCAAAAGGCUAAAACAAGCCAUCCUUCGGUUGGAGAUGCCUAAGGAGAGACUAGAGAUAGAGAGUUUCCUAUAUAUGAUUUUCAUUAACAAGAUUGAAAUGAUUUCAGAGAGAAGAUCAAGUAUGGUUAUUUUUAUUUUGUAGAGUGUAGACAUUAUAACUAUACAUUCAUAAUAACAUGAGUAAUGUUAUAUUUAUCACAUUUGUACUCUUUCUCUGAUAAAGGUAGGGUUCAUCAACACAUGUGGGUUCUAUUUGCCCAUCAACACAUGCGGAUCUCAUUUUUAUUAGAAAAAUAGUACAAAUAUGGUACGGAAAAUAUGAUAAGAUCGCAAUUUUGUAAUAACAUAUAUACUCAACUAUUUAUAUACCGACCCAUCUCCUUUUAGUGUAGAUAAUAUCGUUUGUUAAAAAAAAUGUUGAACUUGUCAUAAUCAUUGAAUCCAUUUACCAUGAACAAACGGCAGUUUACUAAACUUGCCCUCAGAGUAUAUAUAAAAGGUGAAUCACAAUCUAUUGCAUUAAUAUAAGGAAACAAUUUAUAGGGUUUGACGGGUGACUUAAUAUGCUAUAUGGCACAAUGAAAAUUAAGUUCACACUUUAUCCCAAAUAAGGUGUUGCACCUUUAAUUUAUGGAUGCUGGUUUGACGUGUGACCGAAAUAAUCAAAUUGUAGCCAUUAAUCAUUUUACAAGUAAUAAUAUGUAGUUUUUACUGUUUACGAUUCACACAACAAUCUGCUAGGAAGUAGAAAAUGCAGUACUUGUCCCUCUCACAGAAGUCAUGAAUAAUUAUCAAAUUCAAAGAUAAAGAAAAACCACACAAUUUACAAGAGGAAAGAAAAUGAAGGGAUAAAGAAAGUAAGAAAGGAAUACCUCUAUGGGAGGACUCUUAUUUGCUUCAGAUGCCUACAAUAUUCAUCAUAUAAACACUGAUUAAGUAGUCAUCGAAAACCAAAACAAAUGUCGAACAUAGGGUGAAAAACAGAAAGAAUAACCGCAGCUCAUCAUACCAAUAGAGAUAGAACUGCCCGAUGCCCAAGUAUGACUGAAAAAUGGCAAUCCAAACAUGGCGCCUUCUAGCUCAUCAAACUGUCAAAACCUAGGUUCCACCAAAAAGAUACAAGUCACCUAGUUACUUGUAAAAUAAAAAUCUGUUUCAAAAUAGUGGAAAAUAUUAUUAACAUUGUUCAAAGUCCACAUUGUUGUACCUACCAAGAAACAAGAAGGAUUGUAUCUUAUCAUGAAAAAGAACAUAGGUACCUUUUCAAUUGUAAUUGUACAAAAAUGAGAGACCACUUCCGAACUUCUCUUGGAACUUCAAUCAAUUUCUGCCCACUUUUAAAUGCCUUGACAUACUUAAGCCUAUUUCUUUGAGCUUCAGUUUUGGCUUCUGAUGCCUUUAAAUUUCUUAAAGAUUCUUACCAAGUUUUACAAACUCACUUCUAUACAACCAUUUGUCAGUAUACAUACCAUUUUCUUUGAGCUUCAGUCUUUGCAACACCAAAACCCCCCAAAUAGACCCGGAAUUUUGCAAUGUGCAGGGAAUAUACAAAAAAAACCCUCCUAUCCAUCUAAAACGAAAUCAGAACCCAAACCACAAUCAAAAUCCGUAAAAUUAAUUUAGCCAACCCUAAAUCUAAUAAUUCUAACAAAUAUUAUAGUAUCAAUUGAGAGAGAAUUUGAGAAGAUACCUAGAGAUGAAAGGAAGAGCGUUUCCUCUGAUAGGGGUUCCGUGAAAGCAUCUGUUGACCAGAAAAGAAAAGGCAAAAAACCCCAAAUUACAUAUCAAGCAAUUAUAGAUAGAUCGAACCUUGAAAAUUGAAAUUUCAAACAAGAGAAAGGUUAUAAACUUACAACGAUCUGGGUGUUGGUUACUGGGUUUGGAUUUGGGUUUCUGAUAAGAGAGAGAAUCGUAUGAGGAACCGAUAGAGGAACUGCACCGGCAACAGAGAGCAACUGAUAUGGUGGAGAAUAGAGAUGGGCAAAAUAUCCCGGUUAUCCGCCCAUUUAAAGUUCACAGUUACGGUUAUGGUAAUUGAACGGUUAUGGGUACUACCCGUGGUUAUAACGGGUAUCUAUUGGUUAUGGGUAUUAUCCGCGGUUAUAACAGGUAUUCAUUUACCCAUUUAAUUUCAUAUAUGUAAAAUUUAUAAUAUUUUUAACAGUUAUAACGCGUUUUUGUAUUUGUUGCCAAACUUUUCGUAUACAAAAAAUUUGAAGCACAAGAAGCCAACAAGGAGAAAGAUCAAAGAGCUUACUUGAAGCUUAUGAUCUAUCCUGCGGUUAAUAGAAAGUACUGGUAUUAGUGUAGAAAAAUGUUUGUUUUUAGAAGCUUUAUUUUGUAAUCAUAUGAAUUAUAAUUAAAGACUUGCUUGGGUGUAGUAAAAAAAUAUCGUUUGUAAACUAUUAUUUCAAUUAUUAGAAUUGUAUGAUGACCUAAAUGAUUAAAAUAGAGAAAUGCAUGCUAAAAUGUAUUUAUAACAGUGUUUAAUUGUCAGAUUUUUUUUUUUUUUGUAAUUUUCAAGUUGUUAAAAAAAACAUGCAGAGAGGUGAAAAAAGGGAUUAAAAAAUGAUAAACGGGUUCAAAACGGGUAAACGGGUAAAUGAUUAUGGUUAAAUAGGUAAACGGUUAUGGGUAAAUGGGUACACGGUUAUGGGUAUGAGUAUAACCGUUUAUGCAAUUACCCAACGGGUAAACGGCUAUGUGGGUAUGAACAUAAAUGGUUAUGAGUAAAUAACCGCGGUUACCCGCCCGCUAUAACCAUUGCACAUCCCUAAUAGAGAACAUACGAGAAUAGCCGCUUGGAUGGUCAAUCCAAGAAGAGAAAAUCUUGCCACAAUCACGGUACUUGAAAAAAAAAACAAUUUUAAAGGAGGGAAACAAUCGCGCCUUUUUUUUAAUAGACUCUGUCGACGAUAUUCUUGACAAAUAGUCGGGUGAGCUUAUUUUUCACAACAUUUUAUUUAGGACUAGGUUCGGUUGGCAAAUCGUGUCAAAUUUCUUGUGCCAUUUGCCAGCCACAUAUACAUAAUUACCAAAAAUCAGUUACCGUUCGCCAACCAUCUUCUUGCGGUUGCCAAAAAUCGGUUCAACCAAAAUGAUUGGCUGGUUCGGUUGGUAAAUGGCACAACCGGUGGUUUCCACUUCUUCCUCGCUAUCUUCUAGUUGCAAGGGCUCAAUUUGAUUUUCAGAUUGGGAUGCUUGUUCGGUUGCAUUGUGUGGUUCAUUUUGGGUUAAUCCAUGUUGUGCACUAGCAAUUAAUUGGCUAGACUCCAUCAUCCUAAACAUAAGCAACACAUAUACAUUCAAAAUCAUAUAUAUGUACGUGUAUAUAUAGUAUCAGUAAUCAUCAUGUUAUCAAUUUUGUUAACAAUAUUUUCUAUAUUGAUUAUGGCAUGAAUCAUAUACAUAUACAUAUAUUUUUUAAACCCUAAAACUAAGGAGUUAUUUAUUUUCUAAGCCCUAAAAUUGAGGAGUCAAGCAUGUAAAAAAAUACUUAAAAUAUCUAAAUAGAAAAAGAAAAAAAAAAAAAAAAAUAUAUAUAUAUAUAUAUAUAUAUAUCGGUAGGUAUGGCAUACCGCCGACAUACAAAAUCAAUUACCAAAGCCAUGCCAUUAAUUGUCGGUUCGGUAAAAUGCCAACCGAUUAUGAAAAAAUGCCAAAACUAUACCAUACCAUUUUGAGCCAACCGGUAUGGUUCGGUCGGUAAAUCGGCUUAUGGCAAAAUUUCUCACCCCUAAUUUUAUUUGUCGCCUUAAACCUAUUGGUUUCUAGCCUACAAUUUGGAUAUUUUGUUGGGGAAAGAUUUUUGUACCAAUAAAAUUUUGCUUUGUCAGCUUAGGAUUUGUCGGCAAAAUGACAUUUUCUAGUCGUUAUAAUAUUAGGUAGAUCAAAUUUGUAAACUAUGUGAUGUGUCACCAAUAGGAAAAAAAUUCAGUGUGCUGAAAAUACAGUCUAGAACACCAAGUGUCAUAAUAUAUACUUGGUUGGAAAUUUUUUAUUUUCAAGUUUCCAACUAAUUGUAUUGUAACAGUUGGUGUUCCAAGCUAUUUUCUCGAUGCGUUGGAAAAUCUCUUCACCAAUUAAAAAUAAACAUAUUAAUUAACACUUAAGUAAUAAUCAAAGUAUCAACAACUACGUCAUAAAAUUUACGAAAUAUGAUCUUAAUUAAUGAUCUCCAUGGCAUUACCCUUUAUCUUAGCGUAUACGUACGCCUUCACAUGUUUAUUUGCUGAUAUGCAGCUUGAGUAAAAAUUUCUUUUUAAGAACAUAUAUGUGAAUAUAAACAUAUAUAUCUAGUGAUCCAUGUUGCGUUAUUUAAAAAUAAACAAAUUAAUUAAUUAAUAAAUGAACUGUGUGCAUGUCUGUGUAGAGUAAUCCAUAUGCAUGCUUGAAUCCUGAUCACCACGAAACCAUAAUAUAAGCUACUCAAGGCCCGGAAGCUAGGAUUGAAGAGAAAAACACCCAGUCAGAUUAAGCCAAUAUAUCAAAGUUAAUACUUCGAAAUGUAAGCUUUAAGAUAGAAAAAUCACUUACUACCUUGAGCAGUCGAGCUUCUUCAAUGGCAUGAAGCUUUUAGCAUGAGAUUGACUGCAUCACAACUAAAAUUUUCUCUUGGAAACUACAUAAGGAAUAGCAUGUAUACCUAUAACGUUGAGAAAGUACGCCAAUUUUUUCCUUCUGCACAUUCAUGUUUAAAAGUAAUCCUCAAAUGAACUUGCCCACAAUGAAAUGCAAUUUGAGGUAGUCGAGUGUGUUCCAUUUCCAUUCCAUGGGAAUUACUACUAAACUUUGAGAUGGUAAAGGAUUCAUGAAAUUUUUUACUUUUGAGAUAGCCUCUUUAACAUUUCUCGACUAUAACAAUGAGGGAAUACUUCACCUUGUAUCAAACAAGGGAGAGCGAAAAUCAACUACUAAUAGCAUCACAGAGCCAGCAGAAGAUUGAGGAGGCCAUGAAGAGGAGAGAGAAAAUACACUCUUUUUUUUUGUAAGGACAGAGAUAAUACAUUCAGUAAGGGGUACUGAUGUUUAUAUGCAAUGCUGAUUAGGUUUAAAUAGUCCUAUUUAUUCUGUACAGUGCCAAUAUUACCACCCGUUAGUACACUUUCAAGACACUGUACUCCAGUGUGUGCGCUAUGCAGUACGUAGUACUCCUCAUUUUUUGGGGAAAUUCAUUAUUGGUCUUCAUAUCUUCUUUAUUUUCCUUUUCCUCAUUGUGCCACGUGUUUAAAUCACUAAUUGUAGGUAAUCUUUCAAUUUAAUUAAAUCUUAUGUAAAAAAAGAUAUUUAAAUAUCAUUUAGUAUUACAAGAUAGUGAUAUUCCUCUUUAGUAUAAAAUUUUUAUAAUUAAAAGCGUUCAGUUUUUUAAUCUUCAUUUGAAUACUAUCUAUAAAGAAAAAUUAUUCGAAUAAGAGAUCGUUUAUGCAUUCAAAUGUACAAAAUGCAUCGACAGUGUGAGAACGAAUUAAUAUAUUUUUGAUGAAGUACAAUUAUUGAAUACAUUUGAAUGAUCAAAUGAUAUAUGAUUCAAAAUACAUAUUAAGAUAAUAAAUAUAAGUGAAUUGUUAUUAGCACUCCAAGAAUCUUAUUAUACACUCUAAAUUUUCUAUAUUUUGAAUGAAAAAUAAAUUUAUGAAGAGUGUAGAAUGAGAUUUUUUAAUGCUAAUAACACUUCUCUAAAUAUAAUUAUGAAAUUAAUAAAGUAAAGAUACAUGACCUCGUGAAUGAUGUAUGUAUUAUUCAAAAAAUUAUUAAAAACAAAUUGAAAAAGGACGCUGUUGUUGCCACCACUUAUGCAAUGAUCGUCGCUGCCAUCACCAACCCCCAACACCCCAUUACAGCUCAUAAAAGCACAUCAUAAGCAAUUUAUGAAAUAAAUUUACUGGAAUACUAAUUUCCCCCUUAGUUUAGGUCACCAAUGUUUAAAUUUAGGGGUGUGAUAUGCACAUACCUUUUUUUGCUUCUCUCACACUUUUUUUGUUGUUGUCGAAUCAGAUGAAUUGAAGAAGAUCAAUUGACAGAAAUUAACAAGGGGUGUAUGAAAAGUAAAAAUGGAUGUGUAGAUAACACAUCCCUAAAUUUAUCACAACUUUCAUUCCAAAUUUAAUUUUUAUGCGUAGUUUUGUUUGUUCAAAUUUACUUUGACAUUUCAAUUAGUAUUAAAAUCUAAUUUAAAUUUUAGCGUUCAAGCUAGAAAAAGUGUUCCAUUUAAUAUUUAAUCUCAGUUUUUCUCUUUAUUCUUUUAUUCCGAUUUGGUUGCAUCGUAUCUCCAUUUUUCUCGGUGUUGUAUGUUCAUAAGGCCUGGGAAACGUUGGCACGGAGUGAAGGGUACUCACUUUUUGGCCCAAAAUGCAUAAGGCAUGUAGAUAUGUUAAUCAAAUUUUGUAAACUAAAGGAUAUAGAAGUUGAUACUUAGAUUAUAAUUUAAGAUAAUACUAAAGAGACUAAAUUUGCAAACUAAAUGAUGUGUCACCAAUAAAAAUAAGCACGUUUAUCAACGCUUAAGUAAUAAAUCAAUCAUCAACUUUCAUGUCCUUUAGUUUCCAAAAUUUAAUAUACAAAUUUAGUCUCCCAAGCAUUACUCUAUUACUUAAGUAUUGAUUAACAGACUUAUUUCUUAUGGUGACAUAUUAUUUAAUUUACAAAUUUAGUCAACCCAACAUUACUCUUUUGAAAUUGUCUUGUCCACUGAUAUAAUUCUAUUUUUCUUGUGAUCAAAACUUCAAAUGUUAGCAAGUCGCACGUAAAGUCACUUCUGAGAGAAUGUGCUCACAUUGUAGUUGAAAGAUUAUGUGGCUAGCAACAUUACAAAUUUAAUUUGGUAUAAUUUAAAAUAUAGAUUGAGGAAAAAAUGAUCACAUUAACUAGAAACUGAAAAGGUUUCAGCACAGUUUGUUCAAGCAAGAAACUCAAUUUUGAUGCUACCGAUCUUAACAGCCUGAGCGCCGUACCUGGGCACUAAAGUCACCACCACACUCUCAUCAUCUUCAGCACCCAAAUCCUCCAACAGGUCCGUUAACCCCAACCUUAAACAACUCUUGCUCUUUUCCUUCUGCUUAUGUGGAACACUCACAAAACUCCCAGCAAACUCGCUCUUGUCGGGUCCACUCGGUGCCGCAUCCUCAUCGUCCACGUCAUUCACAUACACAUCAAACUUCACAGCCACAUCUUUGUCAAGCUCAAUCCCCUGAAUCACCAGUAUCUCCUCCUCAUCCUCUUUCUCCUUCUUGCUCCUCUUCUUCGGCUUCGGCCUUGACACCACCGUACUUAUCUUUGUCUCCAAAUUUAUUGGAAAAUCUUUACCCGCCACCACCUUCCCCGAUGACGUCGUCUCAGCGGCCUUCGCCACUCCAGCCGCCUUUGCCUUUCUCGCAAGCUUUGUCCGACGUGGCGUCGGUCUAGACUUGAGCCAUGGAAUCUCAACAUCUUCAUACGUAUACCCUAGCUUUUUAUUAUCAAGAGUGUCCCUCACCGUGACCCUAACAAGCUCAGCAUUCUCGUCAUAAAACAAAAACCCCGUAUCCAACCAAUCCUUAUCGUUAAUAUCUUUAUUUUUAGUCCCUAUACUUUUCCAAAUAUUCCACAUUCGAUCUAUAUUCGAAUGGUGCGAAAAAAAUAUUGGAUCCCUUGCAGCGGAGUAAAAAUUCCCCAUGUCUUCAAAAUUAGGUUGCGUGUUAUCUCCGGUCCAUGUAUGAACCGGACCAUGUGGGGUCGUUUCGAUUGAACCGGCCCCUGGAUCUGGUUCGGUGCCAGCCCUGUAGGGCGAACCAAAGAACAACAGCGGUUUCUUGGAGUUGGAAACCAUCUGCCUAUACAUGAUUUUGAGGUUGGCGUCGAUUUGAGCAUCCUUGGACAUUGUUUCAUCCGUGCCGUUAAAGUCAAGAUCGAUGAGAGUCGGCGGCUGAUGGCUGGCAGCGCGGAGCUCGUCGUAAAGCGGAGAGUCCGGGUUAGCGAACAAGGCAGGGAGUUGCAUGCCAGCUGGCGCGUCCCAGUUCCAAAACGGCAACGCGAACGUCGGAUCGUCUAUGAGUUUGGCCAAGAUUCUUUCGUGGAAGUAUAGGUAGUAACGAUGGAAGGGGAAGAAAAGCCAGGAUUGAUGGAUUUGGAGCUCGAGGUUGGGGAAGCCGACUUGAUCGUACGCGCCGUCGCAAUAGGCACAGUGGAUAUCGGCUUGCUGGGUGAAGCUACGCGGAUCGUCGUCCGGGAGGGCUUUCAUGAGCUCGAUGGCUUUUGAAUAUUUUUCGAUGUAGGCUUUAUCCACGGUGUGAGCUGCCGGCCUGACGCGGAGUUUGGUAGGGGAGGGGAAUUUGAAGUCUACGAUUUUUUGGGACGUUGGCGGGCAACAGUUGGUCGGGACUGCUCCACUUGGAAAGUCCGCACCUCCGCAUUUGGCUAGGUCAGGCGGCGACACUGGCUUUGCAACAGCGAAGGGGUCGCUGCCAAGACCAGCCACUCCACCGUACAGGCUUCCGAGACCUAUAAGUACAUGUCUUCUGUCUAGGUUUACUGGAGAAAGGUUUUCAUGGUCGUGAUCGUUGGAGCUAGUGGAAGGGUUUUUGUUUUGGUCACUACUAUUAUUCGUGGCUUUGCAUGAGACGGCUUGUAAAUUGGAAUGCCUAGGGUUUUCAAAUAAGGAAAUUCGGUGAUACUUUUGGGAGAAAGGGAAGAGAGAAGUUGUGGGGAUGAUACUUGUGGUGGAGGUGACGAGUGGAGCUGACAUAGAAGCCAUGGUUACUUGACUCUGAAUACUACGUUGUAUAGGCUUUGCUUUUAUAAUGUGUUCUAGGUUUUACUUUUCUUUGCACAGGUGGCAGGCCGUACACAUUGGCGGUCCUUAAGGGUUUGACGAGGAAUACUACGUAGUCAUUUAGUACAGGGCAACCAUGCACUAUAGCACGUGGCAUGUAAUAUUUACGUAGUCUCAGAAGGUGAAGCGGUUUUGGGCUUCUUGUGUACCAAUAAUAUUUACGUACUCAUUAUUCCACUGGAUGGAUUGCGUGCACGUGAUCUUUAUUCAAACAAAUCACUAUUGACCAUAUAUUGCAAUUGGUUAAUGUUAGGCAAAUUAAAUUUUUACAUCAAAUAAUGUGGUUGCUGAUUAUUGAAUUAUUAUUUAAGUUUGAUUAAUGUGCUUAUUUUUUAUCGGUAAUACAUCAUUUGAUUUGCAAAUUUGAUUUACCUAAUAUUACCAGUUAUAAUUUGUAUAAAUGGACUGGUACCUAACAUUACCAAUUGUAAUUUGUAUAAAUGGACUCGUACCUAACAUUACCGGUUGUCCCAAGAGCACACGCUACUGCUCAAGAAGCAAAGUUCUUAUUUGCCCAAAAAAAAUCAUGGUUUUUUAAUUGAUGCUCUCAUUUUAAUUUACUAGCCCCUUACUUGGCCCUUUUUAUUUAUCAUUUUAUACAUAUUAAUAUUUUGUUUGUAAAAUAUAUUAGUGUUAGUUUUAUCAAAAUUAAAAAUAAAUAAAAAACUUAGCUUUAGUAUUUAGUUAUUGAAAUUGUAAAAAAAGUGAUAAAGUAUUGGGUGCUUUGUUUGAAAAUUUUCAAAAUGAUAUUGUUUUUACCACUGAACCCCUGUUAUAUACAGUGAUGGCUAAUUUGUCAAGUUCUACGAAGUUGGGAUACCCAGCGUUUUAGCAUAUAACAUAGCUUAGUAUUUCAAGCAUAAUUAAUUAACGAAAAAUUAGUAUCCGGUCCCUAGUUUUUACUGUUCAUUGACUAAGACCUUAUUAGUUCUCAAAUUUUGAUUCAAGUCCCUAGCAUUAAUGUGAUAAUGAAUUUACAUGUUUAUUAUAUAAUUUUUUAAUAUAAAAAUUAGUAAUUAAUUUAGGGUUUAAUACUCACACCUCUAUUAAACUUCUAAUUAAUUUUCAAUUCAGACAUUUCCAAAAUAAUAAAAAAUUAAAUUAAAUUAAGUUUGUACCUAUUAGUUUUUUUUUAUAUAUAAAAAGAUUCUCAAUUUUUAAUCUUAAAUGUACAUCUUAAAUGUACCCAUUCUCAAAUAUAUCAAUUUGUUAUAUGUAAAAUGUACCCUUUUUUAAUAUAAAAUCCAUUCAAAAUUUUUAAUCCAUGUUUAAACUUAUAUGGGUACAUUCUUUUUCGUUGAUUUGAGAAUGUAUCCAUGUUUUGGUACAAUAAAUUUUUUGUUAAUUUUGGUUAAUGUACCCAUACAUAUAUGUACACACACACACACACACACACACACAAUAUAAUAGAGAGUAUAAUUUAUAUUUUAUUAUUUUUAAUCCCAUAAAUGAUGGGUUUUAUUUAAAAUCUCAUUAAUAUAAACAAUUAUAAAUUUCAAUUUUUAAUUUUUAAUUUAAAAAAUAUAGUAACUUACAUUAUUACAUUAAUGUCAGGGACCUCAAUAAAAAACUAAAAACUAACAAGGUUUCAAUCAAAGAAUAUUGAUAGCUAGGGACCACAUCCAAAGUGUCCCUUAAUUAAAGGGUAAAUUACAUAGUAACCCCUCAGGUUUGAUGUCUAUUACAACCCCAUACAACAUCUUUAAAACAUUUCACUUUCAUACCUCAAGUACUAUUUUAUUUCAAUAUAAUACAUCUGUUAGAUUUUCCAUCCAUUAAUCCGUUAAAUGCUGACAUGGAUACCACAUUUGUGCCACGUGGCUGCCAAAUGCGUGUCAUGUGGCAAAAAUAAUAAUUUUUAAAUUUAAAAAAAAAUGAAUCUUCAACCCAAAAAAAAAAAAAAAAAAAAAACCCCAAACCCAGAUCCCAUCAACCCCCCCCAAACGAUUAUCCCUUCCCCAUAUCCCCCAUCCCACCCCCCAACCCCCCCUCUGCGACCAACCUUACCAUAGCGCCCCCCAACCUCGCGACCCACCUCACUCAAGGCCCUAAUCCACACUACCUACAACCCAGAAACGAAAAAAAAAAACAAAAAACAAAAAACUCAUCUCCCUUUCCCUGCAACCCAAAUCCCAUCUUCCCUAAUGGGUAUGGAUUUAAGAAGUGGGGUGUGUAGAGGAGGGAAGAGGGUGGGUGCGGAGGAUGGGUAUGGUGGGUUGCAAGGAAGGGGGGUCGGGUAAGAUGAAGAUGGGUUUUUUUUUUCUCUCUCUCUUCUUCUUCUUCUGGGUUGCAAGUUGUAGGUUGGGGUUUUUUUUUGGGGGGGGGGGGGAGGGAGGGAGGGAAGACGACGUGGGGUUUGGUUUUUUUUUUUUAAUUUAUUUAGAAGAUUUAGGUUUUUUGAAAAAAAAAAAAAAAUUCCACGUGGCACAAAUGUGGCAGCCACGUCAGCAUUUAACAGAUUAAUAGAUGGAAAAUCUAACGGAUGUAUUAUAUUGAAAUAAAAUAGUACUUGAGGUUAGAAAGUGAAAUGUGUUGAUGCACAAAACCGAAGGUCUUUGAACAACGUAAAUCCGAUCGUGAAUAUGCAAGUAAUGUAAAUAACACAAGAUGUAUCGUGGUUCACUCCAAUGUUUGGGCUACGUCCACACUGAUUAUUGUAUUUCUCUGAGAGGUGAGGGGGAGAGCUUUGAGAAAGCUUAGAGCUUAGGGGAUGUGAGAAGGCUUAAGAAUUGGCCUCCCUUAUUUGUGAGGGUGAUGAGUCCUUUUAUAGAAUAAGGGAUCCUCACUUAUUACAUAUUUGCCCAUUCCUUUAUUACAUAAUUACAUUUAAGUCCCCUGAGUACUUGUACAAGGUCUAAAUACGGAGGCCCUAAGUAUGGUACAAACAGUAGUCCCCCAAGUCUUCAGUCAAGAGAGUCUUUUGGCUAGAGACUUGAAAUUCUGUCCAUGUGUGAGCCGAAAUAACUAGAUGUCGUCUAGAACUGAUAUUUGAUAUGCGGCAGUGCCCAUUUUGAAAUAAUGCUCAACUAGAAGUAGCACAUGCUGCGAGGCUGCUCUGCUUGUGUUGCCUUGGUUGGCUCGACUUGUGGCGUUGAAGGUGAGAGAGUCCCUUUUAUAGAAUAAGGGCUCGCUCCUCAUUACAAAGAUGAUGGGUUAGUUGGUGCUUGCGGUGAGGCGGAUGCUCAGCUGGCGGCGAUGCUCUCUAAUGAUAGUGAGGGAGUCCAUUUUAUAGAAUAAGGGAUCGCUCCUCAAUACAUAAAUAAUAGGUGCUCUCUAAUGAAAGUAAGGGAGUCCCUUUUAUAGAAUAAGGGCUCACUCUUCAAUACAUAAAUAAUGGGCUAAGUCCCCUAAGUAUUUUUUAUGAGGCCUAAUUGAGGCCCAAUAUAUGGUACAUAAUGUAGUCCCCCAAGUCUUCGGUCAAUAGAGUCUGUUGGCUGGAGACUUCAAAUUGAAUCCAUGUAUGGGCCGAAGUGGCGGUUGUUCGGAAGCGGUAUUUGUAUACCCUGCACUGAAGCUUUAUAGGUGAAGCUUUGCAAGUGAAGCUUUGAAGCUGGAGCUCAGUAAAUGAAGCUUUUGAAGCUAGAGCUUUUGUAAAUGAAACUUUUGAAGCUGGAGCUCUAUAAAGGAAGCUUUUGUAAAUGAAGCUUUUGAAGCUGAUUCACAUGAGUGAUGCUCAUGAAUGUUUAUGUUGAUUGAUAUGAGUGAUGCUUAUGGAUGUUGACAUGAGUGAUGCUCAUGGAUGUUGACGUGAUGCUCAUGAAUGUUAACAUGAGUGAUGCUCAUGAAUGUUUAUGUAUGAUUGAUAUGAGUAAUGUUCAUGAAUGUUUAUGUAUGAUUGACAUGAGUAAUGCUCAUGUAUAAUUUGAAGUACUGGGCAUACUUUUGAUUACCUGGUUGGCGAUAAUAGCGGCAGGGUGCCGAAUAAUUUUUUGUAGUACUGGGCGUACUUUUGGUCACCUGGUUGGUGAUAAUAGCAGCAGGGUGCCGAAUAAUUUUUUGUAAUACUGGUCGUCCUUUUGGUCACCUGGUUGGUGCUAUUUUGAGCUUAUGGGCCUUCGCCCUCUACACAACAUUCCAGCCUAUUUAUUUUGGGCUUUACCGUUUUUUUUAAUUACCCUAUGAUGGGGUUUAUACAGAUGUCUCCGAAAGAUAUGAAAAAUAAAUUACAUCAUUCAAAAAUAAAUCCGACCCUCUGCUCAAUGGGUCACGCCAAUAAUUCUUUUUUUUUAUGCAUGCCAUCACCACCGCAAUUAUGUCUGCUUCUUUUUAUCUUCUUUUGCUUUCUGCUUUUGCUUUUACUUUAUCUUUCUCUUUUGGCAUAUGGCAGACAACGCCAAAACGGAAUAAUGAAUUAUUAUGAGAACAUGAAUCUUAUCUUUUGCCUGGUUUUCCACUAGUGCUCGUGGUAUUCUCAGGAGAUUGGAUCUGGGGGUAGGCGACUACCCCAGCACCUUGCCCUGAUACGUAAUAGCCUGAUGUCCCACUGCCAUCUCCAUACUGGAAGGUGUACGAACAAUGGUUAUUCUGUGUGGAACAAAUAGAAUCCGAUUGAGAUUCAAGACUGCACCUUCGAUCUGAGCAAGAAAUGAAUUGUGACGUUGAUGAACUUCUAGGAGGAGAAGCAGAGGAUCUUUGACUAUGAUGAUCUUUGAAUUCCAGAUGAAACUGAAUAAAAUGCAGGUUGUGGAGCUUGAUGUGGGCCCAGAUCUGCUUGACAGCUUUGGGGCGGGAGGAUUCCUUGACACUGAGGAAGAUUCCCAGAGCUGGAGGGAUGAGAAUCGACUUCAUAAUCCCGAUGGUGGGUUUGUGCUUGGUCGAAAGAUCAUUUCUGGCAGGGGAAAACAUGUACCAUACCUAUUGCAAAUCUUGCAAAUUCUCUGCUUCUCCAUGGAAGAUGAAGAGCAUCGAAUCUCUGUUUUCUCUCUCUCUCUCUAAAACGUUUUCGUUAUAGAGUGCCCCAAUAGAAGUGGACGGGCAGUGAGCAUGCCAUUUAGUGCCUCCUCCAAGACAGUAACUGAUACGGUGGUCUUUAUUGGCACUCCAAGUUUACUAAAAAGGGCAGCAAAAAUAGUAUUUACAGCACCCAAACUUGAAAGAUCUAGCUCCAACUAGUGGCUUUCUGUUUCAACAGCCUGAAAGCCGGCAGUGUCAUACCGACGCCGUUUGUCUGGAUCAAAUAAUAUAUUAUAAGAAAACAUGACCUUCUUGAAGAUAUCAGCUGUUUUAGAGUCAUUAGCAUUUUUGUCAGGAUGGUACUUGAGAGCCAUUUUCCGGUAAGCACUUUUGAUUUCCUGGUUGGUGGAAUUCCUAUUGAGGCCGAGGACCGCAUAAGGGUUUUGUCGGAGCUGCUUCUUAGCUUCUUGCUUCUCCGAUUUUGAUCGGCUGCCCUGCAUUUUUGAAAUUGACGGUCAAUUUCUUCACAAAACCCUAGAAAUUGCCUCUCGAUUACCUCCGAAACACAUAAUUCACGACUCUUGGUUGAAAUUUUUUUUUUUCAUUUCAAAGAAGUGGCGGAGGUAAAUCAGUUGUCACAUAGCACCGGAGCAUGAGGAAAACCUAGAAAACCAAGAGGCAGAGAGACUCCAUGCACAUCUAACCUGGAACCUUGCAGGAGAGAGCAGAGAGAAAGAGACAAGAAAGAUUGAGGGAGAAGCGAUCUUGGUGCAUCGUCUGUGAUUCCUUGGUGAUUUGCUCGAUCGGGACUCUGAAUUCGUGCAAGUCAUUGCUGUUAAGCAAGAAUCGCGAGGAGUCGGAGAGCUUGGAAAUCGAGAAGGAGAGAGGGCCUUUAGUCAGGGCUUGGAGGGUGUCGGACUCCGUCGGCCAAGAUUGGUGCACGGUCACGGCGUCUGGGCCCAUGGCGGUUGUGUAAAUGGGGGAGGUUCUAGGAGUCCAAGAAAGAAGAAGAAGCAGCGACCAUAGAUCUGGGAGUCCAUGGCGCUUGAAAGAUACGGCGAACAAGUCGGACUUGCUGCUGGGCAGCUGGCGGUGAUAAUGUUGGUGCAUGGGUUUUGGAGUGGGAGUGUUUGGAAUGGGUUUUUUGUUUAGUUUCUAUGUGUUUUUUCACAGAGAGAGAGAGAGAGAAGUGAUGGUGUUUAAGGGAUGAGUUUUGGAGCUUAGUGAAUGCUUUUUCUGGAAAAGCCCAGUGAGGUUUGUGGGUUUUUGCAGAUUUUGCAGAUUCGCGGUGGAGGUGAAAGAAUGAAAGAGAACCGACACAACUUUUCGUAUUGAUUCCCACAUACGGCGCCAAAUGUUGAUGCACAAAACCGGAGGUCUUGGAACAACGCAAAUCCGACCGUGAAUCUGCAAGUAAUGUAAAUAACACAAGAUGUAUCGUGGUUCACCCCAAUGUUUAGGCUAUGUCCACACUGAUUAUUGUAUUUCUCUGAGAGGUGAGGGAGAGCUUUGAGAGAGCUUAGAGCUUAGGGGAUGUGAGAAGGCUUAGGAAUUGGCCUCCCUUAUUUGUGAGGGUGAGAAGUCCUUUUAUAGAAUAAGGGUUCCUCACUUAUUACAUAUUUGCCCAUUCCUUUAUUACAUAAUUACAUUUAAGUCCCCCGAGUAUUUGUACGAGGUCUAAAUACGGAGGCCCUAAGUAUGGUACAAACAAAAUGUUUUAAAGAUGUUGUAUGGGGUUGUAAUAGACCUCAAACUUGAGGGGUUACUAUGUAAUUUACCCUUAAUUAAAAUAAGGGCAAAUGAAGAGGAUGGUUGAACUUGUUAAGUUUCUUAAGUGUGUCUAAUUUAAGUGUGUUGUUAAUAAACAUUUAUUAUGGAGGCAAAGAGAGGGAAGGUGCGGCAUAGAAAGAGAAGAGAGAGAUAUGUAAUUGUGAGUUGUGUUUUAUUCCAUCCCAUUGUGCAUUUAUUUAUAUUAGUUGGGAAAGUUAAUUCUUUAACCUUUUAGGAUUACAACUCUAAUAGGAAAAUAUAUAAUCUAAAAGAUAUGGUAGAAUCCCAUAAGAAUAUCCUAGAUAUGUUAGGAUUUACACAAUCAUAUUCCUAUUCCAAUAGGACUGCAAAACAUUUGUAUUUUUUUAUAAUUUUUUUGAUAAUUUGUUGGCAUUUUCAAUUUUUGUUAACAUUGAAAAUAUAACGGUUCAGAUGAAAAACCUUUGGAAAUCCAACAUUGAAAAUAUAACAGUUUGACGUUGGGCUGUGGUGAAGGAGGCUGGGCUGUCACGUGGGUGGGGCCCUCCCUCUCCCACUUGGUGAUUCAAAGGGCGCAGGCCCGUGCAACAAUUGAGGCAGCCCAUAGAGAUCCUGCGUUUCACCCAUUUGCCAUUUUUUCCACCGCUGGAGCACCAAAAUUCGGUCCAAAGGCAGGGGUUCCAAUUGCAUGGGCAAUUUGGUUUCCGCUGGAGGUGCUCUUUGUCGACUUUGUUUAUUCUUUCUUUUUAGCUUUGCAGUAAUAUUGAAGUAAUCACUCCAAUUGUAUCCGAACUUUUGUUGUCCAUCAAUUUGUAUCAAAACUAUUGGUUAAUUUACAUAUUCAGACUAACCUUCUCAUUAUUUUUAGUAUUUUUAUCAUAAAUAAUAUCUAAAAUAAUCACAUUUUAUUCAACAACCACUCAAUUAAAAAUUAAUUAAUGUUGUUUCUAAACCAUUACAUCGAGCUUUUGUAAAUACACAUCAAUAUUGCAGCGAUCCGAGGCAUUGUUUUCUACGCCUUGGAUUUGGCGAAUUGGAAAAGAGAAGAGUUACGAGUAAAAGUCCCUCACAUUAAGAGGGCUCCUCCUCGGGGAGAUGAAGAUGAUGAUCUUUUGUUUUUGUUUCUUAAUGAUUAAUCCACGCAGCAACAUAUAAUUAGAUUGUUGGGAUCUACUCAAGUUCCAUAUCACGCACUAAUAUAAAGUUUGACAAACGAAACGAAAUAUGUGCUCUCGAAAGCAAAAUGAGGGCACUGCUCCAAGAACAGGAAGGGCUCCUUGUCGAGGUUGCCAUCCGCCAUGAGGGAAAACCGGAAGAAGUUAGACAACAAUGAUGACAUCGAUUUGCAACACCCAUAUUGGGACAUCAAACUGUGAAAUAAAUACUCAAAACUCCUGGAAAGUCCUCGGGACAACAAACUUUUAUCUCCUUCAAAUAUUUCAUUUUACCAAGUUUUAUGUUUGAAGGGAGGGAAAAAAAGAGAUGAGAGAAUCCUACUCCUUAUUCUUGAAUAUAUUCAGGAAUAACUAUUGAAUAAAGAGAGAAUGGAAGGGGAUCGAAAGAGGAGGGAAGAUAAUUCUAGUCCCAAACAUAAAAAGGACCACAACUUUUAAAUUAUCAGCACGAUCAUCAUCUGAUUGAAGAGACCAUUCAUUGUGAAACAUAUCGUCAAUCAAUAUGUCUAUAUCUAUUUAUAUACCACAUUUUUGGAGUAGGAUUCUCCCCCCUCCUAUUACCAUCCCCUUCCAUCCCCUUCCAUCCCCUCCUUUCAUACUUUUUUUUUUCUUAUUCUCUAUAUAAAAAAUUCAAAACAAGAUGUAGAUGUGUCGUAAUCGCAAUAGUUUAAAUAAAAGGAGAUGGAAGGAGAGAUAAAUUACGAGGGGAGAGAAUCUUACUCCCACAUUUUUCUUCUUCAUAAACAAAAGAGAGGUUCUAGAUUACUUGACUCUAUGCCUCAUUUUUUUCAUCAAGUAUUUGUGCUAAACGGGUUCAGUUUCAAGUAUUUUAGUUUUUUGUCAAAAUUGAGAAAACUGAAAAUCAAACAUUAAUAUGCAAAAUUAAAAAAUCAACACAUAAUUAUUUAGAAAUCGCAAUAGAAAAGAAAAAAUGGAGGUUUGUGAUGAAAAAUCUUUUAUACUAAGUAAUUUAGUAUCCUUAUGCAUGAAGAUAAUCAAUUCGUUCGUUAUGGUCAGACUCUUUUUGAAUUUUUGAACACAUUCUCCAUAGGGCCUUCUUAUUUGUUCCUUCUCCGAGUUGGGGUUAUGGAAGAAGUAAAAGAAGGAACCAAGAAGAAAGUAUUGGCAACAACCGAUUUCGUUACGGGACAACUCUUGAUAUUCAUAUCGAUCUAUUAUGUACCUUUGCAUCUAGCAUUAGACAAUAACUGUCAUAGCUUUACCAUAUUUUUUUGUUUCAUUUCUUCUGAAACAAUAACACACACUUUUUUAUUAUGUGUCUAAUACUAGGAAUUCAAUACAUAAUCUUAGCAUUCAAUAGUUAUUCCUGAAUAAUUUCAUUUUUCAAUUGAUCAACCAUUUCAUUUUUCCAAGUUCAAUCAAUGUUAGUCACAUUAGUCAACAUUUAUAUAUUUUGAUGCAACAACAAUAUGUUAUUUGUAACAAGUGAUUUUGCUAGUUGGUUAAUUGGUCACAAGUUAAUGUUCGGUUCAGUUCAGCUUUUCUCUCGAUUUUUUGCGAUUCGGUUUUUUCGAUUCUCUUUAGAUUCGGUUCGAUUUUGUUUUUUUAUUUAUACUUAAUUUUUUUUAAUCUGAAAACACCAAGAACAACACAAGCAUACUCAAUCAAACAACUAUCCUUCUCCACAAAUCACAGUAAUAAUUACAUUCAUUUAGCUAAAAUGCAAAUAACUAACAAACUCACAAAAAUCGAAUAAAAACUACAAAUUGCUUACUCUUUUUCUUUGGGUUUCACUCGAAAAGUGUCGGUAAAAUUUAGGGUUUGCAAGAACGCAACCGAAAUCCAAAACGGAGGCUCUGUGGCUUGUGGGCUGCUAUUGAGUUCCAGUACGGAAAACCUUGCUUACUCUCUAUCACGGUACAAAGUAUCAGUACCUUUAGCACUGUAUUUGGUAGAACCAAAUUAAAAGCUAACAUCAAUAACAACUACCAGAGACAUAAGCUCUUAUCAAUGCUUUGGAAACAGUCAUGUAUCUCCAAGUGUAAUGAUAUAAUUAGUAAGAAAUUUAAAAGAAAAAUGGUGAUUUCAUAUAAAAUCAAUAAAAAGUUACAAUAUUGACAAUAUAUCAACAAUUUUUAUGGGGUAAAUUACAUAGGACCCCCUCAGGUUUGAGGUCUAUUACAACCCCAUACAACAUCUUUAAAAUAUUUCACUUUCAUACCUCACCUACUAUUUUAUUUCAAUAUAGUACCUCCAUUACAUUUUCCAUCAAUUGAUCCAUUAAGAGCUGAAUUGGUUGCCACAUUUGACACGCCCCGAUCCCGAUAUCCUCGGGAUAUCAGGAUGGUCACGUGCUGGCCGACACCCGAGGGUGACGAAAGCCAUUUAUUGAGUGCAAUUGCUGAAAAUAAAGGAUAGAUAAAACUUAUAAAUGUAAAAGAAUAAGGAAUAUGCAUUUAAGGAACGUGUUCAGAGCAUACAACUAACUAGAACACUAAAAGAAUGAUAUAAAAUGGAAUGAAUAAAAGAAUGAGUCUUACACCAAGAGGACUCGAAGAUGCCGAUGCGGAAGUACCUUGAUUGUCGGGAUUGUACGCCUCGAUCCUAAAUCCUGAAGGGGGCGCAAAACAAACAUGAGUGGACCAAGUUGAUAUAUAUAUAAUAAAACAGUUAUCAAUAUACUAACCCCCAGGUUUAUGAAAACAAAUAUAUAAUGAUGAACAUAGGUUUUCCGAAACCUAGCAUGAUGUGCAGUAUCUCAAAUCAUAACUCAUAUAUAAUAAUCACUAGUGAAUUGUCCGAUAACCUGCAGGCCCCAUGCCGGCUCCCCGUCUCUGAGCAGACAGUCAGAGGAAAAUACACUUCAGGCCCCAUGCCGGCUCCCCGUCCCUGUGCUAAAUAGCCAGAGGAAACACACUCCAGGCCCUAUGCCAACACCAAACCGUCGCCCGGGACGGACCGGAAUCUAUUCCUACGUCCCGUAGCGGAAAUGACCACUAGGUAAGUACAAAACCAUUGAACAUACAUAUAUUGAAAAACAACUUCAUAGUAUAAAGUCAUCCAUCAUCUAUACUAUAAAGAGGUGUUCGAAACAUGUUCUAAAUAUCAUAUCGUCAUCCAUCAGAUAUUCUAUAAGAACACGGGUUAUAGGAAAAAUAGUAAUAAUUCAAGGUAGCCUCAGUAAGCAUGUUAUCUCAAAACGUUUCAUAAAACGUAAUCAUUAAAUCAUGCAUUUCAUGUAUGCAUUUCUACUAUUAAAACAUGCUUUUGAAGGGGUCCACUCACAGUACUUAGCCGCCGAAGAGCCACGCAAACUAACGUCACCAAUAUUGCCCCUAAGCACAUAAAUGGUCCAAUUAAUAAAACUAUAUAAUAGCAAUUGGAUUUGGGAAAACGGACGUUGGAAACGGAUUCAGAACGUCGAAUUACCCUAAGAAGGGUCCCGGACGAAAACCCGAAAAGUCAACUCUAAAGUCAAUGUUGACCGGAGGUCAACGGUCAAAUUAGGUCUAACGGGUUUUAGGCUUGAAAUCCGGAUUAGGGUUUAGGUUAAAUAGGAUUAGGAUUUAUUGGGUUUUGGAAUUCUAAGGUUUUUGGGUUAAAAGGGUUUAGGGUGAAAAUGGGUGGUUUGGGCUUAAUCCCAAACUCACACACAACACACACACACACUACACAAACCCUAAAACACACACACACACACGGGCUGCACUAGGGCAGCCCUCACAACACUUCACAAAGGCCCUAAGGCCUUAUUAAAGGACAGGGCUUUAAGCCCUUUAAAGGAUACUGGCCCAAGGCCCGUCAAAAUAAGGCCCGAGGCCUUUGGGUUUUAAAAAGAACAAGAACAAAUUUAAAAGAAAAGGGGCUGGGGUCUACUGGGCUAAGAUAUAACGGGCUUAAGGCCCGUGGGGUUUUCUAAAGGGCCUGAGAGGCCUGGGUUUGUCGAAGGAGAAGGCCGGAAUUUCGGCCGGAAAACCACCCAACUUUAAAUGGCCAUAACUUUGUCAAUACUCAACGAAAUCAAGCAAGACAAAAAUGAAAGUUGUAGCCCUUGAAGCGACGAAGAGAAUGGUUCCUCACACGACGUCUAACUCGCCGUGGUUUGGCCGGAAAAUGCCUCGAAAUCCGUCGGACUCGCCGGAAACUGGGUAAGAUUCAAAUGAGUAUAACUUCUUCAAUACUCAACGAAAUUAAGUGAAACAAAAAGGAAAGUUGUAUUACUCGACGAGACGAAGAGAUUGAUACCUUACACGCCGGCCAACUCGCUGUGGUUUGGCCGGAAAUGGCCUCGAAAGGGGCGGUGCUCGCCGGAGCUUACUCCGUGCCGUCGAACUCGCAGGGUAGGGUCCGGGGUUCGUUGCAAGCCUCUCUUCGAUGGUGACUCGGUCCUAGUGAGUCCAGGGGAAGAGAGAGAUGCGAAAGGUUGAGGGAGAGAGAGACGGGAGAGCUGAGAAAGAGAGAGCUACGGGAGGGAGAAACGAAGAAGAAGAAGAGAGAGAUCAGAAAACAUAAAAAAAAUAAACAAGGUGGGCCCCACGGGCUCACCAAUUAAGGCUUUAAAACAAUUUUAAAAUAUAAAAGAGGGUUGGGGUGUUUCAACAUUUGUACCACGUGGCAAAAAAAAAACCUAAAUCUUCUAUACAAAAAAACUAAAAAAACCAAAAAAAGCAAAAUCGAACACUCCACCCCGCAAAAAUCCUAGCAUCUUCCUUUUAUUCCCCACAACCCCAAAUUCCCCCCCAAAACCCCUAAAACCCAAACCCUAAUUCCUCCCCCACAUGAAGAAAAUCCCAGUCCAAUUCAAUCCCAAUUACCUCAAAUCCCACCAUAGAAACCCUAAAUUUUGGUUCCUCAAUCCCUAGAUUUCCCACGCCUCUGUUGCCUACACCUUAUCAAUCUUUAGCUUUCUCCCUCAUCCCCUCCAUGAACGACACUUUCUCUCAUCCGCUGUUCCCCAGCAACGGCACCGAUACCUACGAGGCCUGGUACGGCAACAUCCAGUACCUUCUCAACAUCUCCGCCAUCGGCUCAUUCUUAUGUGUCUUCUUUUUCACCUUGGUCAAGCUUUGAAGCGAUCGCCGCCGCAUGCCCGGCUCGUCCUCCCUCGUUGCUAAGCUCUUCGCAGUGUGGUAUGCUACCUGUCGAGAGAUUAUGCUCCCAUGUGGCGCUGAGGCCAUAAUACUCACGCACCCAUCUACACACCCACACCACCACUACCGUGGACUCUCUCUCACUCUCCCUCGUCUUUGUAGAGCUAGGUGAAGCCUAGAAACCGAGAACUAGCUCCAGCAAACCCCGUGAGUUUCGAGCCAGAUCCCUGCCGACUCCGACCAUCCCAUGACCAAUCUAAGGUACAAAACAUUUCCCCUUGACUCUAUGCUCUUUUUCGUAUGUAGAUCGUAGGGAAAAGCCCACAGAAUGAGAGAGAAUAGUGACCUGAGAGAGUCCACGGUGAUGGUGGUGUGUAGAUGAGUGCGUGCGUGGGUGUACUGUCGGGGAUAGAGUCUGAGAGAGAUAGAGAGUGAAAGAGUCUGAGAGAAGAGUGACUUGCGAGAGUGAGAGAUUCGAGAGAGACUCGGGAAAAGAUUUAUGGGUUUGGGUUUUUCUGGUUUUUUAUUUUUAUAAUAAUAGGGUUAAUAUUAUAAUAUUUUUAAUGUAUAAAAAUUUCUUUUUUGCCACGUGGCAGCCACAUCAGCACAAAUGUGGUAGUUGUAGAUGCAAAUUUCUUCCUCUUGAUCUUGGACAAUUUUGCACCUACAAAACAAUUAACACCUUAGGUUAAGGCCAAAAGCCUCACACACCCACAAUGAAUGGGGGGCUUUGGCCGAAGAACCUCUGUUGCCAAAGUUAGAAUUUAGAGAGAAAGAGUCUUUACAGAAUUUUGGGAUUUUUGCCAAAGUGUUGGAAUGGCUUUCUGGUGAGAACGGGAUCACUUUUAUAAGGAUAGGAAGUGGUCGGCCUAGCUAGGGUUUUUGGGUUUAAUUUAGGUUUAAUUCUUCAAUUUAUUUGGCUAAUUAAACCCUAAAGAAUAAAUUGGUGGUUACAAAAUUGAUUAUUUGUAUAAAUGGGGUAAUAAAAUGGAGAAAAGUGAAAAAGGUUAGGAAAAGGGAGGUAGCUAGCUUCUUAGUAGUUUUAGGUGUGAGUGGGUGUUUUAAUUGAUAAUUAAGGGAUUGAUUAGGUAAUUAAUCCCUUAAUUAAACAAUUUUUAGGGAAUAUGAAAGGAAAUUAUUAUUUAGCUAAUUGAUUAGCUAAAUAAUGGAAUACAAAAUAUAUAGAAUAAAUUAGGCUUUAGGUAUUACCUUAUAGAAAUGAUUUGAUGAAAUAGGCUUUAAAUUGUUAACUAUUUUGGGCACUUUUGACUUGGUUGAGGAUGAUUGUCUGCCGCUCGCACGUAGGAAUCUCGAUAUGCCUUAAGGGUAUUUUUGUCCUCUUUUACCCAAAAAUCCACGUGUCGCCUUGUGAUUAUUUUUGGCUCCACAAAUGCCCCCACACCUGUUGGGCUGCUCGCAGAAAAUGGCAGCAGGUGUAGAGAUCAUCUUGCUUUAGGAAACGUAGGACUACUUCCUCUUUAGAUGUAGAUUCUCUCUUUAAUAGGAAAUUAGGUUCUUCUAGGAAAGGGAAAUAAAUUUCUGUUAAAGCCUAUUUAAGUCUACCUUAAGUGGGUUAUUAAAUCAACUUUGGAGAGCGAUUUCUUAUACCCUACAAGAGAGAGGGAGCUUAGAGAAUAUUUGUUCCCCCUCUUCUAGCAAUCUUCUACAUCUUUCCCGUGCAAAGGAUCGUCUUUCGUUGAUUUCUUCGUCUUCUCCGUGCCGCACCGAUGUAAGAAAAAUUUAAUUUUUUGCUUAUCUUCUUCUUGGAUAGUACUAUUACAGGGCAACCGUUAAGGUAGUGCGGCACGUCUACUGGCAGGGGCUAGGAGUUGGCUCGGCAUCGGUCGAUGAGGCAUUAUGGCAGGGGCCACUGCUUAGGCUGUUUGGCUUGGCUAGAGCCAAUGGCAGCUUGUGCGGCUGGGGUCGCGGAUUGUGGCGUUGGGGCGCAAUGCUAGGCGAGCCACAUGGUUAAUGUCCUUUAGGCUCUUAGACCUUACUCGGGCCAGGCUAGCGACUGAAAGAAAUGAGGAGGUCGUGGGCCUCAUGGGUUGUUGGAAUGUUGGGCAUGCAGGCCUCCUGUCUGCUAGAAUGCUAGGUUGAGCUCCUCUGCUGAGUACCGUGAAUGGCGUUGGCUGCUUAGUUCUUUUUACAGAGAGAAAGGUGGGCUGCUCCCGAAAGAGGAAGUAAAGAGGAUCAAGGUGGAUGCAUUGGCUCGUCUAAUCGCUGUCGUGGAACCUCCUAUGAAUGAAGAUGGAAAUAAGAGAUCUUCCCUGCCUACUCAAGAGAUGCCGAUCGAGAAAAAUUGAAGACUUUCUCCACUGCUGCUCAUGAUGAUUUGUCUGCUGUCGAUAGGCCUGUGAUUGGCAUGACUUCUUCCAAUGGGAAGAAAAAUGAGGCUGCUAGAUCUGAUCAUGUGGUGCCUUCCAUGUUGAGAAUUGCUAGUACAAUUGUUGAUAAGAUUGCUUAGCGCAAAGGUUUUAUCAUGCCCCCAGUACCGAAGUCUGUACCAGGACUUUCGUUUGGAGCAAAGUCUGGUUCACCUUUGGAGAUACUUGCUAUUAUGAAAAGUGGUAAGGUGGACUCUGCUGCUAAAGUGGCGUCAAGGCCCACUCCCUUUGUUGCUGAGACUGAUUCGCCUGCUAGGAAGGAAGAUACUACUUGUAUGGGCAGCUGUGAGAAAUCCACUAAACUUGCUUCUGGGGAGGCUGCUGAGAUCAUUGUGCUUUUGAAACUAUAUCUGCUUGAAGACAUGGACGCUUGUGCCAAGUUUGUUGAUGGCGGUAGAAAGGUUGUUUACCUAAGUUCCUUUGCGAAACAUACGACCCAAUAUAAAAUGACUGCUCUGCUUACUAGGAUGCAUAAAUAGCAAGGUUGUCAAGGAGGUGGCGAAGAUUAUGGCAGCUAAAGCUUAUUCCUCAGUCGAGGAGAUCAAAAGGUUGAAUUAUGAGCUUGUUGCUUUGAAAGAAAUGGAAGAACUGCAACACGUUCGUGUUAGUCUGUUUGAGAAGAAUGAGCAGCUAAACGGUAAGAAUGAUGGGCUUGAGGUUUCUCUAUUUUUCCGGAAGACUUGCUUACUUUUACUUUUGAGGCUUCCAUUGGUGAAGUAGUUGGAGACGUUAGUGCCCAGGCUUAGGCAACCGGGGGUGAAGCACCGGAUGAUGCCGCUGCUAAGAACGUUACGGCUGCUGAAGGUGUGGAGACCAAGUAGUCGUGGGAUGUCCAAGCUGCUGUAGUGUAGUAUUUUAGGUAGCUUUUAUGAUUUUCUUUGUUUUUCCUUGUAGCUCUUGUUUUGCUUGAACUUCUUCGGCCUUUGCUAGUUGUAUAAACAUGUUUUCCUUCGCUUUUCUUCAUCUUCGCUUCUUUUGUUCAUGCCCUAACCUUUAGACUUGAUAGACCAAUGGCAGGCAUGCUACUUUUUUAUAAGCAGACAAGCUCGCGUAGCCUAUGCAGCCGUAAAUGUUGGUGUAGAACUUUGCAAAGUUGUUAGCCAUUAGGUUGGUAACCAGAUACCUUACUUACAGAAGUAGACAAGUCCGCAUAACCACUAGGCUAUUAACCUUGACUUUCUCCAAUUCUGUAGGUUGCGUAGCAAGUAUCACAACACUUUAGGAAUUGGUAUAGGUUGCUCCGCACUUGGCAGAGGUGAAGCCUAUCGACUACGUAGCAUGUCGGCAGUGGAUAAAACUUCCAUAUAUGCGCGCUAGCUUGUUUAACCUUUCACAAGAAUGUGCGGUUGUAUAAGUCUAGCACGGUUUUACUGCUUGAAGGGCAAGCCGUAGGCAGUCUUCCGGAAUCCGUAGGCUACCUUAAUGUACUCGGUAGCAGCUUUAGGGUUCCAGGGCAGCCGUCUAUAGAGCGUACUGCGUAAUGUGCCCCAUCCGUCUCUAGCUCCCGGUUCCCCACAGAUUAGACCAAGAGACCCAAAAUCCUUCAGUUAGUUAAGCCUUGAAAAAGACCAUUGUGGCUACUUCUAGGAAUCCCGGCUCAAGCCAUCGUACAUCUAGUUAUACUAGGGUAGCCAGGCUCAUCAGCGUCUGGAUAUUCGGAGUGUAAAGUUUAUCCUCCCGUCUUAGAGAGCUGACCCAUAUGAGUGUCGGGGAAUUGGUUUACCCUCUCACACUAGAGAGUAAUUAAUUUACCCUCUCGCACUGGAGAGCAAUUAGUUUACCCUCUCGCACUGGAGAGCAUGGUUGGUCCAUCGGGGGGCGCAAUUCCUGCGAUGAGUCCCUAAGAAGGGCGCAGUCUUCUUUUGAAGUGCAGGAAUGAUUAGUUGUUAUAAGCAUGUGAUCGAGUCAAGUUGUGAUUACUUCUAAAUUCCUCAUUGAAAAACGAGUGAAACGAACGAGAACUUAGCCGUAAGGUAGGAACUGCAUAACAACUGGAUAGUCCUCAACUUGUGUGGUGGUACCCAUCGAGCUUCUUGAGUCUUCGGGCUUUGAUGUAGUGGGAGGUUACACAUGGCACCUUUUCAGAUUGUAGGCGCUCUACUGCUUUUCGAACUUUUUUUUUGUUGUGUAAUUGCUCUUGCUGCCUACUCGGCUAAUCUUAUACAGACUUUCUCGGAUGAGAUUCAUCUUUUUGGAGCUUCUCUGCUGGCAGUGAUGAAGGCUUUUCUUAGGACUAGAUCUCUGGGCUGGAACUGCCAGAUUUUGGCCUUUUUGUUGUGGCUGGAAAAGAACCACUGCUGGUAAGUUGUAAUGCAGAUGAUAGUCUGCUCGCACUUCUCCUCUGCCAAAUUUAAGCUUGUGGCCAUCUCCUUUCGGUUGCUCGUCUUUUGGUGUUGCGAUGUGCCCAUAGACAUCCAGGGAGUUUGUCUGGCCAUUUUCUUUUCUUAUUGGUAGGGGAUUUCUUGUGGCAGUCGAGGAUCAUCUUAGUGGAUGUUUUGGCCAGCCUAUUGCCUUGAGGAUAUCUUGGCGUAGACAUGUGCUGCUUGAUGCCAUAUUUUUAGAAGAAUUUCGCCAAAUCUUUGCCCACGAAUUACGGGCCGUUGUUGGUGACGAUGGAUUAAGGUAUGCCAAAUCGGCAAAUGAUGCUCUUUCAUAUGAAGCGCUCUAUGUCCGUUUGAAUUGUGAUCGUCAUGGGCUCUGCUUCUACCUAUUUGGUGAAAUAGUUGGUUGCCACGAUCAUCAUGCAUUUGCCCUUAGUAGUCUGGCUGGUGAUUAGCUGGGAAUCAGAAUGAAUUGAAAGCUUUUUCACCACCAAGUCUUUUGUCACUCGAAGGCCUGCUAGUGGGGCUUUGUACUCUGCUUCGUUGUUAGGUGCUUUGACGCUUAGAGUGAUCGCUUACUCGAGCAUUGAACCGUCUGGGGUGGCAAGAACCACGGUUACUUAUAAGCCUUUGUAGUUGGAUGCGCCGUCGACAUGCAAAUGCCAGAAAUUUCCAUUGAGGGAGUAGGUAUGGCUAAAGUGUGCUCGGCUACCUUCGAAGCGUCGUUGGGCCGCUUUGUUACAUUGUCAAGGCUAGGUUUGAAGGCGCGGUAGAGAGUCGUGGAGCUGGGGCCAUGUUACAUGUAGCAGGAGAUGCUCAACUUCCGGUAUUAGGCCACUCUAGAGCUGAAUAAUGGAGCAAAGGUCGGCUAGGGUCGUAUGACGCGCAGCAGAAGGUAGUGCUCGACUGCUAGUACAUGUUGCUCUUACGUAGAAUCUUCUGAGGCGACGAGGACAAAACUUGCUUUUAAGUGUUCCUUCUAGUGUUCGUCUGCCCUUGGCGUGUCUUUUGGGCUGAGUUGUUGCGUUCGUCAGAAAACUUUGCAUCUGCCAGGGUUUACGUCUUUAUCAUCACGGGUUUGGAUUAGGCGGAAUAGUGCGUCAUGAUGAUGACUGCGUACAUUUGAAGGUAAAACUUAAGCUUUUGGGUUACAACAACUAUCACCAAAGUUAGCUUUUGAAUUUUUAAUAGCAUCGAGGAGAGCUUUUGAACUAUAAAAUACAUGUAGUUGGGCCCCCAACUCUUCUCGCAUGACGGUACAGCUUAUUUCUACUUUAGAUACCGUCAAACAUGCGAAUAAGUCCUCUGCUGCUUCUAGGGAGGUGAUGUUGGGUACUUCUUCAAGCCCUUGAAUGUGCAUUGGCGAGCCUCAUCCCAAAGUGCAUGCUUCUCUGCCAAAGAAAAAGAGUCUACCAGAGUUAGAUAUUCUUUCAUGAUCAAUUUUCUAAAUAGCGGUGGUCUGCUGGAAGGCCUUUUUGGAAGGCUGCUCUAGCUAUUGAGUCGCUGCAUCCGACUAUCAUUGCCUUCUCUGUUUUGAAUCUCUUCACAUAGUCACGAAGUGACUCCUUUGGGUUCUUUUUUACGUCAAACAAAUGGUCGGACUUCUUUUUGAUCGAGCAAUAAGAUGAAUAUUCUUUGGUGAAAACCAAAGAAAGUUCGUAGAAAUUCUAGAUAGAUUGUGGCGGCAGGGUGUAGAACCAAUCUUGUGCCUCGCCUUCAUAGUGGUGGCGAAUAUCUUGCACAUGAGAUCAUCGUUGUUUCGAUAAAGGAUCAUUGUGCUUCGGUAGCGCUUUAAGUGUCUCUUCGGGUCUUCAUCCCCUUUGAAAGAUAUGAAAUGUUGCAUACUGAACUCGCAUGGAGGCUCUGCCAGCUCGAUCUCAUCCGUGAAGGGUGACCUGCUUAUGUUGGUCAUGUUCCGUCGUAGUGCCUCGUCGGUGACCUUGUUGCGUUAGAAAUCAUGCAAUCGCUUGAUUAAAAGUCUCUCUACUUCUUCCUGAAUUUUCAUUUGUUAGGGUAGCAGAGCUCUCGGCUGCCCCUAGCCAUAACUUACUGGUCUAGGAUGCUCUUCCAUGUGUUUGGCUCGUAUACCGUGGAUGCAGUGUAUGUGGUGCGGUCCUAGUAGGUGAGCGAGUUCUUCGCAGGCUGCUAGUUGAACUUGAGCUGGAUUGAGUGACUACUUCUCUCCGUCCGUCGUGCUGCCUACUCCAAUGUGAGGUGAAAGAUGCUCCUUGCAGGCUUAGCCACGAAUGAACACUUUACCUGGAAGGUUGCUCAUGUUGACUAUCAGAGUAUGACCCUAACCGUGAAUGUAUAUUCACCCGUGGGCUUAGUCGAGAGUGCACGCUCCUCCGCGCGCUAAGACGAGAGUAUACGUUAUCUCGGGAGCCCAAUUGGGAGUGUACACUGCCCGAACGCUCGGCUCGUGGCUGGUCGAGUGGCUGCUUGCCGAAACGCUGCGGGAAAGGUUCGUCUGCCCUUGUCCUACUUCGGGAUACCUUGUUUGGGGCACGUUGGAUUCUGGUGCAUUGCAAAAGUUGAUUCACCAAGGUUGUCUGUUGUGCAAGGGUGCUCGUAAACGCUACGACUUGUCGAGACAAGUGUUGUUCGUCAUUUGGAUUGGAAUAGCUUGGAAGGAAUGUGCCUUCUUGGGCAGUGGAAGGGUGGUAGACUCCGGGCUCGAGAUUUGAGUUGGGAAAUGUCAAAUCUACGAAAAAAUGUGGUGAGAAUGCCCCCGGCUCGAUGGUAGGUCCGGAUGGUUGAGAUAGUCUUGGGCCGACUUGGGCUGCUUGGAAAGCCACGGGAGCAGGCUGGGCCACGAGAGUGAGCUGCUCGGCAGGAGUAGGCUGGGCUACGAGAGUGGGCUGCUCGGCAGGAGCAAACUGCUUGGAGUGUGAUGCACAUGGGUGCGAGGCUUGGGCUCGGCUUGGUAACACAUUGAGUUCGGGUUUGGCUUGGAGUGACAUGACUUGGGCCGUGGCCUUGGUGUCGUGAGCCUUGGAUGGCACGGCUCGGGCAGUGGUAGCUGUGCCAUGGACCUCGCCGCGGGUAGUGGUGACCGUGAUGGCCACCGCGGUGGUUGCCAUGGUGGAGCCCCGUAGUGAUGGUGCCGCUCCUAUGAUCACAUUUAGCCUCGUGGAUCGUCGUGGUCCCAUUUCUUGAAUAUUAGAAUUUUCACUUAUGGAAUUUUCUAAAUUUCUAGCCAUUAUAUUUUUCUUAUACGUUUUAUCAAAGAACCUUUGCAAAUAAAAAAUUCUAAUAAUAAGAACGUAUGAAAAAAUAUUCAAAUGGACUAGAAAAUAGAGAAAAACCUUUUUAUGCGAGAGUCUUCUACGAGUAUAGAUCUCAACUCUCAAUGAAAGCACCAAUUUGUGGAUGCAAAUUUCUUCCUCCUUGAUCCUAGACAAUUUUGCACCUACAAAACAAUUAACACCUUAGGUUAAGGCCAAGAGCCUCACACGCCCACGAUGAAUGGGGGGGCUUUGGCCGAAGAACCUCUGAUGCCAAAGUUAGAAUUUAGAGAGAUAGAGUGUUCAGAGAAUUUUGAGAUUUUUGCCAAAGUGUUGGAAUGGAUUUUUGGUGAGAAUGGGAUCACUUUUAUAGGGAUAGGAAGUGGCCGGCCUAGCUAGGGUUUUUGGGUUUAAUUUAGGUUUAAUUAGUCAAUUUAUUUGGCUAAUUAAACCCUAAAGAAUAAAUUGGUGGUUACAAAAUUGAUUAUUUGUAUAAAUGGGGUAAUAAAAUGGAGAAAGGUGAAAAAGGUUAGGAAAAGGGAGGUGGCCGGCUUCUUAGUGGUUUUAGGUGUGAGUGGGUGUUUUAAUUGAUAAUUAAGGGAUUCAUUAGGUAAUUAAUCAAUUUUUAGGGAAUAUGAAAGGAAAAUAUUAUUUAGCUAAUUGAUUAGCUAAAUAAUGGAAUACAAAAUAUAUAGAACAAAUUAGGUAUUAGGAAUUACCUUAUAGAAAGGAUUUGAUGAAAUAAGCUUUAAAUUGUUACCUAUUUUGGGCACUUUUGACUUGGUUGAGGAUGAUUGUCUGCCGCUCACGCGUAGGAAUCUCGAUAUGCCUCAAGGGUAUUUUUGUUCUCUUUUACCCAAAAAUCCACGUGUCGCCUUGUGAUUAUUUUGGCUCCACAACAACCACGUCAGCAUUUAACAGACCAAUGGAUGGAAAAUCUAACGGAGGUAUUAUUUUGAAAUAAAAUAACAAGUGAGGUAUGAAAGUGAAAUGUUUUAAAGAUGUUGUAUGGGGUUGUAAUAGACCUCAAACUUGAGGGUCCUAUGUAAUUUACCUAUUUUUAUGUUAAUUAUGAAUAGGUCAAUCAUGUAGAACCAAAUUAAAAGCUAACAUCAAUAACAACUACCAGAGACAAAAGCUCUAAUCAAUGCUUCGGAAACAUAGUCUUGUAUCUCUAGGUGUAAUGAUAUAAUUUGUUGGAAACUUAAAAGAAAAUUGGUGAUUUUGUAUAUAAUCGAUAAAAAGUUAUAAUAGUGACAAUAUAUCAGUAAUAUUUAUGUUAAUUAGGAAUAGGUCAAUCAUGUAUUUAAUACUUACAUGCAUUUAAAAUAAACACCUUAUCAAUGUUUUUUUAACUGUGCUCAGUUUUUCUCCUUCGCUUUGGUUUUGUUCUAUUGGAUUUUUCAACUAUCAUUAAUUGUGAACAUAACUGAUCAUUGAGACACAAACAUCCAAGGGAGAGUACCGUGGAACAAAAUGUGGAUAUCUUUAUACAUUGUAUGGUAGUAAACCAUCAUAAACACCAUAAUAAUGUAGAAACGCUCUUGGGGUACCUUUGGAUGAUAACUCAUGUAUUUGUUGCCCUACGUAAAGAUGGCUAAUGAUAAUGGAAGUCUAAUUUUCUCAUCCCAAUCUCUCCUGUCUCUCUUGUUCUCUUUUCUCUAUAGUUUAUUUCCAACAAGUUGUGUUAUUUUUUUUUUUUAGUAUUGUUAAGCAACCAAUAGAUUUUAAUUAGCAGUCUUUGUUUUUUUCUUUUAUAUUUUUAAUCAAUUUCAGUUGCUUAUCCGUUCUAGCAAAUUGAGCUCUUUUACAGCAAUUUUUUUCUUUAAAUGAAAUUAUUAUUAUUAAAAGAGUGAGAAAAUUCGAAAUUAUUACAACAAUUUAAAAAAAAGAAGUUUCGAAUCAUAAACACAGAGGGAGUUUACAACAUUUUAAUUAAGAAAUUAGGCUUCAGCUCAACUCAUCUUUGCAACGUCGGUUCCACUUCACAUCAACAUGCAAUGUUUCAGAAGGUCACGCGGUUUUGGGGUUGUUGUGUACCAAUAAUAUUAUAUAUAUAUAAAUUAGGAUUGAAGGAUACACGCAUUUUGUAGAGCUUAUUUUGUUAUGUAUUUUAAUGAUUUAAAUGCUUACGUUUUUCUUCACUACAAAUGAGUGAAUUAAUGAUUUUAGAAUUUGUCUAAUUUUUUACAUUGAUUAUUUAUGAAUAUUGAAUUGAAAUAUAGACGAUUCAAAAAUCGUUGAUAUACAUUACAAAAUGAACUCCACAAAAUAAGCGUCAAAAUAUGUAUAUAAAAUGGACAGCGUGAAAGGCUUGGAAAUUGGAAUAGGUUUGAAAAUUGUGCUUUUUGUAGCAAAUUGUAGCAAAGUUUGCUUGGACUUUCACAACCGUAUAAAUUAUGCCGCAGCACUCUCUAUUUUCUCUCUCGCUCUAUAUCGUGGUCCCUCUCUCUCGCCGUCCUCGAUUGCUCGAACUCACUAUCCUUUAUUGCUCGAACUCACCGUCCUCAAUUGCUCGAACCCACUGUCCUUUAUUGCUCGAACUCACUGUCUCCAACUUCCUCUGUUUGGUUCCCGAUGAAGAUGGUAAAACAGUAGGGGCAAGAAAUUAUGACAAUGUUAGAUUUGCAUAUUAAUCUGGUAGGGCUACAAUUCUCCAAUCCACACCCCUUCCAUCUAUGCUAGUGUUUGUACCCAAUAUUAGAUAUCCGGUCUGUGCAAUCGAGAUCGUUGAAUGAGAAAAAUUCUAAGCCGUGGGAUCAAAUAUAAUGAUGUGGAUUAAAUAAGAAAAAUUUAAAUGUUUAUCUUGGUUGAAUUACCAUGAUAAUAUUGUGGAAUUAUCUUCUGCAUAACGGGAUAGCGAGAAAAGUCCAAGGGUGUAGGGAAGUUGUGUGGCUGACUACCGCUUUUUUUUAUGGUGUCAUUAGUAGAGUAAUAUCACACUUAACAUUUAUUUGUACCAUCUCUCUAAUAAAGAUAAAGACCAUCAAUGCAUAAAUAAUGAUACAAAUAUAUAAUAAGAGUAUCAUAUUUGUAACUAGAAUAGGAGAAGAAAGACUUCAAGAUGGGGUCAGCCAAAUAAUUAGCGUCAGGAUAAAAAUAUGAGUAAUGAUAUUUGUAAACAUCGAAAUUUCGGUAAAUAAAUGUUGACCGAUAAAUCAAAGUUUCAACGCUCAUGUAUUACAUAAAUUUUACACGUAGCGUAUGUCUAAACAAAAAAUCGAAAUAAGUUGGAAAAGUCAUCAAACAGGACACAUGUCAACACCUGGCAGAAACGACUUAUUUCAUCUGGAAUAUUAUAUUCAAAAUUAGGCAUUGGAAAAUUCUAUAAAUAGAAGCCAAUUUCAUUCAUUUGAAGGAACCAAAAUCAUUAGGCAAAAUUCUUGAAGCUCUGAAGCUCUGAAACUCCGAAACUCUCAAGCAUCCAGGUUCCCGAAGAAUCAAGAAAGCUCUCUUCGUUCUUCGUUCUUCGUUCAUCGUUCAUCCUAAGAUCAAGCUCCAACGGCCCUUUAGAUCAACAAUCAUCCACUAAUUCAAGAUCAAGCCCCGACGGCCCUUGAAGAAAGUGUUCUUCAUUCUUCGUUCAUCGUUCUUCCAAGAUCAAGCCCCAACGGCCCUUUGGAUUAACAAUCAUCCACCAAUUCAAGAUCAAGCCCCAACGGCCCUUGAAGAAAGUGUUCUUCGUUCUUCGUUCAUCGUUCUUCCAAGAUCAAGCCCCAACGGCCCUUUGGAUUAACAAUCAUCCACCAAUUCAAGAUCAAGCCCCAACGGCCCUUGAAGAAAGUGUUCUUCGUUCUUCGUUCAUCGUUCUUCCAAGAUCAAGCCCCGACGGCCCUUGGAUCAACAAUCCACCAAUUCAAGAUCAAGCCCCAAAGACCCUUGAAGAACUUCUACCAAUUCAAGAUCAAGCCCUGACGGCCCUUGAAGAAAGUGUUCAUUGUUCAUCAUCCGUUCAUCCCGAAGAAUCAAGAAAGCCUUAUUCGUUCUUCGUUCAUCGUUCUUCCAAGAUCAAGCCCCGACGGCCCUUGGGUCAACAUCAUCAACAAAUCCACACAUCCAACCGUUCUUCAAGAUCAAGCCCAAAAGCCCUUGAAGAUCCGUUCAUCACCGUUAUUCAAGAUCAAGCCUUAACGGCCCUUGAAGAAACACUCAUCCUCAAGAUCAAGCCCCAACGGCUCCUUGAAGAUCCGCUCAAAUCCACCUUCAAAGAUCAAGCCCACGGCCCCUUGAAGAAACAUCCAACAGUUCAUCCAAGAUCAAGCCUCGACGGCCCUUGGAUCAACGAAACAUCUACAAAUCAACACCUUACGGAGAUCGAAUCAGAUGAUCAAAUUAGAGAGAGAUUGUAACCCUAAAUCAUCAAAAUACAAAUAUUAUUUUGUGCACGUUGUUCUUAUCUCUUUCGUUUCAGGAAAUUUUCGUGUUCACAAUAUUCUUACCAUCUAAAUAUACUAUAAUUUUAUACCAUCUUAUGUGGCAAUUGAGAUGGACUUCCACAUAAGUUUUAAAAAAAUCUCAUGUCAGCUAAGGUGGAUAUUUACGAUUUUACGAUUUUACUCAAUGAUUUUUAUUAAUAAAAUAAUUAAAAAAUAAUAAUGAAACCUACUUGCUCCCGUUUUCAAGCCUCAUCGCUGGGCCUCCUCCCUCUUCGCUCUCCAAUUUCACCUUCCUUCACCAACGAUCGAUGGUGCUCGACCCCCUUCAUCAUUGCCAACUGGCCGAAUAUCUUGAUGGUGCUCCCAGUGAUUGUUUUGCUCUGCCACCAAAUCAAGUUUGCAAUUUUAAUGGUUUAUGCCUUCUGGCCAAGUGUUGGAUUUGAUAGGUUUUUAAUUCCAGCAACAUUGAACAAAAAUAUGAAAAGGAUUGGAUACGAUAUUUUCCUCUGUUCUACUGCUGAGGAUUUUCCGAAUAGAAGAAGAUUUGGAAGACAACCUCUUUUCUUUUUUCUUCAUGGACUUUUGGUUAGCACCAAAAUCUUUUCCUAAUCCUCUAUAGGAAUGAAAAUUUCAUUCCAUGUUAUAUCCCGAUGUUGUCCAAGGUUUUGGCUUGAAUUUUCAUUGGAAUUAUCAUAUGUUGGAUCAGAUCAGGUGGAGAGAUGAAACGUAUCUAACAAGGAAGUUGAACGGGUAGGGUUUGAGCAAAAAUAAACAGAAAUUCCACCUAGGUUGACACCUAAGCUUCCACAUCAUGUGGUAUACUAAAUGUGGUAUAAUAAGAUGGUAAGAAUAGCAUUAUUGAAUGGGUAAUGUUAAGAGAAAUUUUUAGUUGUGACGGGAACACGGAUGGUACACCAUGCGUUUUUAUGUAAAUGGUGGAAAAUUUUAAUUUUUAAAUUAUUAACCUUUUAGCACACAUAUCCCACCAUUUAUAUGAAAACACGUGAUGUAUCACCUCGUGUGAUAGUCACAUUGAAAAAUCUCUCGUAAUGUUAGGAAAACUAAAUUUAUAAACAAAAGUUACAAAUUAAAUGAUGGGUUACCAAUAAGAAUGAUUACGUUUAUCAAUGCUUAAAUAAUAAAUCAUUCAUCAACUUCCAGUCCUUUAGUUUUUAAAAUUUUGUCUAACAUUACCCUUUCAAAACUCAUGAAAAUAAUUUUCAAUUUUUUUAACUGAAAAGUGAAAGUUACUAAACAAGAUUUCAGUUUUUAGCUUUCAAAAAAAUAAAAACAAAAGCUAAAAAUAAAAUGGUUAUCAAACAUCCCUAGAAGUCAUUCUUAGUGAUAGUAAGGUCAUCUCCAACCGAAAGAUCCAGGGGGCUAGAGGGCCGAAAAUAGUCUGAAAACCAUUUCCAAUCAAAGGCCAUGCCAAAGGGGUCGUGGACCCCAUUAGACAAAAAAGGGCCAAAGGGCCAACUGGCUGGCCCCAGUUCCAACAAUAACUAGAUGACGUCAGUUAACCGUUAUUUUUGAAUUUUUUUUUUAACAAAUUUUAACUUUCUAAGCCAUUAAACAACAUUAAAUUAAGUAAAAAAGAAAAUUCCUAUAACUUCCUAAGUCAUUAAACAAUAUUAAAUUAAGUAACAUGAAACAACAUUAAACAAUAUUAAACAAAAUUAAACAAUAUUAAACAACAUUAAAUAACAUUUAACAACAUAAAAAUUAUACAACAUAAAAAAAAACAUUUAAGAACAUAAAAUUUAAAUGCCUACUUCAUGCUUCUUUUGGCCCAAAGAUGUGCAACAAGAUCCUAAUGUAGGUACUUGUUUGUGGCACGAGAGCGUAUCAUCCUAACCGUUAGAUUUGAUUUUUUUUUGUUUUCGGCCAAAUUUUUUUAAAUUUAAAAAUAAAUUAUGUUUGACCUUUUGGCCCUCGAUUGGAGAUAGUUUUUUUUGUGACAUGACUAUGUUUAGCCCUAUGACCCUUUGGCCCUCAGUUAGAGAUGGUAAGAAAUAUGACCCAACAAUGUUCAUUAAAAUAUUAAUUUCUUGAAGAGCCAGAGGGCUAAAACGAGCCAUCCUUCGGUUGGAGAUGGCCUAAGAAGAGACUAGAGAUAGAGAGAUUCCUAUACUUAGCUGUGAGAGUUUCCUAUAUAUGAUUUUCAUUAACAAGAUUGAACUGAUUACAUAGAGAAGAAGAUCAAGUAUGGUUAUUUUUAUUUGGGAGACUUUGGAUGUGGUCCUUAGUUAUGAAUAUUAUUUGAUUGAAAUCUUGUUGGUUUUUAAUUUUUUAUCAAGAUCCCUGAAAUUAAUGUGAUAAUUUAUUUCUAUGUAAGUUACUAUAUUUUUUUAAUUAGAAAUUAGAAAUUUUAGUUGUUUAUAUAAAUGAGAUUUUAAAUUAAAAAAACCAUAAUUUGUGGGAUUAAAAAUAUUAAAAUAUAAAUAUACUAUUGUGUGUGUGUGUGUGUGUGUGUGUGUAUAAAUAUGGGUACAUUCAUCAAAAUUAACCAAAAAAUUUAUUGUAUCAAAACAUGGGUACAUUCUUCAAAAUCACAAAAAAAGAAAGAUAUUAGGCUUAAUAACAUUAGUAAAUUUCUUCGAUUAAACUUGACAUGGAUACAUUUUAAAAUCAAAGAAAAAAAAUGUACCCAUAUAAGUUUAAAAAUGGAUUAGAAAAAAAAAUUGAAUAGAUUUUAUACAAAAAAAGGGUACGUUUUACAUAUAACAAAUUGGUAUAUUUAAGAAUGAGUACAUUUUAAGAUUAAAAAGUUUUACAUGAAUGGGUUCAUAUAAUUAGCAUGGGUACAUUUAGCAAAAUAAAAAGUACAAAUACAAAAAAAUAUAUGUGUACAAAUACAAAUAAACUUUAAAAAAUAUGGGCACAAAAAGAAAUUAAUAUAUGGGUACAAAUUAAAACCGAAAAGAAAAUUGGUACAAGUUAAAAAAGAAUUACAAAUUAAAAAUGGGUACAAACUAAAACUAAAAAUAUAUGAUAAAAAAUUUAGUCAUAAAUAUAAAUAUACUAAUUGUAACAUUUUUAACAUUAAAUGAAUAUAUUUAGACAUAAAAAAUAUAUUUUAUUAUUGAAAUAAUUAAUGAUGUUAUUAAUACCCAAGGACCUUGAUAAAAAAUUGAAAAGAAAUAGAAUUUUAAUCAAUGGAGUAGCAAAAGAAAAGAUGAGAACCUAAUUUCUCCUUUGUAUUGUGUAGACAUUAUAACUAUACAUUCAUAAUAACAUGAGUAAUGUUAUAUUUAUCACAUUUGUACUCUUUCUCCAAUAAAGAUAGGGUCCAUCAACACAUGUGGGUUCUAUUUGCCCAUCAACACAUGCGAAUCUCAUUUUUAUUAGAAAAAUAGUACAAAUAUGAUAUGGAAAUUAUGAUAAGAUCGCAAUUUUGUAAUAACAUAUAUACUCAACUAUUUAUAUACCAACUCAUCUCCCUUUAGUGUAGUUAAUAUUGUUUGUUCAACCAAAAAAAAAAAAACUGAACUUGUCAUAAUCAUUGAAUCCAUUUACCAUGAACAAACGGCAGUUUACUAAACUUGCCCUCAGAGUAUAUAUAAAAGGUGAAUCACAAUCUAUUGCAUUAAUAUAAGGAAACAAUUUAUAGGGUUUGACGGGUGACUUAAUAUGCUAUAUGGCACAAUGAAAAUUAAGUUCACACUUUAUCCCAAAUAAGGUGUUGCACCUUUAAUUUAUGGAUGCUGGUUUGACGUGUGACCGAAAUAAUCAAAUUGUAGCCAUUAAUCAUUUUACAAGUAAUAAUAUGUGGUUUUAUUGUUUACGAUUCACACAACAAUCUGCUAGGAAGUAGAAAAUGCAGUACUUGUCCCUCUCACAGAAGUCAUGAAUAAUUAUCAAAUUCAAAGAUAAAGAAAAACCACACAAUUUACAAGAGGAAAGAAAAUGAAGGGAUAAAGAAAGUAAGAAAGGAAUACCUCUAUGGGAGGACUCUUAUUUGCUUCAGAUGCCUACAAUAUUCAUCAUAUAAACACUGAUUAAGUAGUCAUCGAAAACCAAAACAAAUGUCGAACAUAGGGUGAAAAACAGAAAGAAUAACCGCAGCUCAUCAUACCAAUAGAGAUAGAACUGCCCGAUGCCCAAGUAUGACUGAAAAAUGGCAAUCCAAACAUGGCGCCUUCUAGCUCAUCAAACUGUCAAAACCUAGGUUCCACCAAAAAGAUACAAGUCACCUAGUUACUUGUAAAAUAAAAAUCUGUUUCAAAAUAGUGGAAAAUAUUAUUAACAUUGUUCAAAGUCCACAUUGUUGUACCUACCAAGAAACAAGAAGGAUUGUAUCUUAUCAUGAAAAAGAACAUAGGUACCUUUUCAAUUGUAAUUGUACAAAAAUGAGAGACCACUUCCGAACUUCUCUUGGAACUUCAAUCAAUUUCUGCCCACUUUUAAAUGCCUUGACAUACUUAAGCCUAUUUCUUUGAGCUUCAGUUUUGGCUUCUGAUGCCUUUAAAUUUCUUAAAGAUUCUUACCAAGUUUUACAAACUCACUUCUAUACAACCAUUUGUCAGUAUACAUACCAUUUUCUUUGAGCUUCAGUCUUUGCAACACCAAAACCCCCCAAAUAGACCCGGAAUUUUGCAAUGUGCAGGGAAUAUACAAAAAAAACCCUCCUAUCCAUCUAAAACGAAAUCAGAACGCAAACCACAAUCAAAAUCCGUAAAAUUAAUUUAGCCAACCCCUAAAUCUAAUAAUUCUAACAAAUAUUAUAGUAUCAAUUGAGAGAGAAUUUGAGAAGAUACCUAGAGAUGAAAGGAAGAGCGUUUCCUCUGAUAGGGGUUCCGUGAAAGCAUCUGUUGACCAGAAAAGAAAAGGCAAAAAACCCCAAAUUACAUAUCAAGCAAUUAUAGAUAGAUCGAACCUUGAAAAUUGAAAUUUCAAACAAGAGAAAGGUUAUAAACUUACAACGAUCUGGGUGUUGGUAACUGGGUUUGGAUUUGGGUUUCUGAUAAGAGAGAGAAUCGUAUGAGGAACCGAUAGAGGAACUGCACCGGCAACAGAGAGCAAUUGAUAUGGUGGAGAACAGACGAGAAUAGCUGCUUGGAUGGUCAAUCCAAGAAGAGAAAAUCUUGCCACAAUCGCGGUACUUGAAAAAAAAAAAAACAAGUUUAAAGGAGGGAAACAAUCGCGCCUUUUUCUAAUAGACUCUGUCGACGAUAUUCUUGACAAAUAGAUGCUUCGUCGGGUGAGCUUAUUUUUCACAACAUUUUAUUUAGGAUUGGGUUCGGUUGGUAAACCGUGUCAAAUUUCUUGUGCCACUUGCCAGCCACAUAUACAUAAUUACCGAAAAUCAGUUACCGUUAGCCAACCGUCUUCUUGCGGUUGCCAAAAAUCGGUUCAGCCAAAAUGAUUGGCUGGUUCGGUUGGUAAAUGGCACAACCGGUGGUUUCCACUUCUUCCUCGCUAUCUUCCAGUUCCAAGGGCUCAAUUUGAUUUUCAGAUUGGGAUGCUUGUUCGGUUGCAUUGUGUGGUUCAUUUUGGGUUAAUCCAUGUUGUGCACUAGUAGUUGAUUGGCUAGACUCCAUUAUCCUAAACAUAAGCAACAAAUAUACAUUCAAAAUAAUAUAUAUGUACGUGUAUAUAUAGUAUCAGUAAUCAUCAUGCUAUCAAUUUUGUUAACAAUAUUUUCUAUAUAUUGAUUUUGGCAUGAAUCAUAUACACAUACAUAUAUUUUUAAAACCCUAAAACUAAGGAGUCAUUUAUUUUCUAAACUCUAAAAUUGAGGAGUCAAGCAUGUAAAAAAAUACUUAAAAUAUCUAAAUAGAAAAAGAAAAAGAAAAAAAAAUAAAUAUAUAUAUAUAUCGGUAGGUAUGGCAUACCGCCGGCAUACAAAAUCAAUUACCAAAGCCAUGCCAUUAAUUGUCGGUUCGGUAAAAUGCCAACCGAUUAUGAAAAAAUGUCAAAACUAUACCAUACCAUUUUGAGCCAACCAGUAUGGUUUGGUCAGUAAAUCGGUUUAUGGCAAAAUUUCUCACCCCUAAUUUUAUUUGUCACCUUAAACCUAUUGGUUUCUAGCCUACAAUUCGGAUAUUUUGUUGGGGAAAGAUUUUUGUACCAAUAAAAUUUUGCUUUGUCGGCAAAAUGACAUUUUCUAGUAGUUAUAAUAUUAGGUAGAUCAAAUUUGUAAACUAUGUGAUGUGUCACUAAUAGGAAAAAAUUUCAGUGUGCUGAAAAUACGGUCUAGAACACCAAGUGUCAUAAUAUAUACUUGGUUGGAAAUCUUUUAUUUUCAAGUUUCCAACUAGUUGUAUUGUAACAGUUGGUGUUCCAAGCUAUUUUCUCCAUGCGCUGGAAAAUCUCUUCACUAAUUAAAAAUAAACAUAUUAAUUAACACUUAAGUAAUAAUCAAAGCAUCAACAACUACGUCAUAGAAUUUACGAAAUAUGAUCUUAAUUAAUGAUCUCCAUUACCCUUUAUCUUAGCGUAUACGUACGCCUUCACAUGUUUAUUUGCUGAUAUGCAGCUUGAGUAAAAAUUUCUUUUUAAGAACAUAUAUGUGAAUAUAAACAUAUAUAUCUAGUGAUCCAUGUUGCGUUAUUUAAAAAUAAACAAAUUAAUUAAUUAAUGAACUGUGUACCUGUCUGUGUAGAGUAAUCCAUAUGCAUGCUUGAAUCCUGAUCACCACGAAACCAUAAUAUAAGCUACUCAAGGCCCGGAAGCUAGGAUUGAAGAGAAAAACACCCAGUCAGAUUAAGCCAAUACAUCAAAGUUAAUACUUCCAAAUGUAAGCUUUAAGAUAGAAAAAUCACUUACUUCCUUGAGCAGUCGAGCUUCUUCAAUGGCAUGAAGCUUUUAGCAUGAGAUUGACUGCAUCACAACUAAAAUUUUCUCUUGGAAACUACAUAAGGAAUAGCAUGUAUACCUAUAACGUUGAGAAAGUACGCCAAUUUUUUCCUUCUGCACAUUCAUGUUUAAAAGUAAUCCUCAAAUGAACUUGCCCACAAUGAAAUGCAAUUUGAGGUAGUCGAGUGUGUUCCAUUUCCAUCCCAUCGGAAUUACUACUAAACUUUGAGAUGGUAGAGGAUUCAUGAAAUUUUUUACUUUUGAAAUAGUCUCCUUAGCAUUUCUCGACUAUAACAAUGAGGAAAUACUUCACCUUGUAUCAAACAAGGGAGACCGAAAAUCAACUACUAAUAGCAUCACAGAGCCAGCAGAAGAUUGAGGAGGCCAUGAAAAGGAAAGAGAAAAUACACUCUUUUUUUGUAAGGACAGAGAUAAUACAUUCAAUAAAGGGUACUGAUGUUUAUAUGCAAAGCUGAUUAGGUUUAAAUAGUCGUAUUUAUUCUGUACAGUGCCAAUAUUACCACCCGUUAGUACACUUUCAAGACACUGUAAUCCAGUGUAUGCACUAUGCAGUACGUAGUACUCCUCAUUUUUUUGGGGAAAUUCAUUAUUGGUCUUCAUAUCUUCUUUAUUUUCCUUGUCCUCAUUGUGCCACGUGUUUAAAUCACUAAUUAUAGGUAAUCUUUCAAUUUAAUUAAAUCUUAUGUAAAAAAAGAUAAUUAAAUAUCAUUUAGUAUUACAAUAUAGUGAUAUUCCUCUUUAGUAUAAAAUUUUUAUAAUUAAAAGCGUUCAGCUUUUUAAUCUUCAUUGGAAUAUUAUCUAUAAAGAAAAAUUAUUCGAAUCAGAGAUCAUUUAUGCAUUCAAAUGUAUAAAAUACAUCGACAGUGUGAGAACCAACUAAUAUAUUUUUGAUGAAGUACAAUUAUUGAAUACAUUUGAACGAUCAAAUGAUAUAUGAUUCAAAAUACAUAUUAAGAUAAUAAAUAUAAAAGAAUUGUUAUUUGCACUUCAAGAAUCUCAUUCUACACUCUAAAUUUUCUAUAUAUUAAAAGAAAAAUAAAUUUGUGAAAAGUGUAGAAUGAGGUUUUUUUAAAUGCUAAUAACACUUCUCUAAAUACAAUUAUGAAAUUAAUUAAGUAAAGAUACAUGACCUCGUGAAUGAUGAAUGUAUUAUUCAAAAAAAUAUUAAAAACAAAUUGAAAAAGGACGCUGUUGUUGCCACCACUUAUGCAAUGAUCGUCGCUGCCAUCACCAACCCCCAACACCCCAUUACAGCUCAUAAAAGCACAUCAUAAGCAAUUUAUGAAAUAAAUUUACUGGAAUACUAAUUUCCCCCUUAGUUUAGGUCACCAAUGUUUAAAUUUAGGGAUCGUGAUAUCCACACACAUUUUUUACUUCUUUCACACUUUUUUUUUCGGUUGUCGGAUCAGAUGAAUUGAAGAAAAUCAAUGAACAGAAAUUAACAAGGGGUGUGUGAGAAGUAAAAAUGAAUGUGUGGAUAACACACCCCUAAAUUUAUCACAACUUUCAUUCCAAAUUUAAUUUUUAUCCGUAGUUUUGUUUGUUCAAAUUUACUUUGACAUUUCCAUUAGUAUUAAAAUCUAAUUUAAAUUUUAGUGUUCAAGCUAGAAAAAGUGUUCCAUUUAAUAUUUAAUCUCAGUUUUUCUCUUUAUUCUUUUAUUGGGAUUUGGUUGCAUCGUAUCUCCAUUUUUCUCGGUGUUGUAUGUUCAUAAGGCCUGUGAAACGUUGGCACGGAGUGAAGGGUACUCACUUUUUGGCCCAAAAUGCAUAAGGCAUGUAGAUAUGUUAAUCAAAUUUUGUAAACUAAAGGAUAUAGAAGUUGAUAAUUAGAUUAUAAUUUAAGAUAAUACUAAGGAGACUAAAUUUGCAAACUAAAUGAUGUGUCACCAAUAAAAAUAAGCACGUUUAUCAACAAUUAAGUAAUAAAUCAAUCAUCAACUUUCAUGUCCUUUAGUUUCCAAGAUUUAAUAUACAAAUUUAGUCUCCCAAGCAUUACUCUAUUACUUAAGUAUUGAUUAACAGACUUAUUUCUUAUGGUGACACAUUAUUUAGUUUACAAUUUUAGUCUACCCAACAUUACUCUUUUGAAAUUGUCUUGUCCACUGAUAUAAUUCUAUUUUUCUUGUGAUCAAAACUUCAAAUGUUAGCAAGUCGCACGUAAAGUCGCUUAUGAGAGAAUGUGCUCACAUUGUAGUUGAAAGAUUAUGUGGCUAGCAACAUUACAAAUUUAAUUUGGUAUAAUUCUAAAAUAUAGAUUGAGGAAAAAAUGAUCACAUUAACUAGAAACUGAAAAGGUUUCAGCACAGUUUGUUCAAGCAAGAAAUUCAAUUUUGAUGCUACCGAUCUUAACAGCCUGAGCGCCGUACCUGGGCACCAAAGUCACCACCACACUCUCAUCAUCUUCAGCACCCAAAUCCUCCAACAGGUCCGUUAACCCCAACCUUAAACAACUCUUGCUCUUUUCCUUCUGCUUAUGUGGCACACUCACAAAACUCCCAGCAAACUCGCUCUUGUCGGGUCCACUCGGUGCCGCAUCCUCAUCGUCCACGUCAUUCACAUACACACAUCAAACUUCACAGCCACAUCUUUGUCAAGCUCAAUCCCCUGAAUCACCAAUAUCUCCUCCUCAUCCUCUUUCUCCUUCUUGCUCCUCUUCUUCGGCUUCGGCCUUGACACCACCGUACUUAUCUUCGUCUCCAAAUUUAUUGGAAAAUCUUUACCCGCCACCACCUUCCCUGAUGACGUCGUCUCAGUGGCCUUCGCCACUCCAGCCGCCUUUGCCUUUCUCGCAAGCUUUGUCCGACGUGGCGUCGGUCUAGACUUGAGCCAUGGAAUCUCAACAUCUUCAUACGUAUACCCUAGCUUUUUAUUAUCAAGAGUGUCCCUCACCGUGACCCUAACAAGCUCAGCAUUCUCGUCAUAAAACAAAAACCCCGUAUCCAACCAAUCCUUAUCGUUAAUAUCGUUAUUUUUAGUCCCUAUACUUUUCCAAAUAUUCCACAUUCGAUCUAUAUUCGAAUGGUGCGAAAAAAAUAUUGGAUCCCUUGCAGCGGAGUAAAAAUUCCCCAUGUCUUCAAAAUUAGGCUGCGUGUUAUCUCCGGUCCAUAAAUGAACCGGACCAUGUGGGGUCGUUUCGAUUGAACCGCCCCCUGGAUCUGGUUCAGUGUCAGCCCUGUAGGGCGAACCAAAGAACAACAGCGGUUUCUUGGAGUUGGAAACCAUCUGCCUAUACAUGAUUUUGAGGUUGGCGUCGAUUUGAGCAUCCUUGGACAUUGUUUCAUCCGUGCCGUUGAAGUCAAGAUCGAUGAGAGUCGGCGGCUGAUGGCUGGCAGCGCGGAGCUCGUCGUAAAGCGGAGAGUCCGGGUUAGCGAACAAGGCAGGGAGUUGCAUGCCAGCUGGCGCGUCCCAGUUCCAAAACGGCAACGCGAACGUCGGAUCGUCUAUGAGUUUGGCCAAGAUUCUUUCGUAGAAGUAUACGUAGUAACGAUGGAAGGGGAAGAAAAGCCAGCAUUGAUGGAUUUGGAGCUCGAGGUUGGGGAAGCCGACUUGGUCGUACGCGCCGUCGCAAUAGGCACAGUGGAGAUCGGCUUGCUGGGUGAAGCUACGCGGAUCGUCGUCCGGGAGGGCUUUCAUGAGCUCGAUGGCUUUUGAAUAUUUUUCGAUGUAGGCUUUAUCCACGGUGUGAGCUGCCGGCCUGACGCGGAGUUUGGUAGGGGAGGGGAAUUUGAAGUCUACGAUUUUUUGGGACGUUGGCGGGCAACAGUUGAUCGGGACUGCUCCACUUGGAAAGUCCGCAGCUCCGCAUUUGGCUAGGUCAGGCGGCAACACUGGCUUUGCAACAGCGAAGGGGUCGCUGCCAAGACCAGCCACUCCGGCUUUGCAACAGCGAAGGGGUCGCUGCCAAGACCAGCCACUCCACCGUAGAGGCUUCCGAGACCUAUAAGAAGAUAGAAUUCAGUUCUUGGCAGUAGAGGACUCUAUUGCAGGGAAAAACUGAUUUGAAUUAGGAAGGCUUAAGUAGUUUUCCAUAAGGAUUUUAAUAGGGAAUCCAUAUUCUAAUAUGAGAAGGAUAUGUGUGUACAUAUAUAUAUAUAUAUAUGGCAAUCUCUUCUCUCACAGGUGUGUGCUCUUUUGGAACUAAGCCCUAUUCUUAGUUUGAGUGAUAAAUACCCUGACAGAGAGAAGAAGAAUUGAUGUGCUUUUCAGGUUGAUCGAGAUCCACCAUGACUGCAUCAAACGGGAGUUCUACAGGUUAGUAUAAUUAGGUUUUAUUUGGAUUGAUGUUUUGUGUCUACUUGGUUGUAGUUUAAGUAACUGAAUCUUGCAGCUAGAUUUUGGUUUACAUGUGGUAUCAGAGCCAUAGAUUCAUGUUCUUAAAUUCAAUCGAUAAAAUUGAUUGAAUCCAAAAUAAAAUUCCGAUCUUCAGACUUCGAAACAGGUUCUGGUAGUUAAAAUUAGGAAAAGAAGAAACGGUGCGUUUUGAUUAAAAUAUGAUGAUUAAUACUUGACCGUUAAGAGCUAAUAAACUAUCUUCUCUUCCGAAUUGGGAAUACAAAUCGACAUCUAUCGAUUUCGAUUUCGGGGUUUGAAAAACUGGGUUAUAUGACAUCUAUCGAUUUCGAUUUCGAGGUUUGAAAAACUGGGUUAUAUGAAUUGUUAUUGAGUAUCCACAAUUUAUAUUAAUUGCUUCCGCUGCUGGGUGUUGAUGCUCAUAGAACAAACGGGUAUGUCUCCUGAACAUUGAAUUGAAAUUUGUUUUUUAAUCAAUCUUAUCUUGAAUUUCAUUAUGUUCUACAGCAUGAUUCGAAUAGUGAGCAUAAAAAUAUGCUUAUUUAUGCUGAUUAGUCCUAUGUUUAUGCGUUUUUCUCUAACCAUCUAUGGAAGGGAGUUCUUCGAUAAGAACCUCUGCAGAUUUCACUUGUUUUAUGCAGAAAGUUUUAUGAAGAACUGUUCAUUUGAUAAAGAUCUGCUAAAACUGUGUUCUUAAAUGGAAAAAUCUUUUAUUCUAUAUGUGCUUAUCAAUUCUUCAUUGUUAAGAUUAUAUAUAUGGAUAAAAGGUUUUGAUGAUAUGAUGUACAAAGGAUUGUGAGAUGAAAUCUGGAACUCUAAACGUUCUUCUGUGAUUCAUUGUGAUUUCAUUGUGCUACAGUGUCUGCAAUAUCAAUGAAGACUCUGAAUUUGGCUAACAUCCCAAUUCUUACUGGUGGGGGAAAUUACAAGAAGUGGAGAAGGGAAAUCAGUUUGCUGUUGACUCUAAACGAGUUUGAUAUAGCAAUCGAGAAUCCCAAACCCGUGGUCAAUGAUCAGAGCAGCACAAGGGCUGAAAAGGCAGAUUUUGAGAGAUGGACAAGGGCUAAUAAGGUAGCAUUGUCCAUCCUUGAGAGUGGCAUGACUGAUACAAUCAGAUGAGGAAUUAAGAAGCACGAUUUGGCUGCUGAUUACCUAAAAGCUAUUGAAAAGAAAUUUCAAGAAUCUGAAAAAGCUGAAGUGAGUCAGUAUAUGUCUUUAUUAACUACUUACAAGAUGGAGGGUACAAGCUCUAUAAGGGAUCACAUAAUGAAGAUGACAUAUGCUGCAGAAAGACUCAAUGCAAUGGAUAUAAACAUAGGUGAAAAGCAGUUAGUAUUCAUGAUUCUUCAAGCACUUCCCAGUAAAUAUAGUCAGUUGAAGAUCUCCUACAAUACUCAAGACAAAAACUGGGAUAUUGAUCAGUUGAUUGCACAGUGUGUGCAAGAAGAAACUCGUCAAAAACAAGAAAGAGGCAAAGAAGUUGAGGACAUCAACUUUGUGCAAACUAUAAAUGACAAAAAGCAGUUCAACAACAGAAGCUUUUCUGGUUCUGGUAAGAGUUCUAAGCCUUUUAAAACUUCUAAUAAGUUCAGUAAUUCUGCUAAAGUAGUUGACUCCCCUAGAAAAUCUAUCAAGUUUAAAGCUAAACCUAAAGAUGUGUCUAAAUUAAAAAUGUUUUUGGUGCAAAACUAAGGGCCAUUUAAAAGUUAACUGUGAAAUUUUCAAAGAUUAUGUAAAGAGCAAAGAAAAGGAACAAGUACUUGUCUGUAUUGAAUCAAAUUUGUGAAGUAUACCUGUUGAUUCUUGGUGGUUUUGAUAUACCGGAUGCUCAGUGCAUAUAACUAAUUCUUUAAAUGGUUUUCAAAAACAAAAGGAAUUUGGAAAUGCUACAUAUAAUGUUUUUGUUGGGGAAGGAACUAAAGUUGCAGUAGAGUCAAUUGGGAUAGUCAAAUUAGUCUUAUGUUCUGGUUAUGUUUUAGAGUUGAAAGAUGUGUGCUAUAUGUGCCUAAGAUGAGAAGAAACUUAAUUUCUGCCCUCUAAAAUUGUAAAAGAUGGUUUUUCUUUUCUUGGUGAUGAUGAGUGCCUCAAAAAUUUUCAAGAAAAACUGUCCUUGUCCUAACACUAUUUUAGGGACUGCUUUUUUGUCUGAUAAUUUAUGGAAUCUAAAUUGCACUGUUAAGGCACUCAAUCACACGAUUUUCAGCAUUAGUACUAAGAGAAUGAUAGGUCAGGAUACUUCAUACAUUUUAUGGCACAAAAGACUAGGACACAUCUCUAAAGAAAGGAUAAUUAAGCUGUAAAAAACUGACUUGAUUCCAAAAUUAGAUCUUUCUACUGCAACUGAAUGUGUUGACUGCCUAAAGGGUAAAAUGACCAAUUUUAGAAAAACAGAUGCCAAAAUGAGCCAGGGGUUACUUGAAAUCAUACACACUGAUAUCUGUGGUCCUUUUCCAGUUAAGACAAUAUGUGGAAACAAGUAUUUCAUUAAUUUCAUAGAUGAUUUUUCAAGGCUGGGAUAUACCUUUCUGAUUAAUGAAAAAGCUGAUGCCCUUAAGUGUUUUAUAAUUUACAAAACUGAGGUUGAAAAACAGUUAGGCAAGGUUAUUAAAAUUGUUAGAUCGGAUAGGGGAGGUGAAUACUUUGGCAGGUACACUGAAUCCGGGCAGCAAAAGGGACCAUUUGCUCUCUAUCUCGAGAAGAAUGGUAUUGUGGCGCAGUACACCACACCUGGAACGCCUCAACAGAAUGGUGUUUUUGAAAGAAGAAACAGGACUCUUAUUGGUAUGGUUAGAAGCAUGAUGUCCAGAUCAAAAUUGCCAGGAUUCUUGUGGGGAGAAGCUUUGAAAACAGCUAAUCAUAUAUUGAAUCGAGUUCCAAGCAAGGCAGUAUCUACCACACCCUAUGAGUUAUGGCAUGGGAGAGUUCCUAGUUUUACUUAUUUCCAUGUUUGGGGUUGUAAAGCAGAAGCUAAGUUAUAUAAUCCUAAUGAAAGAAAGCUGGAUUCAAGGACUCAGUCAUGUUAUUUUAUUGGCUAUCCUGAGAAAUCAAAAGGAUACAGGUUCUAUAUCCCUCAAGGUCACACUCGGAUCCAAGAGACACACAAUGCAGUUUUCCUAGAAGAUGAAGAUGUCUCUCAUUUGUCAAGGGAAAAUUUCAUAUUUGAAGAGAUGCAUUCAGAUGGUGGGGACCAUGUGACAAUGGAUUAUAAUAUCGGUCUCAUUGUUUCCCAAUCAAUCAUCAAUUGCCAUUGAAGAUAUGAGUGAAGAUUUAGGAGUUCCUGAUGACAACUCUGUAGGAGUUGAUUCCACAACAUAAGCUGCAACAAUUCCUUUUGCAGAAGCAUGUGAACCAGUUGCUGUUCCACCUCCAGUUGAAAUCAGAAGGUCACAAAGAGCUCGGAAAACCACUGCAAGCAAUGACUAUGUGUACUUAUAAGAGACUGAGUUCGAUAUUGGUGACAUUUGAUGAUCCUCUUACAUAUACUCAGGCAACUGAAAGUCCUCAAGCAGUUCUUUGGAACAAUGCAAUGAAGGAUGAGUUAGAUUCAAUGUCCAAAAACCAGGUUUGGACAUUGGUGGAAUCCAACUCUGAAAUUAGGCCAAUAGGCUGCAAGUGGGUAUAUAAAACCAAAAGGGAUGCUGCUGGAAGAAUUGAAAGAUAUAAAGCAAGGUUGGUUGCUAAGGGGUUUACUCAAACGGAGGGGAUCGACUAUAAUGAUACUUUCUCUCCAGUUUCCUCCAAAGACUCCAUGCGAGUUAUCAUGUCUUUAGCUGCCUACUUCGAUCUUGAAUUACAUCAAAUGGAUGUAAAAACCGCUUUUCUUAACGGAGACUUACAAGAGGCUAUAUACAUGAAACAACCUGUUGGAUUUGUUGAAAAGGGGAAAGAGAAUUUAGUAUGCAAGCUCAAUAAGUCCAUAUACGGCUUGAAACAAGCAUCAAGGCAAUGGUACCUAAAGUUUGAUCAAAUUGUCUCUGCAUAAGGUUUUGUAGAAAACAAACUGGAUGAUUGUAUAUACAUUAAGUUCUCAGGUUCCGAGUUCAUCUUCUUAGUACUUUAUGUUGAUGCCAUUCUCCUAGCUAGUUCAUGUCCCCAAUUGCUUCAUAGCAUUAAGAGAAUGCUAAGUGAUAACUUUGAGAUGAAAGAUCUUGGAGAAGCACAUUAUGUACUAGGAAUAGAGAUUGUUCGAGAUAGGAAAAUGAGGCUCCUUGGUUUAUCUCAAAAGGGGUACAUUGACAGAGUGUUGGAGAAAUUUCAUAUGGCAAAUUGCAAUUGUGGUCAGGUUCCAGUCAAUAAAGGUGACAAGUUUUCGAAGAUUCAAUGUCCAAGAUCUGAUUUGGAGGUGAAGAAAAUGCAAGCUAAGCCUUAUGCCUCGUUGAUUGGAAGUCUUAUGUAUGCAACUAUCUGUACAAGGCCUGAUAUUGCCUUCAUAGUUGGUAUGCUAAGACGAUUUCAAGCAAAUCCUGAGAAGCACAUUGGGGGUGGCAGCCAAGAAGGUUCUUCGAUACUUGCAGAGAACCAAAACUCACAUGUUAGUAUAAUGGCCGAACUGAUUCUUUGGAGCUCAGGGGGUAUAUACUCGGAUUUAGCUGGAGAUGUGGAUGACAGGAAGUCCACAGGGGUUAUAUCUUCAUACUCAAUGGAGGGGCAGUUUCGUGGAAAAAUGCAAAGCAAACUAUUAUAGCCACAUCAACUAUGGAAGCUGAGUUUGUAGCCUGUUUUGAAGGCAUGAAACAGGCAGCAUGGUUGAAGAAUUUUUUGACAGAUUUAAAGAUUGUGAAUUCGGUUCAGAAACCAGUAACAAUGUUCUGUGAUAAACAACUCGGCUGUGUUUUUUGCUAAGAAUAAUAAAAGGACUUCAGCAUCUAGAUUUGGAUGGACGAAGUUUCUUAAGGUCAGAGAACAAGUCAAGAAAGGAGUUAUUGAAGUACAGCACAUUAGCACUACUAUGAUGAUUGCUGAUCCCUUGACUAAGGCACUGCCAAUUGGAGAAUUCAAGAAACAUGUUUCUUCAAUAGGAGUACUAGAAGGUUUUGAUCAGUGGGAGUAAUCACGUGUGUGUUAAAGGCUUGGGAUUGCAGAAGCAGAAGUAUAUAUGUGUUUCAAGAACUGUAUGUGCAAUUCUGACAAGCUGAACUAAGGAUGCUUUAUGUUUUAACUUGCUUUAGUUAGUUUGUUAAGGUUGUUUGUGUUUUAAUAAGUGUCCUUGUCUGCUACUCAAUACUUUGGCUUUCAGGUGUUGAGGUACGGAUACUGGACUGAGUUAGAAUUUAGUUUCAUUAGUAACUUUGAAAGAACAGUUUGUCUGUUUUUUAAGUUUGUGGUUAAUGAUGUUAUAUAGUCAAUUACUAUGUUGCUUUUCUGUGAAGAUUAAUGUGUGUUGUGAUCUUUUGAAAAGUGGGAGCAUAAUGUUUGACGGUUUAUGUUAGUCAUGAGUCAUAUUUACAAAUUGAAUAUAUGUGAGCCUUGAAUUAAUACUACAAUUUGGUUGUGGUCUGAGAUUCUUGGUUUCUAUAUUUUGAGAUGUAAUGGGACAGUGGUCAUGAUGGUUAAAUCUUAGAUGAGGUUAUGUGAUCACUUCUUAUGAUUGGUGACGGCAAGGUUUGAUCUUUGUCUCAUGUUCAAGUGGGAGAAUGUAAGAAUGUGAACAUGAGAUAAGAUGAUCGGAUAUUAGUUGUUUGAGUCCAAUCCGAAUAAGAAAGCCUCUAAGAAGAUGGAAUUCAGUUCUUGGCAGUAGAGGACUCUAUUGCAGGGAAAAACUGAUUUGAAUUAGGAAGGCUUAAGUAGUUUUCCAUAAGGAUUUUAAUAGGGAAUCCAUAUUCUAAUAUGAGAAGGAUAUGUGUGUACAUAUAUAUAUAUAUAUGGCAAUCUCUUCUCUCACAGGUGUGUGCUCUUUUGGAACUAAGCCCUAUUCUUAGUUUGAGUGAUAAAUACCCUGACAGAGAGAAGAAGAAUUGUUGUGCUUUUCAGGUUGAUCGAGAUCCACCAUGACUGCAUCAAACGGGAGUUCUACAGGUUAGUAUAAUUAGGUUUAUUUGGAUUGAUGUUUUGUGUCUACUUGGUUGUAGUUUAAGUAACUGAAUCUUGCAGCUAGAUUUUGGUUUACAUAUUUUUCGAUGUAGGCUUUAUCCACGGUGUGAGCUGCCGGCCUGACGCGGAGUUUGGUAGGGGAGGGGAAUUUGAAGUCUACGAUUUUUUGGGACGUUGGCGGGCAACAGUUGGUCGGGACUGCUCCACUUGGAAAGUCCGCAGCUCCGCAUUUGGCUAGGUCAGGCGGCAACACUGGCUUUGCAACAGCGAAGGGGUCGCUGCCAAGACCAACCACUCCGGCUUUGCAACAGCGAAGGGGUCGCUGCCAAGACCAGCCACUCCACCGUAGAGGCUUCCGAGACCUAUAAGUACAUUUCUUCUGUCUAGGUUUACUAGAGAAGGGUUUUCAUGGUCGUGAUCGUUGGAGCUAGUGGAAGGGUUUUUGUUUUGGUCACUACUAUUAUUUGUGGCUUUGCACGAGACAGCUUGUAAAUUGGAAUGCCUAGGGUUUCCAAAUGAGGAUAUUCGGUGAUACUUUUGGGAGAAAGGGGAGAGAGAAGUUGUGGGGAUGAUACUUGUGGCGGAGGUGACGAGUGGAGCUGACAUAGAAGCCAUGGUACUUGACUCUGAAUAAUACGUUGUAUUGGCUUUGCUUUUAUAAUGUGUUCUAGGUUUUACGUUUCUUUGCACGGGUGGCAGGCCGUACACACGUGGUCGGUCCUUAAGGGUUUGACGAGGAAUACUACGCAGUCAUUUAGUACAUGACAACCAUACACUAUAGCACGUGGCAUGUAUUUAGAGAUCGAGAGAGAAUUGGGUAAGGUUCACGAGGGAUUGUAGUUUCAGAAGGUGAAUUGGUUUUGGUCUUCUUGUGUACCAAUAAUUUUUACUUAGUCAUUUAGUGCAGGACAACCAUGCACUAUAGCACGUGGCAUGUAUUCAGAGAUCGAGAGAGAAUUGGUUGGGUAAGGUUCACGAGGGAUUGUAGUUUCAGAAGUUCAAGCGGUUUUGGGCUUGUUGUGUACGGCUGUGGGUCUGCUGUCACGGACUCUCUGUCUCAUUUGUGUCUUAUUUUUUAUUUUUUGACACGUUUUAACGUCAAAUCAUUAUAGCAAUGUUAUGCAAUUGGGAGCUAAAUGACCGAUGCUCUUAUUUUUUAGUUUGCUUUUUUUCCAGAUCUGAUCAAAUCAUGAUAGCAAUGUUAUGCAAUUUUCAAGAGGGAGAGAUGCACCUGGGAGAGAAACGGUACGGUGACUUCUAAAUCACCGUCCAACAGAACAAUUCUCAGUAGAGACUACUAGAGAGAGAUGCACCUCACCAAUGAAAAAUUUAACUGCAAAAAUUCUGGGUAUCGGGAGUUGUGGGGUGGGUCUUGGCAGUUUUCUUAUUUCUUUGAAUUUUUUAUAAUUUAUUUUAUAAAAGUAACAGUGUUUUGUGGGGGUUAAAUUGUAAAACACGUGUCAUCAAACUAAAUAAAGAGACACCAAAGAGACAUGGAAUUCGGGACAACAGACCCACAGCCGUUGUGUACGGAGGCAGACUCUCUGCUCUCCUACUUUCUGUGUCCUCCUGUUUUGUGUAGUCACGAUUAAAUCACGUCAAUAUUUUAUAUUAUUAUUUUAUAGAUAUAAUAAGACAAAAAAGAAUAGUAAUUUAAAAUAUUAACGUGACUUAACUGUGACCACACGAAUAGGAAGGCAUGAGAAGUGGGAAGGCAAAGAAUAUGCCUCCGUUGUGUACCAAUAAUAUUAUAUAUAUAUAUAUAUAUAUAUAUAUAAUUAGGAUUGAAGGAUGUAGAGCUUAUUUUGUUAUGUAUUCUAACAAUUUAAGUGCUUAUCUUUUAGGUUUUCUCUUAAACAGCAUGCCUAUAAAAAAUCACCAAAAUUCAAACCAUAUGACCAUUAGAUCCAUAGUCAUUUUAGUGUUAAAUGAACUUCACAAAAUAAGUCUCAAAAUAUGUAUAAAAAAUGGACAGCGUGAAUGGUUUGGAAAUUGGAAUAGGUUUGGAAAUUGUGCUUUUUGUAGCAAAUUGCAGCAAAGUUUGCUUGGACUUUCACAACCGUAUAAAUUAAACUGUUCGCUUUGUUGGGAAAAACAAGUUUGCCGCUGGUCUUGGGUUCCAAGAUCGGCCAAUUUGACGGCACACUUUUUGGCGUUGAGAAGCAGUACGGAGAUGUGCAGAUUAACUUGGAUUGAUACUCCUCCAUCUUCGUUGGUUCGUGUAUUGAACAAAGAUGGCCUUCCUUGCCCUCCUUAAUAUUUUUUGUUCUUCCUGCAGUGGAGGCGGUGACGCCUUGCUCUUGGUGCAGCGUCUAGUGUUCUGUACCCUCCUCUUCUGCAUAUGUUUGUAUUUCCCCUCGUUGCCCCUUCUAAGUGGGCUUCCUAUUGUUUUGGCUUCGGCCCUGGUUAUGAAAUAUUUCCAAUCUUACCCAAAAAAAAAAAAAAAAAGAAGAAGAAGAAGAAGUCAAGCACGGUGGGAGACUGGUCAUAGUUUCUAGAUUGAUGCUCUAAUUCUAAUGUUAUACAACGCGUACGCUAAAAUAUUUUUAUCAAAAUAUUAGUUUUAGUGUUAUCAAAACAAUAAUGUUAUUCUUACCAUGUUUUUGUAUCACAAUUAUAUACCACCUUAGAUGGCAUAUGAUGUAGAUAGCCACAUCAUUUAAAUUAAUAAGCAUUUAAUUUCAAAUGUUAAUCAAUAAUUAAUAAAAUGAUUGUUAAUUAAAUGAUGAUUAUGGUAUACAAGGAGUCUCCUUCUUCCUUCCCCUUUCCAUUCUGCUUUUUCUUCCUACCACUUUCUGUUUUUUUUUUCAUGCCAGUUUUUGUAUUGAUUUCUAUUGAUUUCCAUGAUUAUGGUCAAUCUUUAUAGAAUUUACUCGUAUACCACAACCACCAUUGAUUUCUAUCUCUAGACUCAUGCCCCGUAGCCCUAAUCCUCAUUCCCCUUCAAGUAUUUCUGUCUCCAAUCUUCUUUGGUACUCCAUGGUUGUUCAUCUCGUGAUUUUUUUUUAUUAUUUCAUUAAGUAACGCCUAUUAGCUUUCAUGCGAAUUAGGAGUCAAAAUCAAAUUUGUCUAUCGGAUUAGGGUUCAUGCCCAAUUAAGUUACUAACGCAAGAGAGAUUUUGAAGUCUACAAUUUUCCUUAUUUAAGUGUUUUAAUUAAUAAGAAAAUUGAAAUUAAACGAUUUAGCUUGUCCAACUCAUCUGCCACCUAAGAUGGUAAAUAAAUGUGGUAAGAAUAGCAUUACUCUUAUCGAAAUUACAAAAAAAAAAAAAAAAAAAAAAAAAAGCUGAUUCAAUAUUUAGUUAUUAAAAAAAAUAUAAAAAAAGUGAUCAAGUAACUAUCCAAUACCCAUGUAUUGGGUGCUUUGUUUGAAAAUUUUCAAAAUGAUAUUGGGCUCGUUUGGAUAUGUUUUUAAAAUGACUGAAAGCGUUUUUAGAGAAAAUAUUUUUUUGAUUCCAAAAGCACUUAAAGUGUUUUCUGCAAAAAGCACUUAAAGUGCUUUCUGCAAAAAGCACCAGUUAUGUGCUUCUUCCUAGAAGCACUUUAAGUGUUUUUCAAGCAUUUACUUGCUUUUUUACUAAGGAUUGGUUCCAAAAACAUUUUCACAAAAAGUGUUUUCAGUCAUUUUAAAAGUACAUUCAAACGAGCUCAUUGUUUUUCCUAUUUUAAUCAAGUGCGUCGUCCCCUGUUGAGAAUGAAUCUCAUAUUAUGGGGAGAGGGGUCUUGCAUGGAUGAGAGGAGGGACCUUGCAUGAGCUUAUAAGUAAGUUGGGUUACUCUCUAUAUUGCCAAGAGAAAUUUUAUUUGGACCUACUUUUCCUCUCUCUAAACCCAACUUUAAUAUUUUGUUACCUAAACUCUCUAGUUUACCCUCAUAAAUUAUAAACAUAAAUAAACUGGAAAAAGAAAAACUCAUCAAACCUAUUUCCCAACUGUUCUGGCGUCUCUUCCCUGUAUUUGUUGGGUCUAUCUCCCUCCCGACUGUUUUUUUUCCCUGAUAUUCUCUGUGUGUUCCCCCACCUCUCCCACACCCACCGAUUCUUUGUGGUGGCUAUUCCACCCAACGUCCAGUGAAUCUUUCCAUUUUUCUUCUAUUGCGCGUGAUAGGGCCUUGCUGUUAAUAGGCAAAACUAAGCGGCAUCGUCGACUCUGUAAGCGACUUGUUGCAGAAGUCCAAAAUGGAGUCAAAAGGAUUUUGUAUUGGGUCGGGUUGUUGAAGGCGAUGGCUGAUUUAGCAAUCUCGCCUAACUACUUCUAUAUGCAGGAGAAGGAAGAGGGAGGAAGGUCUAAAGUGGUGGUUGAGUGGUGGCGAUGUAUGUGGGUUCUAUCUCGGUUGAAUGGGUGUAGAAAGAUAUUUAAUUUUCAGUUUCUUAUUUUAUUUUGUAUAAGGGAUAAUAUCGGAAUUACAUAAAAAGUUUUUUUUAUAGCUGGGUGUAGAAAUAGUAUUGUUGGGUCUAAAUAAAAUUACCCUAUUGCCAAACAUAGUAUUGUUGGGUCUAAAUAAAAUUACCCUAUUGCCAAUUAGCUUUGUUUGAAAAUUUUCAAAAUGAUAUUGUUUUUACCAUUGAACCCUUGUUAUAUACAGUGAUGGCUAAUUUGUCAAGUUCUACGAAGUUGGGAUACCCAGCGUUUUAGCAUAUAACAUAACUUAGUAUUACAAGCAUAAUUAAUUAAAAUAAAGGAAAAUGAAGAGGAUAGCUUAGUAUUACAAGCAUAAUUAAUUAAAAUAAAGGCAAAAGUAACAGCCUGUCCCUAAAAAUGACGAUUUUAUAAUCUUAACACGUGAGUUUAUGAAGAUGCCCUUCGAGGCAAAGUGUUGACUUGUGUUGACUACCGCAUCGUGUCAUGUGAGACUCAUCUUCUUGGCGUAUUCUCGUUUUACUUGUCACUACGGACGCAUGGGCGCAAACGGGACAUGAUUUGGAGCUAUAACGAAUGAGUUAUUAACAUUUAAAGUUAAGGACAUUUUAGUAAAUUAAUUAAUUUCAGAUUAUGUUGAGGGGAAAAUCUGGAGUGCCGGUGGGUGGCCCAGAUUAAAGGAAAUGAAGAAUGGAUGGUGGAGGUGUAAAGGAAAGAAGAUAAAAGAAAAAUGAGAGGAAGUGUGUGACUAAUAGGGAGAUGAGAGAGUUAGGAUGGCCCAAUCAGAAACAAACGAAAGGAGGAAAAAGGAGAGAAGAGGGGAGCGGGGGAUCCCUUCGACCCGGUUCCAUUUUCCGACCCGACCCGAUCCUUUUCAUCUUCUUUGAUGGUUUUUCGUCGGUUUUUUCCGACGAACCACGUUAUCUAACCCCUUGGAAAAUGUUCCACAACCUUCCCUCAACUAUUACAAUCCAAAAUUGUAGAAAUUUAGCCAUGAAAGUAUGAAAACCACACCGGUGGGUGCGGGAAACCCUUGUCGUCGAUUCUCCCAUUAUUGCAACGAUUUUCACCAAUUACCACCACCUACAACAUCCUCUUGAGGUCUGGAAUAAAGCCCAAACAAGUUUUGCACUACUACAAUAUUAGCUUUAGAUGGCAGAUGAUGGUGGCGGAUUUAGAAAAAUAUUGUCGGAUAAAUUAUAUCUGACACAUUAUUUAAUUAGUGGUGAAUAUAAGAAAAAUCAUGUCGGUUAUAACCGACAUAAAUUCGUGGCAGAUACUAGCAGAUAUUAAAAAACUCAUGUCGGUUAUAACCGACAUAAAUUCCUAGCGAAUAAUUACUGACAGAUAUUAUAAAACUUCUGUCGGUUAUAACCGACAAUAUUUUUGAAUUGGGGGAAUUUAAAAUUUUGGGAGGGAAUUUAAAAUUUUGGGAGGGAAUUUAAAAUUUUGGAGGAAAUUUUGGGGGGAUUUUUACCCAUAUUAAUUCAUGGCGGAUAAUUACUGACGAAUAUUAUAAAGCUCAUGUCGGUUAUAACCAACAAUAAUGAAAAUGUUUAUGUCGAUUUUUAUUAAAAAAAUGUUUCUGUCAGUUUUAACCGACAUUAAUGAAAAUAUUCCACAGUAAAACCCCUACUUCUUCUCCUUGUGCUGGUGCCUUCUCCCUUCCCCCUUCUUUCCCCCUUUUCUCUUCUCCUCAUUUCCUUUUCCUUUGUAUUUUUGAUUUUGACAAGGUCUCUCCUUUAUUUGAUUCUUUGUUGUUCAUCUCUCACAAAUGUAGAGAGAGUAAAGGAGAUGCUUAGAGCGCUUUCUUUGUUCCUUUUUUUUUUCUUUUCAUUUUUUCCCUUUUCAAACUCCGACUAUGUCUUACAUGGCCGGUCCCAAGCCCGGAUAAAGGAGGAGGGGGAGGGCGUCAGGUAGUCGACAGCCGGCACUCCAUGAUCACGUCGAAUCCUUAUGAAAAUGAAUCCAGAACAAAAUCGCGCUAAAGCUAGGGCGCCACCCGUAAGUGGCGCGCUGUGUGGCCCGAGCACAGUGAUAAGUGAGCAAGGGUCGCUGUAUCUCCAUCGGCACUCGGAUGCAGUGUUAAAUGAGCAAGGGGGCCAUAGAAACUUCUUUUCGAACGACUCCACUCAAAGUUGUUUGGGAGCAUAUGCUCCUAUCAACUUUACCCGGGACACACAAAAGAAGUACUUUGAUCCUAUUAGACGGGGGAGGGUGAAGAAGCUAGGACAGAAGGGUAGAGUUCAAGAGAGCAAAAUGCGUUUAGGAACGUGGAAUAUAGGAACCUUAACGGGAAAAUCUAUGGAAGUAGUGGAAGUUAUGGUGAGGAGAAGGAUAAAUAUUAUGUGCCUACAAGAAACUAAGUGGGUUGGUAGUAAGGCAAAGGAUCUAGAAAACUCAGGGUUUAAACUUUGGUAUUCGGGCACAAAUAGAACGAGAAACGGUGUUGGCAUCAUCGUGGACAAGACCUUGGUACAAGAUGUUGUAGAUGUCAAGAGUGUAGGAGAUAGAAUCAUGGCAAUCAAGAUUGUAAUAGGACAAGAACUUAUCAAUGUGAUUAAUGCGUACGCACCUCAAGUAGGGUUGGAUACGAGUUCGAAGGAGAAAUUUUGGGAAGAUCUUGGAGACUUGGUGCAAGGAAUUGCUCAGACGGAGAAGUUAUUUAUAGGAGGAGAUUUAAAUGGACACGUGGGCAGGGAGACAGGCAACUAUGGAGGUUUUCAUGGUGGCCAUGGUUUUGGGGAGAGAAACGAGGAUGGGGAAGCUAUCUUGGAUUUUACAAUGGCAUAUGAUCUCUUCUUAGCCAACACCUUCUUUAAGAAGAGAGAAGAACAUGUGAUCACCUACAAGAGUGGGUCGUCAAAAACACAAAUAGAUUUUCUUCUAAUGAGGAAAGGGGAUCGUAUAACUUGUAAGGAUUGCAAAGUUAUACCAGGAGAGAGCGUGGCUAAUCAACAUCGCUUGUUGGUGAUGGAUGUACAUAUCAAAAGAGUAAGACAAAAGAACAAGACUUGGAAGUGCCCAAGGACUAGAUGGUGGAAUCUAAAAGAAGAAAAACAAGUCAUUUUCAAAGAGAAGGUAAUCACCCAAUGUGUGUGGGAUAGAGAGGGGGAAGCUAGCCAAAUGUGGGAUUUCAUGGCUAGUUGUAUCCGAAAAGUAGCAAAAGAGGUAUUAGGAGAGUCUAAGGGCUUUGCCCCACACUAAAAGGAAUCUUGGUGGUGGAAUGAGGAGGUACAAACAAAGGUGAAGGCUAAGAAGGAAUGUUGUAAAGCCUUAUACAAGGAGAGGACCGAUGAAAAUGGUGAAAGGUAUAGAAAAAAAGCGAAGCAAGAGGCGAAGAAAGCUGUCAGAGAAGCUAAGUUAGCGGCUUACGACGAUAUGUAUAAACGACUAGAUACCAAAGAAGGAGAGUUGGAUAUCUAUAAACUAUCUAGAGCAAAGGAAAAGAAGACAAGGGACCUAAACCAAGUGAGGUGCAUCAAGGAUGAGGAUGGAAAGGUUCUUGCUACAGAGAACGCGGUUAAAGACAGAUGGAGAGGUUAUUUUCAUAAUCUUUUCAAUGAAGGACAUGAAAUGAGUGCUUCUUUAGGGGAGUUGAGUAACUCAGAAGAGUGUAGAAACUACUCUUUUUAUCGUCGAAUCCGGAAGGAAGAAGUGGUUGUAGCUUUGAAGAAGAUGAAGCAUAAAAAAGCAAUAGGCCCAGACAAUAUACCAAUCGAAGUGUGGAAACUUUUGGGAGAGACAGGUAUAACAUGGCUCACUGACCUUUUCAAUAGGAUUUUGAAAACGAAAAAGAUGCCAAAUGAGUGGCGAACGAGCACUUUGGUGCCUAUCUACAAGAAUAAGGGCGACGUACAAAAUUGCAUGAACUAUAGGGGUAUUAAGCUAAUGAGUCAUACAAUGAAGCUCUGGGAGAGAGUCAUUGAGCAUAGAUUGAGGCAAGAGACACGGGUUUCGGACAACCAAUUCGGGUUCAUGCCAGGGCGCUCAACCAUGGAGGCAAUCUAUCUCUUACGAAGAUUGAUGGAAAGAUAUAGAGAUGGGAAAAAUGAUUUACACAUGGUCUUUAUAGAUUUGGAAAAAGCGUAUGAUAGGGUCCCAAGAGACAUUCUUUGGAGGAUUUUAAAGAAGAAAGGAGUACGAGUAGCAUAUAUCCAAGCUAUAAAGGACAUGUAUGAAGAAGCAAAGACUGCCGUAAGAACUCAUGAAGGACAAACCGAAAGCUUUCCCAUAACUGUAGGAUUACAUCAAGGCUCAUCCUUAAGUCCUUACCUUUUUGCGUUGGUAAUGGAUGAGUUAACAGGACAUAUUCAAGAUGAUAUUCCUUGGUGUAUGCUUUUCGCAGACGAUAUAGUGUUGAUAGAUGAAACUCAGGAAGGGGUAAAUGCAAAGCUUAACCUUUGGAGAGAAGUGUUGGAAUCUAAAGGUCUUCGCCUAAGCCGAUCAAAGACAGAAUAUAUGGAGUGCAAGUUCAGUGCAAAUGGAGGCCAAAACGAGUUAGGGGUGAGGAUCGGAGAUCAAGAAAUACCAAAGAGUGACCGUUUUCGUUACCUAGGAUCUAUCUUGCAAAAGAACGGAGAAUUAGAUGGAGAUCUCAACCAUAGAAUACAAGCUGGAUGGAUGAAGUGGAAGAGUGCAUCUGACGUGUUGUGUGACCGUCGUAUGCCACUGAAGCUCAAAGGAAAAUUUUAUAGGACGGCAAUAAGGUCGGCGAUGAUUCAACUUGGCGGGUUCGAGCAAAUAGGCGUUGGGCCAUAUUAGACACAGAACCUGCACACUGAACACUGAGAGCUAGCGAAUCCUUAACAGCUAACUCAUCAGACCGUUUGGAAAGUAGUCUGUUAUCUUUGGGAGUGAGAAGGUUCCUGGCCACCACCGCAGCGGUCAUAUCAUUCUUCAUCACGGAAUCCCCAACGGUAAGAGGACCAGUAGGGGAGACAAAGGAUGGGCGCCAUAUGUUGUCUGGAGAAGGCGGGGCUGCCUCUUCAACAAGGUUCAAGUCAAAAAACGACGGUCGGAGGGCCAGACAUUUUCAAAGGUGUUGAAGAGAGAAGAGGUCGGACACAAAUCAAGAUCUUAGAAGUGCAAGAAUGAAGCUUCUACUGGUGGAGAUUCAAGUGUGCUUUGGAACUUAAUGCCAGCCCCUAUAAAAAUCUGCACUCGACGGAGCUUCAGAAAUCGAAGAGGCGUUUGCUUUCUCAAAAGCUGGGCUGCUUAGAGAUCACGAGGGUUGAUCUCAGGAAUCGAAGAGGCGUUUGCUUUCUCAAAAGUUGGGCUGCUCAAAGACCACGAAGGCCGAUCUCAGAAAUCGAAGAGGCGCUCACUUUCUCAAAAACUGGGCUCCCCAGAGACCACGAGGGCCGAUCUCAAAAAUCGAAGAGGCACCUACUUUUCCAGCCUUGUCAGCACCUGUCACACGCACACUCAGCUUUGCGGAAAUUAUGGGCAUUCUGUCGAAGACUUCUGGGGAAGUAGAAAACACAUGAAUCUUACUGUUCAAUCACCCACUUCCCACACGCAAUAAUAGCUCAUGGGUACCACAGAUAACUUUGCCAAAGUUCUCUGCCAAAGUUGAGCACGUGAAGCUUGCAGCUCCCACUACAUCGCUCUGACCAAGAAGGGUAAAAAGAAUAGCAAAGAAACAGCACUAACAAAGUUUAGACCCAUAAAUUUUGAAGGUCUAGCUACCAUAUUAUUACCCACAAGGGUAAAGGAACAGUACCACUGCUGGAUAAUUGGAAAGUCCCUAUGUGUCAACCUCUGUGCUUCGUGGCAAGGUAGACUAGCAAACAUGCCCAACCUUUACUCACAUUCGAGAAAACACUCCCAAUAAGAUUGCUUGCUCCAAAAUCGAAGAGGCACCGUCCUCCGAAUCUCGAGAGCCAGACUCCCAACAUGACUACUUUCUUAAAAAUCGAAGAGAGGGUAAAGGAACAGUACCAUUGCUGGAUAAUUGGAAAGUCCAUGUGUGUCAACCUCUGUGCUUCGUGGCAAGGUAGACUAGCAAACAUGCCCAACCUUUACUCACAUUCGAGAAAACACUCCCAACAAGAUUGCUUGCUCCAAAAUCGAAGAGGCACCGCCCUCCGAAUCUCGAGAGCCAGACUCCCAACAUGAUUACUUUCUCAAAAAUCGAAAGAGACACUGCUCCCCGAAUCUUCGAGAGCCAGACCCCCAGCAUGAUUGCUUUCUCAAAAAUCGAUGAGGCAUCGUUCUCCGAAUCAAUCGAAGAGGCGCUCGCUUUCUCAAAAGCUGGGCUGCUCAGAGACCACGAGGGCCGAUCUCAGAAAUCGAAGAGGCACUUACUUUUCUAGCCUUGUCAGCACCUGUCACACGCACACUCAGCUUUGCAGAAAUUAUGGGCAUUCUGUCGAAGACUUCUGGUGAAGUAGAAAGCACAUUAAUCCUACUGUUCAAUCACCCACUUCCCACACGCAACAAUAGCUCAUGGGUACCACAGAUAACUUUGCCAAAGUUCUCUGCCAAAGUUGAGCACGUGAAGCUUGCAGCUCCCACUACAUCGCUCUGACCAAGAAAGGUAAAAGAAUAGCAAAGAAACAGCACUAACAAAGUUUAGACACAUAAAUUUUGAAGGUCUAGCUACCAUAUUAUUACCCACAAGGGUAAAGGAACAGUACCACUGCUGGAUAAUUGGAAAGUCCCUGUGUGUCAACCUAUGUGCUUCGUGGCAAGGUAGACUAGCAAACAUGCCCAACCUUUACUCACAUUCGAGAAAACACUCCCAACAAGAUUGCUUGCUCCAAAAUCGAAGAGGCACUGUCCUCCGAAUCUCGAGAGCCAGACUCCCAACAUGACUACUUUCUCAAAAGCGAAGAGAGGGUAAAGGAACAGUACCAUUGCUGGAUAAUUGGAAAGUCCCUGUGUGUCAACCUUUGUGCUUCAUGGCAAGGUAGACUAGCAAACAUGCCCAACCUUUACUCACAUUCGAGACAACACUCCCAACAGGAUUGCUUGCUCCAAAAUCAAGAGGCACCGCCCUCCGAAUCUCGAGAGCCAAACUCCCAACAUGAUUACUUCCUCAAAAAUCGAAGAGACACUGCUCUCCGAAUCUCGAGAGCCAGACCCCCAGCAUGAUUGCUUUCUCAAAAAUCGAAAAGGCAUCGUUCUCCGAAUCUCGAGAGCCAGAUACCACAGACCACUUUUUCAAAGUGCUCUGACAGAGUUAAAACAUGUGAAACUGGCAGCUCCCACUACCGUGCUAUGACCAAGCAGGGUAAAGGAAUAGCAUUACUACUUGUUGUUAGGGAGACUCCUAUAUAUGUCGACCUCCAUCCCCAACGGACAGGCAGACCUGCAAAAAUGCUCAACCCUUCAUCAUAUCUGAGUGGGCACUCCCAACGAAGCCUUUCGAAAUAUUCAGCUUUCUUUCCCCCCGAUAAUACCUCUGCAAACAAGCUAUACUAGAGCAAGAAUAUCUCAUAUCAUCAGGGUUAAAAGCAAGAGUAUCCCAUAUCAUGCUUUUUCCCUGUCUUUUCCUUUGGCCUUGUUUUUACCUGCAAGACAAGGAGAAAGAGAGCAAUCAGUCAGCACUUGGAAUCAAGCUUCCAACCAGGAAAUGACUGCCUGGAACCCCUUACUUGGCAUUGCUCUCGAGUACUCAUCUUCAACAUCUUAUGUUUCCAGGGAAGAUUCUGCAUCUGCUUGAGGAACAGAUAGGGCAAGUGCGAAGGAUACAAGGAAGCAUGCGGAGACAAGCGUAACAGCACACGUGCCGAUACAUCCAUUACUCUGUCAAAAGCAAAAGUAUCCCAUAUCAGCAGGGUGGAACGUACUCUAGAUUUGAUGGACUUGUUUUGACCCUCAAAUUCUUCAGUCGGCCUUAUAUUCUGGAGGAAACCAGAAAACCCUCCAGCUCAGUUCAAGAAUAAGCCUGUGGAAAGUUACUUCUUCAAAAGCAAAAGUAUCUCAUAUCAUCUCUUCUCAUUUUUCUUCUCUCUUUAUCCUUCAUGCUGCUGCAAGAUGGGGAGAAGGUGAACAAUCAGUCGGAGCUCUGAUUGCUUACCUUGUCUGUCACCUCUUUCAGCAGACCCCCUAGCUCGGCGACUUGGGGGACUCCUACUAAAUGGUUUGUAUCGCGCUUGACCAAGCCUGAAACUACAAGUAAGCUUCAAGUGAAAUUGAUACAUUACCUUGUGCAUCUCCACCAGUUAAAGAUACCACCCCUGGAUGGAGGAAGAGUACUUCCAGAGAAGAUGCCACAUCUACCUAUGAGACAGAUAAGGCAAGUCAAGACGACACCACACUCCGAUACUUAGAAGUUUCGUGAUUAUGAGAUCAUUCUCCCACAAUAUUUCCUAAUGUCAUUUGUACUAAAUCAUUCACUUGUACUCACUAAAGGAGAGCUUGAACCUAUGUACUUGUGUAAACCCUUCACAAUUAAUGAGAACUCUUCUAUUCCGUGGACGUAGCCAAUCUGGGUGAACCACGUACAUCUUGUGUUUGCUUUCCUAUCUCUAUCCAUUUAUAUACUUAUCCACACUAAUGACCGGAGCAAUCUAGCGAAGAUCACAAAAAGCGACCGUUUUCGCUACCUAGGAUCUAUCUUGCAAGAGAACGGAGAAUUAGAUGGAGAUCUCAACCAUAGAAUACGAGCUGGAUGGAUGAAGUGUAAGAGUGCAUCCGGCGUGUUGUGUGACUAUCGUAGGCCACUGAAGCUCAAAGGAAAAUUUUAUAGGACGGCAAUAAGGCCAGCGAUGUUGUAUGGCACAGAAUGUUGGGCGGUGAAGCAUCAACACGUACACAAAAUGGGUGUAGCGGAGAUGAGGAUGCUUCGUGGGAUGUGUGGGCACACGAGAAAGGAUAAGAUUGGGAAUGAGGAUAUCCGAGGUAAAGUAGGAGUAGCCGAAAUUGUAGGAAAGAUGAGAGAAAAUCGGCUCCGGUGAUUUGGACAUGUGCAAAGAAGGCCGACUGACGCUCCGAUUCGAAGAUGUGACUACGGGACAGAGGUUCAGGGCCGAAGGGGUAGAGGAAGACCUAGGAAAACUUUGGAAGAGACUCUAAGAAAAGACUUAGAGUACUUGGAUCUAACGGAGGACAUGACACAAAACCGAGCGCAAUGGCGUUCUAGGAUUCAUAUAGCCGACCCCACUUAGUGGGAAAAGGCUUUGUUGUUGUUGUUGUUGUUGUAUUUUUUCCCUUUUCAAAAUCGAAAUGUUCUAAAUUAUUUCACUAAUCCUUGCUAGUUUGAACUGCAGGAGUCUGUCUCUGGAUUUGAAAGAUUAUCUGGACUUACAGUUUUGAAGAAUUGGGAUUCUAGUGUUACACAUAUUAUUGCAUCGACAGAUGAAAAUGAAGCAUGCAGAAGAACCCUUAAAAUUUUGAUGGGUAUCUUGGAGGGGAAGUGGAUUCUGAGUGUGGAGUGAGUUUUACUGUUUUCGUUUUAAUUGUUCUUCCUCAAGUGCUUGGACUUUACAAUUGUAAUGAGUACAGAAGCCGAAAUGAGAUAUUGAUAUACAUGUUCACAUUGCUGAUAAUUCGUUAUCCGUCUGUUUGUGUAGGAAUUAAUGCUUGCACAUAAGUAAUGAAACUAGUUAAUGAGGAGCCUUAUGAAAUCAACGUUGACAUUUAUGGAAUCAGGGAUGGUCCUCGACUUGGUAGACUAAGGCUGCAGAACAAGGUUAGCUUUUCCUCGAGUUUAACUAUCAUCACGAAAACUUUAGAUUUUCAUGGAUUCACCAUAGGCAUUGUUAAUCUUGUUCAGUCCAUAAAUAGGUUACACACUUAUCUUAACAAAGGUGAGACCUUCUCAAUUCCUCAUCGAGAUGAAUCAAGAGCAUAAUUGUAGCAGUGAUCAAGAGCAAUUUUUUUAUGUUUCUUCCAAAUUGUUGAGAUGAAUCAUCUGUGUUUUGUUCUAAUAAUCUUACAAAUUUGUUGAGCAAUUUUUGUAAAGUCAGAAUCUUUGGUUUCGGUUGUGAGGUAUCUGAUUUGGGUAUAUGUGUUUUGCAGGGCACGGUGGUUGUGGCGGAGGAAGAUUAGGAUUGACGACAGAGCUCUGGCCAUGAACUAUCAGCUCUGUCUUUCUCUCUCUAACUAUGAAUUGAAUACAAAAGUCUGUGUUGAUAUGGAAAAUGUAGCUCAAAAUUAUUACACAAAUGGCAAAAAAAAAAAGUUCGAGUGUGGAGUUUCACUUACUGAUACAGGGCUUUUGAAACAGGGUUGUCUAGACUGUAGAAGAAAUCCAUGGCUUUUGGAAGAGGGGAUGUUCCAAAUCUAUCUUUUCUCCCUCUCUAAUGUUCUUCGAGGGGUUCUUGUGAUGCAAAAAGUGGUUUAUAUAUAUUUUUUAUUAUUAAUAAAUUUUCUGUCGGUUUUAUCAGACAAUAAUUCUUUUAUUUAUUCUUAUUAAUAAUUUCUCUGUCGGUUAUAUCUGACACAAUUUCUGUCGAUUUUAGAGUAUUUUCUAUCGAAAAUUUCAUUUCCUGACGCAUCAAUUAUGUCGCUUAUUAUAUCCGCCACUGCACUCAUUUCAUGUCGGAUUUUGCUUAAUUUCCAACAGUAUUAUACAUUUCUUGUCGGUUUUUAAACCGACACUAAUGGGUACUUUUGUAGUAAUGUUGGGGCGUCGGAGUUCGUUUAAGGUCGAAUUGAGCACACCCAAAUUCAAGGGUUCCGUACGGUUCAUGGUAAUUUGAGGUAUUUCUCAGCCAAAUUGUCCUUAGUCACAGAUAUGAAAGUUGCUCCACUCGUUGAGAUCUUCAUUUAUGUCAAAUUUGAGAAUUUUUAGAAAUAAUUGGAUUUUCCAGCGAAUCGGGGCGGCGGACCACCACCGGACAGCGCAUGGCUAGUGGGCCCCCAAUGUCAUUUUACGUUAAAUUGGUAUCUUGAUUUUAGGUUUGAUGUCUAUAUGUUAUGACUUGAUAUGUGAACCUAGUUUAAUUAAGGUGCGUUAAUUGGUAAAAAUAUGAAACGACGAUCCGACCGUGGGAUCGUCACCAAUCUUUAUUAUGUUAUAGUACAUUAUAUUUGAGAAUCAUAGGGACUGACGGAUAGGAAAUCCGAUAUACGGAUCUUCCUGAAAUGGAAUUGUAAGUUCGAAGAAUAAACGUUAACCGCCACUUUGUUUUGACUAUUGGUGAAGAUCCAACCGUUGGAUCAUAAUGAAAUUUUAGGAUGAUGUUUUAGAAGCAUAAUGUGGAUCUUUGGAAGUUAUUGAUUGGAAAUCCGAGGAGCGAAUCUUCCGGAUUGAAUUACGUAAGGUUGUGGACCCUACCGUCGAUCGUUGACUGACGAUCGACUUUUGGUCAAUGGGGCUUAAAUCACUCUAAAAUGUUUUUAGGGAUGUGUUUUACGUAAAUUACAUUAUCUAUGGAUAAGAAUUCUGAGAUGUGGUUUGAUAAUUGUCCUGGGCGCCGAUCGUUAGGAACGCUUCGAUGGUUGUGCUAGGAAAUUGUAGCAUAGACUCCAGGUGAGUGAAUCUUUUCCUUCUUAUAUAUAUAUAUAUAUAUAUAUGAUUGACAAUUCCACAAACGUUUAUAAAUUGAUUAUUGCAUAUAACUACUGUAAAUACUUUGAAGUACUUAUGCGAACUACGAAUGGCUUGAUCCCUAUUUAGGGUACGUAUGCAGUCUAACAAGACAUUAAAUGCAGUCAUACAAUAAUUGAGAUUAAACAAUUGAGACAAAGCCUUGUAUGGGGAACUGGGCAAGGUGAACGAAUUUGGUAAAAAUGUGAGAUUUAACCUUCUGAAUUGGUGAUUAAAUGUUGGUCAUAAAUCAAUGUGUAAAGAAUCAAGAAUUUGAAGUAAGGAAACGUAAGUAAUGAUAAUUAAUUAAACUAGUGUCUAGUUGGGCUUGUCACCUAUAAUUAUCCCCAAAAAUGAAUAAUUCGGGAGUAGGGCGUUAUAGCUUCUGCAUUUUUAUGCCACAUUAUAUAUAUAUAUAUAUGUGUGUGUGUGUGUGUGUGUGUGUGUGUGUGUAUAAUUGGAAAUGCUAUAACGUGGUUGAGUAUCAGAUUUCAUCAUGGUUUAUCUAUAUGUAUAUUACCUGCACACAAUUAUUAUGAACACUUUGAAGUGCAAAGGUGAACGCAAGACACCCAGGAAAGUUCAGGUGAGUUUAUGGUAUUAGUUGAAAUGAUGGGGUUAUGGUAACUACAUGUAUGUUUAGGUUGCAAUGAUAGGCAACUCCGACACUGUCGUACAAGUUGCCCAUGAAUUGUAUAUGUUACAAUAGAUAGAGUUAGAGGUCAUAAACCUGCACCCCGGUGUUAGUGCUCCCACCCGUGGCUAGGGCACAGUCUUUCACGAGAUGUUCACCUCUCGCAUCUUACGCUCACCUUGGAUCCAAGGUAGGUGCACAGUCAUGUCAUAAAGACCACUAUAGGUGGUUCCGACUAGUAGAUGACCCGUGAUUAUUCGCACAGUCUUCACGUGAUUGUAGCACUUGAGCGUAUUUAUUUACACCCAGUCCUGUCGUACAGACCACUUUAGGUGGUUCCGACUCGUAUGCAGGUAUACUUAUUGAGCUAUGGAUAAGUCGUACAGGUCACUAAAGGUGACUCCAACUUAUGAGCUAGCAUAUGUGAUGAAAUAUGUGAUGAGCUAGCAUAUGUAAUGAGAUAAGUGAUGAGCUAGCAUAUGUGAUGAGAUAUGUGAUGAGUUAGCAUACGUUAUGAGAUAUGUGAUGAGUGAUAUAAUCAUAAUUGCAUACAUUUUCAUGCCCUUUUAGUUUAGAUUUUUGUUAUCCUUUUGAGUGAAUUUAGUUUGUUUCACUUAGUUUUAUGUUUUUCUUAGAUUUGAAGUGUGAAGAUGAAGAAAGAAGAAAAAAGAGCAUUUUUAGCGAUUGAAAUGAGUUUGGCAUGCUGGAAGCAGAGGCUAUUUGUGCGGAUCAGCCAACUUUACGGAUUAAACUGUACUUCCUUAGAAUGCCAGCUGUUGAGUCUUAUACCAUUGGAAAGAUAUGAAAGUUAGCUUUCAGAGGAAUUUUACGAUUCGUGAUUCCGAGUUUCCUAGAAGACGUUAUAGUGGUUUUUCUACCAGAUGUCUGCCAGCAAGGUUUUACGCGGGAUUUGCAAAGAGAUUCCAGAUUUACAAAGUUUAAUUAAAGGAAACAAGCAGAGAAAAAAGAAGAGGAAGCUUUUAGAAAAGUUCAGGACUAUUCUAAACGGUGCAUAGUUAAUAUAUUUAAUAGUUUAGUGUGCCACAUCAUCAAUAAACUAAUCUAAGUCAGAAGAGAAAUUCAAGAGUCCCAUUCAAGUAAGUAUUCCAGCAGUUUUAUUCAGGAAUAAAGGAGGGCAGACCGUCGGACUUUAGGAGCGGACAGAGAGAGUUUUUGGGUUUUCGAAGGUGCAGAGAAGAGGUCGCAGCAAGGAGUGAAACAGAGUCGCCGAUCAUCUGGGCAAUCCAUCACCAUCGUGUGGAAGUAUUUUAUGUUUUUCAGAUUUUUAAUUAUGUUUUCAGAUUUUAUGAGUAACUAAACUCUUUUUCUAAGGUUAGGAUGAUGCCCUAGCAUGGAUGUUUAUGGUUUGUAAUGUUAUUCAUUGGAUUUCCAGUUUCUUUUAGAUGAAUGCUUAAUCACUGUUUGAAUUGUUACUGUUUGUUUGAGUUCUUUGAUUGAUCACCUUAGGACUUUGCAUCUAGUAAGAUUGGAAGAUGAAUUUGAGACUGAACUAACAAUAUAAUUCAAUUAGCUUCUUGUGGUUAAGUGUGGUAAAUUACAUUAUUGCUUGAAAAAGAAUAAUGGUUUGUUUGGGUCCCUUGUUUUCUAGAGGGUAAAGAGUCCUACUUGUUAAAUUUAUGCCUUAACUAGGAUAGACUGCUUGUUAGGAUAUACGACCUCUGCCUAAACUAGGAGAGAAUCAUUCACAUAAGGAAAACUAUGGUCUAAUAUGCCUGACAAGGACUUAGAUACGGGAAUUAUCAUCUAAAGAAUUGAAAGAUCCAUUGAAUGCAUUGAAACCUAAACUAGAUUGCUUGUGGUUGAUUCCGAAUCCCUAGAUUUUCAUCACUUGCCUUAAAACACAACCGUUUCUUUUCUUUAAUUUCAGUUUUUACUUAAGGUUCUGUUUUUGUUCAUUUAUAAAAUCAUCACAACAAAUUUUUUACAUCUUUGAUUGACUUAUUAAUUAAGAUCGAGUCUAGUUCGUUGUUUGGGUUUGUGUGUCUUUAAUAUAAUUAGAUUUGGUUUAGUUUAUCAAAUUGGAGAUUGAAUUAGAAUCCUCGUGGGAACGAUACUUGGACUUGCAAAACGUUAUAUUACGACUAUCUUGUGCACUUGUAAGUUUACACCAAGUUUUUGGCGCCGUUGCCGGGGACUCUAAUUGAGUCCCCCAAUUUGAUAUCAUAUUCCAUAUCUAAUAAGUAGUUUAUUGUAGAUUAUUCAAUUUGAUUUUGUUUUGUUCUCUAGUUUCGAGUAAGAGUCAUAACUAUUAAGAUAAGUAAAAGUAAUUUUCGUCACUGUUUUAUUUCAGUUUUGUAUCACUGUUUCGACACAGUUUUGGACUAAACUAUUCGAUUUUUUACCAGGAAUAUUGUGUAUCGUUGGAAAGCCCCAGAAGUCUAGUUUUCAACCCAAAAAACAGAUCAAUGAUUGGAUUUUUGAGCUGCAAGAAAUGUACAAAAUACUGAGCAGUGGUCAAACAAGGAGCACAGUCUGGUCGUAUAUGCAAGGUAGACGUUCGUUGCAAUUUGAGUUGAUUCAUAUAGACCAAGAACUUGUGCGUACUUUAAGAGAACAGUGGAGGCAGCGAGUGUGUCAAGAACCAGCCAUGGAGGAAGUAGUUAAUAAUGGUGGAAAUAAUCCUCCACCAUUGCUACCACCACAACCAAGGCUCAUGCGUGAUUAUACAAAGCCAACGGAGUACAACGCACCGUCAUGCAUUGUUUUGGCUCCAAUUGCGCAGCGAUUUGAGAUUCGUCCACAAAUCUUUCAGUUGCUGCCUAUAUUUCUUGGGAAGGAGGAAGAAAAUCCAUACCAUCAUAUCAAGGCGUUUUUCAAGCUAUGUUCCACAUUCACAUUCACCAAUGUUACUGAAGAGCAAAUUCGACUUCGGUUAUUCCCAUUCUCUUUGAGGGAUAAAGCAAGCAGUUGGUUGGAUUCUCUUCCCGAAGCAUCUAUCGACACAUGGACAAAAUUAUCGAAGAAGUUUUUGUCCAAGUUCUUCCCCGCUCGAAGAACCAAUGCUCUGAUCAAUGAAAUCAUGAGCUUUCGACAACAAGAAGGUGAACAGUUUCAUGAAAGUUGGGAGCGCUAUAAGGACUUGUUUCUUCAAUGUCCUCAUCAUGGUUUCAACACUUGGCAAAAGGUUCAUUAUUUUUACAAAGGUUUGAACUCUCAAUGUAGGAGUUUGGUUGAUUCAACGGUUGGUGGAACCUUGAUAGACAAAACUCCAGAAGAUGCCAUACAUGCCUUUGAAACUAUAUGUGAAAAUUCUGAGCAUUGGGAUUUUCCUACAAAAGAUUUGAGAGUUCCAACUGCAUCGUCAACAAAAAAAGGAGGCAUUUAUGAAGUUAAUACAAGGACGGGCUUAGAGGCACAAGUGGCAGCCCUCACCAAGCUUCUCACACCACUUGUAAGCAAGAUAGCCACGCAGCCAUGUACUUUAUGUGCGAGCAUCGCCCAUGACAUGGAAAAUUGUCCAACAAAUGCUAAUCUAGAAGGCAUCCAAGAGGUCAAUGCAUUUAGUGGGAGGCCCCGGAAUGAUCCAUAUUCUAAUAAUUAUAACCCGGGAUGGAGAGAACAUCCAAAUUUUUCUUAGAGAGAUUCACAAAAUAGCAUGGGAUCAUUCACUUCAACAAAGCAAUAUCAGCAACCUUAUCAAGCUCCUCCAAUUCAACAAAAAGACUCGUCUAUCAAGGAUAUGUUAUCUCAACUCUUAAAGAAAACUGAUCGGUAUGAACAUGAAGUUGUGUCGCUUAGACAAAGUCAGACGGUGUUGGAAAAGGCUCGAUCUAAUUUUGAGACUCAGUUGGGACAGAUAGCUACUACUUUGAACAAGCUGGAGUGAGCACAAGGGCAAUUUCCAAGCCAAACUGAAACAAAUCCUAGGAAUCAAAAGCAUGUUCAAGCUGUCACCACUUUGAGGAGUGGAAAGACGAUUGGUAAUAAUGUGGAAAGUUCAAAAAUUAAUAAGGAAGAAGAUGAAGGGGUCAGCACAUAUCGGGCAGCAGCUUGACAAGACAAGCUAAAAAAGAGAAGUAUAUGGGAGAUAUUUUAGAGCAAUUUAGAAAGGUGCAGAUUAAUAUUCCUUUUCUCGAUGCCAUCAAACAAAUUCAAUCAUAUGCGAAGUUUUUGAAGGAACUUUGUACUAACAAGAGACGGUAUGAAGAACAUGAGGAGGUGAAGUUAUCAGACACGGUUAGUGCGGUUCUUCAAAGAAAAUUGCCACCAAAACUUCAAGAUCCUGGUAGCUUUACAGUCCCAUGUGUCAUUGGAGAAAGAAAAUUCGAAAAAGCUUUGCUUGACUUGGGAGCCAGUGUGAAUUUGAUGCCCUAUUCUGCUUAUAAACACCUCAAAUUAGGCGAACUAAAGCACAUAUCCAUUUCUCUACAAUGCACUGAUCGUUCUGUGAAAUAUCCAAGAGGGAUUGUUGAAAAUGUACUUGUGUGUGUUGAUCAAUUUAUUCUUCCUGCUGACUUCAUCAUUUUGGACAUGGAAGAAGCCGAAAUUCCUGGUCGUGACUUGCCUCUCAUUCUUGGCAGACCUUUCAUGGCUACUGCAGGUACGAAGAUUGAUGUUAAAUCGGGAUUAUUAACUAUGACUGUGCAAGGUAUUACUGUAGAAUUUCAGGUCUUCGAAGCAUUGAAGAAGCCCAUGGAUCUUUAUGACUGCUUUCGUGUUGAGGUAGUGGAUCCAAUUAUAAAAAAAAACAUUCAUUGAAUCAAGCAUCUCAGAUCCUCUGGAAGUUUGUAUCUCUCAACAUGGGAUGAGUUUUGAAAAGGCUACCAUCAUUGAAGCAGAACGAGAUCUCAAUGCCGUAACGUCCUACUCUCUUAGAUGCCAGCCCAAAUUUGAAGCGUUGCCACUCACAAGCCAAAAUUGUACCAUCCAUUAUACAACCUCCAAAGCUUGAAUUGAAGCCUCUUCCAGAGACUUUAAAGUAUGCAUAUUUGGUGAUUCAGAGACUCUUCCUGUGAUUAUAGCUGCUGAUCUUAACCAAACAGAAGAGGAAAAGUUGAUGCAAAUGUUGAGGGAGCAUAAAACAGCAUUGGGAUGGAGUAUUGCAGACAUAAAAGGAAUUAGUCCUCAAUUUGCAUGCAUCGGAUAUAUCUUGAGGACAAGUCAAAGCCUUCUAGAGAGGCACAGCGACGUCUAAAUCCACAUAUGCAAGAAGUGGUUCGGGCAGAAGUUCUUAAAUUACUGAAUGUCGGCAUUAUUUAUCCUAUAUCUAACAGCAAAUGGGUAAGUCCACUGCAGGUUGUACCACAGAGAUCUGGAAUUACAGUUGUCAAGAAUGAAAAUAAUGAGCUUAUACCCCAGAGGACUGUCACGGGUUGGAGAAUGUGUACAGAUUACAGAAAGAUCAAUAAUUCAACUCGAAAAUAUCAUUUUCCACUCCCUUUCCUUGAUCUCAUGCUUGAGAGACUUGCAGGCCAUAGUUAUUAUUGUUUUCUUGAUGGCUAUUCCAGAUAUAAUCAAAUUCCCAUAGCUCCGGAAGAUCAAGAAAAGACUACUUUCACAUGUCCAUUUGGAACUUUUGCCUAUCGACGAAUGCCUUUUGGGUUAUGUAAUGCUCCCGCAACAUUCCAAAGAUGCAUGAUGAGCAUUUUCUCAAACUUGGUGGAAAGGUGUAUCGAAGUGUUCGUGGAUGAUUUUUCCGUGUUUGGGUCAUCGUUUGAUCAAUGUCUUCAUCAUCUUUCAUUGGUGCUCUAACGGUGUCAAGAAACCAACUUGAUUUUAAAUUGGGAAAAAUGUCAGUUUAUGGUGAAAAGUGGUAUUGUUCUUGGUCAUGUAAUUUUAGCUGACGGAAUUGAAGUUGAUAAAGCUAAGGUGGAGCUGAUUUCGAAGCUUCCUCCUCCCACUUCUGUAAAAGAAGUUCGAUCCUUUCUCGAGCAUCCAAGUUUUUAUCGCCGAUUUAUUAAAGAUUUCUCGAAAAUCACCAAGCCACUUUGUGAUCUGCUUGCUAAAGAUUCUGUGUUUAAUUUAAAUGGUGAGUGCUUACAAGCUUUUGAGACCCUCAAGAAAGAAUUAACACAAGCCCCAAUCAUAAAAGCUCCAGAGUGGUCUCUUCCUUUUGAAAUCAUGUGUGACGCCUCUGAGUAUGCAAUAGGUGUUGUGUUAGGGCAGCGAGUUAACAAACUUCCUCAUGUUAUAUUUUAUGCUAGCCGAAUUCUCACUUAACAACUUUCAUAUCCCUUAGUUUCCAAAAUUUAAUAUACAAAUUUAGUCUCCCAAGCAUUGCUAUAUUACUUAAGUAUUGAUUAAUAGACUUAUUUCUUAUGGUGACACAUUAUUUAGUUUACAAAUUUAGUCUAUCUAACAUUACUCUUUUGACAUUGUCUUGUCCACUGAUAUAAUUCUAUUUUUCUUGUGAUCAAAACUUCAAAUGUUAGCAAGUCGCACGUAAAGUCGCUUCUGAGAGAAUGUGCUCACAUUGUAGUUGAAAGAUUAUGUGGCUAGCAACAUUACAAAUUUAAUUUGGUAUAAUUUUAAAAUAUAGAUUGAGGAAAAAAAGGAUCACAUUAACUAGAAACUGAAAAGGUUUCGGCGCAAUAUGUUCAAGCAAGAAACUCAAUUUUGAUGCUACCGAUCUUAACAGCCUGAGCGCCGUACCUGGGCACUAAAGUCACCACCACACUCUCAUCAUCUUCAGCACCCAAAUCCUCCAACAGGUCCGUUAACCCCAACCUUAAACAACUCUUGCUCUUUUCCUUCUGCUUAUGUGGCACACUCACAAAACUCCCAGCAAACUCGCUCUUGUCGGGUCCACUCGGUGCCGCAUCCUCAUCAUCCACGUCAUUCACAUACACAUCAAACUUCACAGCCACAUCUUUGUCAAGCUCAAUCCCCCGAAUCACCAAUAUCUCCUCCUCAUCCUCUUUCUCCUUCUUGCUCCUCUUCUUCGGCUUCGGCCUUGACACCACCGUAGUUAUCUUCGUCUCCAAAUUUAUUGGAAAAUCUUUACCCGCCACCACCUUCCCCGAUGACGUCGUCUCAGCGGCCUUCGCCACUCCAGCCGCCUUUGCCUUUCUCGCAAGCUUUGUCCGACGUGGCGUCGGUCUAGAGUUGAGCCAUGGAAUCUCAACAUCUUCAUACGUAUACCCUAGCUUUUUAUUAUCAAGAGUGUCCCUCACCGUGACCCUAACAAGCUCAGCAUUCUCGUCAUAAAACAAAAACCCCGUAUCCAACCAAUCCUUAUCGUUAAUAUCUUUAUUUUUAGUCCCUAUACUUUUCCAAAUAUUCCACAUUCGAUCCAGAUUCAAAUGGUGCGCAAAAAAUAUCGGAUCCCUUGCAGUGGAGUAAAAAUUCCCCAUGUCUUCAUAAUUAGGUUGCGUGUUAUCUCCGGUCCAUGUAUGAACCGGACCAUGUGGGGUCUGUUCGAUUGCACCGGCCCCUGGAUCUGGUUCAGUGCCAGCCCUGUAGGGCGAACCAAAGAACAACAGCGGUUUCUUGGAGUUGGAAACCAUCUGCCUAUACAUGAUUUUGAGGUUGGCUUCGAUUUGAGCAUCCUUGGACAUUGUUUCAUCCGUGCCGUUGAAGUCAAGAUCGAUGAGAGUUGGCGGCUGAUGGCUGGCAGCGCGGAGCUCGUCGUAAAGCGGAGAGUCAGGGUUAGCGUACAAGGCAGGGAGUUGCAUGCCAGCUGGCGCGUCCCAGUUCCAAAACGGCAACGCGAAGGUCGGAUCGUCUAUGAGUUUGGCCAAGAUUCUUUCGUGGAAAUAUAGGUAGUAACGAUGGAAGGGGAAGAAAAGCCAGGAUUGAUGGAUUUGGAGCUCGAGGUUGGGGAAGCCGACUUGGUCGUACGCACCGUUACAAUAGGCACAGUGGACAUCGGCUUGCUGGGUGAAGCUACGCGGAUCGUCGUCCGGGAGGGCUUUCAUGAGCUCGAUGGCUUUUGAGUAUUUUUCGAUGUAG
rnacentral:lncRNA from 1 species